rnacentral:lncRNA from 1 species
GGAUAUGAUAAUCUGUAUUUGCUGAGCACUGUAGCCACCUAUAGUGAAUCCCUGAAUGUGGAAUCACGUGGUACUAAGCGUAAAAUUGAUAAUAACGAUUCAGGAGCAUUAUGGCACAAGCGCCUAGGUCACAUCUCUAAAAAUAGAGUUGAGCGGCUAGUGUCAGAUGGAAUUUUGGAUUCCAUUGACUUCACAAACUUUGAUGUUUGUGUUGAAUGCGUUAAAGGUAAACAGACCAAAACAAAGAAAUUUGGUGCAUAUAGAGCUACAGGCGUCUUGGAAUUGAUACAUACGGAUAUUUGUGGACCAUUUCCAACACCUUCUUGGAAUGGUCAACAAUAUUUUAUAUCAUUCAUAGAUGAUUAUUCGAGAUAUGCAUACUUAUUUUUUAUACAUGAAAAGUCUCAAUCAUUGGAUGUGUUCAAAUCAUUUAAGGCUGAAGUUGAGAACCAACUCAACAAAAGAAUUAAGAGCAUCAAAUCUGACCGUGGUGGUGAAUAUUACGGUAGAUAUGAUGGUUCAGGUGAACAACGUCCAGGGCCUUUUGCCAAAUACCUAGAGGAAUGCGGAAUCGUCCCACAGUACACCAUGCCAGGGUCACCUAGCAUGAAUGGUGUGGCUGAAAGACGAAACCGGACUCUUAAGGAUAUGGUAAGGAGUAUGAUUUGUCAUUCUACUUUGCCAGAGUCACUCUGGGGAGAGGCACUAAAGACUGCAGCUUACAUUCUAAAUAGAGUGCCAACUAAAGCAGCUGCCAAAACACCUUAUGAGCUUUGGACUGGGCGAAAGCCUAGUUUGAAACAUUUUCAUGUAUGGGGAUGUCCAGCUGAGGCAAGGCCUUAUAGGCCAAAUGAAAAGAAAUUGGAAUCCCGAACAGUGAGCAGCUACUUUAUUGGUUAUUCUGAAAGAUCCAGGGGCUAUAAAUUUUAUGAUCCCAAAUUAAAGACAAUUUUUGAGACGGGAACAGCCAUGUUCUUUGAGGAAAUUGAGUUUGGAGGGGAGAACAAGAUUAGGGACUUUGCUUUAGAGGAAGAGUCAGUAACAAUUCCAAAACUGAUUCAUACAGUUGCUUCUGAUGAAGCAAGUACGGAACCUCUACAAGACAUUGUUGUUGAAUCUCCUCCUACUCAAGAUGAUAUGGUGGUUCAUGAAGAACAAACUCAAGAUCCUCAAGAACAAGUGUUACAAGAACCAAUACCUUUGCGGAGAUCCACUAGAGAAAAGAGAAAUGCUAUUCCAGAUGAUUACAUAGUCUUUCUCCAAGAACAUGAGGAAAAUAAUGGUAUGAUGGAAGCUGAUCCAAUCAACUUCCAGCAAGCCAUGCAGGAUUCCAACUCUGAAAAGUGGAUUGAAGCAAUGAAGGAAGAGUAUAAGUCCAUGCAAGACAAUAAGGUUUGGGAACUUGUCCCAUUACCGGAAGGUGUGAAACCCAUUGGUUGCAAAUGGAUAUUUAAGACCAAGCGGGAUUCUAAUGGUAAUGUGGAGAGGUAUAAGGCUCGUCUUGUGGCUAAGGGUUAUACUCAAAAGGAAGGGAUUGACUUUAAAGAGACUUUCUCUCCGGUUUCAUCGAAAGACUCUUUUAGGACAAUCAUGGCUCUUGUUGCACAUUAUGAUUUGGAACUCCAUCAAAUGGAUGUCAAGACAGCGUUUCUCAAUGGAAACAUUGAUGAGACAAUCUAUAUGGUGCAACCAGAAAACUUUGUGUCAGGAGACCCAAAGAAUACGGUUUGCAAAUUGACAAAAUCCAUUUAUGGACUAAAGCAGGCAUCUCGUCAGUGGUACCACAAAUUUCAUGAAAUAAUUCUCUCAUUCGGUUUUGAGGUGAAUGUUGUUGAAGAUUGUGUGUAUCACAAAUUCAGUGGGAGCAAAUAUAUUUUCCUGGUUCUGUAUGUUGAUGACAUACUGCUUGCCACUAAUGAUAUAGGCAUGUUGCACGAAACCAAGAGAUUUCUAUCAAGAAAAUUUGAAAUGAAAGAUCUUGGUGACGCUUCCUUUGUAUUAGGAAUUCAGAUACACCGAGACCGAUCUCGGGGUAUUCUGGGAUUGUCACAAAAGAGCUAUAUCGAAAAGGUACUUAAAAGGUUUGGCAUGCAGAAUUGUACAUCAGGGGAUACUCCAGUUGCUAAGGGAGACAAAUUUAGUCUCAGUCAAUGCCCAAAAGGAAACUUAGAAAUUCAGGAAAUGCAAAAGAUUCCUUAUGCAUCAGCUGUAGGGAGUCUUAUGUAUGCCCAAGUUUGUACGCGUCCAGAUAUAGCGUUCAUAGUUGGGAUGUUAGGCAGAUAUUUGAGCAAUCCAGGAAUGGAUCAUUGGAAAGCAGCCAAAAGGGUUAUGAGGUAUUUACAGAGAACAAAAGAUUAUAUGCUCACAUAUAGGAGGUCAGACCAAUUGGAGAUCAUUGGAUAUUCUGACUCUGAUUUUGCUGGAUGCCAAGAUAGUAAGAGAUCCACUUCAGGCUAUAUCUACAUGUUGGCUGGUGGUGCAGUUUCUUGGCGUAGUGCCAAGCAAACUCUCAUAGCUUCAUCCACCAUGGCAGCAGAAUUUGUAGCAUGUUUUGAGGCAUCUAACCAUGGGAUUUGGCUGAGGAAUCUUGUCACUGGGCUGCGAAUUGUGGAAGGAAUUGAAAGACCGCUUAAGUUAUACUGUGACAACAAAUCAGCCGUCUUAUUUUCCAACAAUAAUAGGAGCUCGACCAAGUCAAAACAUAUUGACAUCAAGUUCCUAGUUGUUAAGGAAAGGGUACAAAGUGGACAGAUUUCUAUAGAACACAUAGGGACAAACUCCAUGAUAGCGGAUCCUCUUACAAAGGUCUUCCGCCCAAGGUCUUUCAUGAGCACACUGCUCACAUGGGUGUUUUGCAGUGUGAGGAAUGCUUAGUUUAGUGGGAGUUACUCAUAUAUAAAUUUUGUGUUCUAUGUUUGGUAUUAUGCAUGCAUACUCUAGUAUUUGGAUAUUUUUUGGUUAAUUAUAAAGUUUGAUAUUCUGUUAUUUAUGCUUUGUACAAUAAGGUUAUUGAAUGAUCUCACUAAAGUAAAGUAGGACCAGUUGAAAAUUGACAAGUACAGGCCACCUUCUUGUGAUUUUCAUGCUGCACAUUUCAUAAUGAAUCUAUGUCAUUUAGUUAUGUCAGUACUAGUAAUCAUUGAUGGGUUUAGUUAUGAUUGAUAUAACGAAAAUCACUUUGGUUCUAUGCACUGACAUGACUAAUGGACGAGAUUAUUUGGAUAUGCUUAAGGUAUAUAAUGGCAUUUUUUGAGCUCAUAAAGUCUAACACAUGUGUAGAGUUACAUAUGUGACCAGUGGGAGAUUGUUAGAAUUUUGGGUCACAAAUGUAACUUUUAAUUGUGUUAGGGCCAUUAUUUAAUUAGCCAAAACUAAAGUGGUCUAUUUAAUAUUGAUCUUAUGGCUAAGGGCAUAUGUGUUAUGAAAAGGUAUUGUGCGGAUACCAUAAGGCAAUAUUCUAAUUUGAUGAGGGGCCAAAUUAGAAAUAUUGAAAACAGAAUUGUAACUGAUGCAGUUACUUAUAGGGUUAUGGUCCCCAAUUGUAGACAUAACAACGUAACAACGUAAAAAGUUUCUCCUCAUCCCCAUCAGAGGAGAACAUCAGGAAACCCUAAGGGUGAUCUACAAUUGGAAGAUCACAACCCCAGAUCCUUCAGCGAUUCCCAUGACUCAUUCAGGUACGCUUCCGCUCUAGAUCUUCAUCAUGUUUUUCGGGUAUGGGUUAAUCAAGUGUGGUUUAGGAUUAUGCUCCUAUUUUCUAUAUGGGUAGAAAAGCAUGUGGUUAGGAACAAAUCCUUAUUUAUUAGAAACCUACAUAAUUUUGUCCAUACACAAUUUUAAAUGAUGAAUCUUUCCACUCAAAUCUAGAGAUGGUGCAAAGGGGCCCAUUAACUUUUUUAAAUAACUUAUACAUGUAAUUUUAUAUAUAGUUUUUUGAUACUUAAUUUUAUAUAUAGUUUGUAAUCAUAAAAAAAAAUUGUGCACAGAAAAAAUUCAUUAAGCAAAAAUUAUCACGUAUAAAUUUUUUAACUAAUACUACUAAUACAGUAUUUCAGUGAGUUGAAUUAAUACCAUUUAAUACUAUUAAAGUUUUCGGUAACAUUUUUCUUAAAUUUAAUAACCAUAAUCCUGGUGCAAAAUCCACAUUGCCUGGUGUCAAAUUGGGUGAAACCGUGAAAGAGCCUAUGUUAAGCAUUUUGAUUUGGGAGUGGUUCGAAAGUGGUAGUUGGUUCCUGGUCCUGUUUAUCAGCUUUCUUGUGUCUCGCUUUUGCUUUUCUUUUGUUGACAGCAUUUCCAGCUGGACUAUGCAGUGUGCGCAGCACAAUUAUACAAAGGAAAAUAUUCUUUUUUUCUUUUACUUUUUACUCUUUUAAAUCGACAUUUCCCUCUCGAGGUUACUUAUCCUCUCUUUGUUUCUUUUUAAAAAUUAUUAUUUUAAAGGUUUUUGUUUUUAUUAUUUAAUUUAUCUAUUAUUAAAAAAAUUAAAAUGUAUUGUAAUUUUACUAAUUAUAUAUCUAUUUUGAUUAAUUUAUAUGUUUACUAUGAAAUUGAUUAAUUAAAAAUAAAACAAUUUUUUUUGGUUUGAGAUCCAACUAACAUCUCUAAAAUCUCAUAAGUUAAGGCUCAUAUAUGACAACCAAGUUUCAAAUAACAUAAAAGGAAGACCAAACUUUCACUAAUAUUUUAGUUUUUAGUUAAGUUGUUGGAACUAUGGUUAAACAGUUAGAACUAUUAUUAAGAUGUUAUUGUUAAAAAAUUAAUAUCAUGUUUAUCUUCCAUUAACUUGGAAAAUAAUAUUAGUUCAAGAGCAUCUAUAUAUUUCCUAACUUAUCAUUAAUGAAUAUUGAAAAUCACAUGAUAUAUGUAUGUAUUUAAAUAGUGUACAGUCUAUAAUGGAAUGACACUUAAUUAACUACACCUAUACGAGUAGGAGGAACUAAUGCAACUUUACCAUGAAAUGUCAUGGUUUGAAAACAUUGACUCUAAAUGUAAUUAAGGAUAUAUGAGAACCAUUAAUUUAACCUACACAAAUUAGUAUGUGUGUGUUUGGACUUUGGAUACAUUUUCAAUCCACAUAAACACAUUUUUCAAUGAAAAAGAAAACAUCAUUUUUAAUUAAAACUCCAAUUUCUCUAUAAAUUUGUGUCAAAAGUCACAUCAUCAUAACAUAAAUGAUGAUAAUGUAUAUCUAAAUCCCAUCAAAGUUGAGAAAUAAGAGAAAAAGAUACAAGUUAAGGCAUCCAAGUAGAUUAAAGAGUUCCAAUAUAAAGUCAAUAAGCAAAUUAAAAGAUACAAGACGUAUGUUAUCAUUCAUUAUCUUAAAAAAUUGAUGUUCUAAUAAAAAUCAUGCAACUAUCAUUUUUUUAUAAGCUAAAAAAUAUAUUGAAAAGAAAUAUAAGGGUACUUCAACGCAACUAUGAUCAUAAAUGAAUGAUUCAUAUUUCCUUUUUAUUGUCAUCGUGUCUUGUGAAUAAUAGUGUUUAAAUUUACAAUAAUUUUCCUCUUGUAAUAUAAAAAUUAUGAUAUUUAUUAAGUGCUUAUUCAAUUAUAACCACAUAUAUACUUUUUCUAAACUAAUGAUAUUAUCUAAUUCAACUUGAUUGUGAGAAAGCCUUUUACAAGCAUUUUAAUAUGUUGUGCUCCGCCAUUGCGCUACCAUUUUAUAUGGUCGAGCAUCACUUUGUACCUCUACUCGGAUAACCUUUUAGUGACCAGAAUAUUGGAUCCACGAAAUAUCACGAUUAAAAAAAGGUUUAAGAAAAUAAUGAUGUCUGCUUUAUUUCUUAAUCCAUAUAUAUCAAAAUUUUAGUAGAUGGAAGGAAUGAAUGAGUAAAUAUUUUAUGCCUUUGAGAUCUGAGCACUGUGUUUAUCGGGAAUAUUACACUGACAUUUGUAUUUUUUUAAAGAUUACUAUAUAGUAUAAUAGUGUCAUGAUAGAUCUUCAUGUGAAUGUUUUGCGAUGGACAACUAAAAUGAAUGGAAAUUUACAAUUUUUCUGUAAACAAAAGUGGAAAGAGAUCUUACUGGGAAUGGGCAAGUGGGGCUGACAGAUUGGGGUCGGGUUUUCACCAAACCAUAGUUUUAAUUUCUAUUUCUAUCAAUUUACAAAGAAAGUCUUGUUCCCUCUCAACCCAGCUUCAAUCCAGCAAAUUUAAUAAAUGUGACACCACAUCUUUAGUUUUAGUAUUUCUUUUAUUGCCUUUGUUUUGGAUCUACACAGCAAAAUUAAUUAGGAGAUGGGGUUAUGAGCAAACGCAACAAAUGAUUAUUGAUUGUACAUACGAUUAUAAUGUUAAUGCAGAAUUUCAAAAACACUCUUGUGUAUUCUUUUUUGACUUUAUUCAUCUUAAUCAUGUCGAUCAAGUCCUAUAAAGGCUCAUUUGGUCGUCGGGAUAGAAUAAGAGGAGGAUAUAAAUGAUUGAAUAUGACAUGAUAUGAUAAGACCAGAAUAAACUCUUAUAGGGACAUGAUAUUGAUAGGUUAUUAUUUUUUUUUUGACAAUAUUGAUAGGAUAUUGUAGGAACAAUGAAAAUUGUAUCAAAUUUUCGUUUGAAAUAAAAUGUCAUAAUAUUCAUAAACUGACAGGAUAUUUCUAUCAUAUCUCCCCCCUCAUGAUAACUUUUACACAUGAUAGGAUAAUGGAUAUGAUAGUGUUAUCAUGUCCUACUAGCGCAACAAAUUAAACAACAUAUUACAACAUGGUAAAAUUAUUGUUAUCAUACCAUGUCUAUUUAUCUUGUCCACCAAACAGGCCCUAAAUAUACAGCUAUAUGGAGAAUUUAGUCACCUAUAUGUUACACUCAAUUAGAAUAGAACCAUGUCUCUUGAAACUUUAAGUGUAUAUUUAAAUAAACAAUGAAAAGUUAAGGUGAAUCAAAAUCAUAGUAAAAAAACAUUUUUUCUUAAUUUUGUAGUUGUCCAUUCAGAUUUUGGUAUUAUUGUGACUUUUUAAUUAUCGUGCAUUCAAAUAUGCAUUAAUGUAAGUCUCACUAAUAAAAACAAUUUGUAAAUUUAGUUUUUUUUAUAUUAUAAAGAUAAAUUGCAUCAUUCGGAGAUGGAUCCUUAUAUCUCUUUCAUCUGAUUCAUAUAUCUCGUAUCUCUUACCACUUGAGUUAUCGUUAAGAACAUUAAAUUUAGAUUUACAACAAGAUAACUUAUUGUUUUUUAAUGAAAAUACAAUAACAAAAUAUGUUACUGACAUUUGUGGCUUAAAAUAUAUAAAAAAAUUCCUCCGAGUUUGUUCGGAUUUGAAGAUAUGAUAUAUUUAUUUUUAAAUUAAAAAAAUGAAGGUUGUAACGUGCUUGUACUUGGAAAUGUAAUGUAAUCUUGGCUAUUGUUACGUUCUUGCACUAUUAUACAAUAAUUGUACGGCUCUUAGUUUUGGUCCUCUUUUCGAAGGGGUAGGAUCGCGCAAAUCCAGAAAACACAAUACUACUACUCUACUAGUAGUAUCUUGUAACAUGUGUGUACCUUAUUAUAUUUAUACUGCCUCCAGUAUUUAUAACAAUCAAUUUUAAUUUUAUGCUGCAUUAAUUAAAUUAUUUUAAUAAAAACACUCGUAAAUGAAGAACAUAUUUAAUGGUAAAACUAUAUAUUUCUUACUGUAGCUCUUAUAAACAUCUUGUGAAACACAAACACAAAGACUCAAAUUAGAAUGGUGCAGUAAUAUUUUUAUAAUAUUUGACAGUUAAUAACCUUAAUUAUAACAUGACUUUUGUGAACUCAAAUGUUGAAUUAAAUUACUAGUCACUUUAAUUAUUUGUUGUUCAAAUAUUAUAAUCUUAAACAACAAUAAUUUCUAAUUAAGUGUUGAGAUUUACAUACAUUUCAAUAUAAUUUAUUAUUAUUAUUAUUGGAGAGACCGAGCUCAAUAUAAAAUGUUUUCAAAUUAAGGUAAAAUUUUAUUGAUAUAUAAUCGAUAUGUAUCUAAUAGUGGAUUUUAUGAUAUAAUCUUCGAGGGUGCGUAACCUUAUUUUGAGCUUUUUGGAGGUUAAGUUAAGCUGUUUGAGCGACAUUUAAGCUUUCAUAUCAAAUUUUCGCUUUGUUUGCAGGAGAUCAGGUUCUAGGUUGAGCGGUGAAGCCAACGUCGUCCCGCCGCCGUCGCCAUCGCUUCCAACGCCUCAGAUCCCAAAUUGCUAGGGUUUGUUUGGAUUUCUUUAUUGGGCUGAGUUUUUGGGCUUAUUGGUGAUGGGCUUGGUGGCUUUGGGCUUGCAAGUUGUCUCUUUUUUAAAUCUCCUUUAGCUAACUGUGUUUAGAUGUACAAAAGAGUCAUGUGCUUAAGUGUAAUAGAACUUUCUUGUAAGUUUACUGUGUACAUCAGCUAGUAGGCCUAAUUGUAUUGCUUGAGAAUUUGUAUGGGCUCUGUAGAAAAGGCUGAAUGUUUGGCUCUUGUAGCCUUGUACUGAGUAUGGCCCUUUCCAUCUAAUGAAACUAUUCCCUUUGACAAAAAAAAACAGUUUUUUGAAAAGAAAAAAAACUUUCCAUCUAAUGAAACUAUUCCCUUUGACAAAAAAAAACAGUUUUUUGAAAAGAAAAAAAAUUAUGAGGUCCCUAUAUAUAAACUCUUUGAAAUGUCUAACUAAUUCGUACAAGAAAAAUGCUAAUGAUUGACUCUCAUAAGUUAAUAGUGACGAAUCUAGACAUUUUAUAUUGUGAAGACAAUAUAUAUAAUAAAUUUAUAAAAAAAACAUAUUACUAUUAGAAGUUUUAAAACAUUUCAUAAUUGUUCUCAACGAGUUUUUAUAUUAAUACAAUUUUUUCAUUCUUAAUACUAUUAAAUACACCCCUCUCUAUAUAUAAGUAAUUAAACCAUUGUUUAACUAUUCAUCCCUCAUACAAUUUCACAUUCGAUUGGGGUUAUAUUAUUAACCAUCGAUCCCGUAGAAAAAAAUAACCCUCAAGCUGUAAGUGUUGAACCUAAAAUUAAGGGAGAGAUAGAAUGAUUUGGACUGAUGAUAAUAUGUGGGAAACAAAAUGGUAGUGCAACAACUUCACAUUUGUUUUUAUAAGCCAAAAAAUAUAUUGAAAUAAAAUGUACUUCAACCCAAUACAAAGAUAAAUGGGCAUUAGUUUUAACACCCCCUCAAUUAAUCUCCCACCCUCCUUUAUGCACCAAAAUAUCUGAAAUACCCUUUAAAAUUUAAUUUCAUUCCAAACAUAUCCAUUUUCCUAUCUUAUCACUACCAUCAUUUUUGUUUAUCACCAUCCUUCACUUUUACUCUCAUCUCAUAGUUUUCUUCGUUGCCACUUUUCACACUUAAUAUAUGUGAAAACAUUUCAUACAUUGUAAGUGUGAACCGAUGUAUGUUUGUUCUCUCUUCACCUUCUUCCUUUCGUUUUAAGUAUUUCACAUUUAACAGUUGGUUCCUUCACACUCUUGAGGGUGAAAUUUGAAAAUAUUUCACACUCUUGAGUGUGAAAUGAAAAUAUAAAAAAAUUAAUUUUUUUUAAAUAAAAUUAUUAACAGUUCAAUAACUCACACUCUUGAGUGUGAAAUUUAAAAAUGUUUCACACAUUUGAGUGUGAAAUUUAAUUAUUAAAAACUAAAUAUUUAAAAUUAAAAAUAAAAUUCUUAACACUUGGUUCUUUCACACUCUUGAGUGUGAAAUUUGAAAAGAUUUCACACUCUUGAGUGUGAAAUGAAAAUUAUAAAAAAAAAAUUAAAAAAUUAUUAACAGUUCAAUAACUCACACUCUUGAGUGUGAAAUUUGAAAAUGUUUCACACAUUUGAGUGUGAAAUUUAAUUAUUAAAAACUAAAUAUUUAAAAUUAAAAAUAAAAUUCUUAACACUUGAUUCUUUCACACUCUUGAGUGUGAAAUUUGAAAUUUAAUUAUUAAAAACUAAAUAUUUAAAAUUAAAAAUAAAAUUCUUAACACUUGAUUCUUUCACACUCUUGAGUGUGAAAUUUGAAAAGAUUUCACACUCUUGAGUGUGAAAUGUGUGAAAUGAAAAUUAUAAAAAAAACAAAAAAAAAUUAAAAAAUUAUUAACAGUUCAAUAACUCACACUCUUGAGUGUGAAAUUUGAAAAUGUUUCACACACUUGAGUGUGAAAUCUAAUUCUAAAGAAACGAAAAAUUUAAAAUUGAAAAUAAAGUUCAUUCACACUACUAAUCUUGAGUGCGAAACUGAAUUGUGUUUCACACCCUUGAGUGUGAAACACAAUUGUGCGAAUUGAGUAUUUUUAUUCUCUCUUCACCUUCUUCCUUUCGUUUUAAGUGUUUCACACUUAGUGAAUGUGAAAUAUUUUCACACAUAUUGAGUGUGAAAAUGUUUCACACUUAGUAUGUGUGAAAAUACUCUCACACUUUGACUAUCUCUUUAUAAGAGAGGGUAUUAAGGAAAUUUAGAAAAUAAAAGAGGGUGUGAGAUUAAUAAGGAGGUGUUAAAACUAAUGCCCAAGAUAAAGUUGCAAAAGAAGCUAUAGAACAACAUAUAAAAUUACAUCUCAAAAUGGCGUGUGAGGGAAAUUUUUAAGCCAUUCACUACAAUAUUAUAUUUCUCAUUUACUUGAAUUAUAUAUUUCUUUUGUAUUGAACUACAUGGAAACAUUCUGGAGCAGCUCGGGUUUACCUCGGUGCAAAGAGCUUGCUUGGCGCGCAUCUUCUGGCUAUCUUCCCGUGAGGACAGCGUUGGUGCGGCGUGGUGUGGAUGUAGAGGUUGAUUGCCCCUUAUGCGGUAUGGAACCGGAAACGGUUGAUCAUUUGUGGAUCCGGUGUGCGGUUACUCGAGCUUUCUGGUUUGGUAGCCCUCUUGCGCUACGGCUUGACAGGUUUGACACUUUGCAUGAUUUCCUGAGUUAUUUUAUUGAUUCAGCUGAGGAGGAUGCCAUCUCUUUGUGGCAAGCGACAUCCUAUGCUUUAUGGGAGGCUCGGAAUCGUGUUGUCUUUGAGGGACGUGCGUUCUCGGUCCCCUUGGUGGUGCAGCGUGCGCAGGACCUGGGUCAGUUGUUGCCGGCGAGUGGGACAAAGGUGCGGAAUGCUCCUUCCAUGGUGGCAGUUUGGCAGCGGCCUACGCGUGGGGUGAUCAAAAUUAAUUUUGAUGCUUCUUUCAGGUCUGCUUCUGAUAUCGGGGCAGGUAUGGUGGCCAGGGAUCAUGAGGGUUUUGUUUUAGCAUCAGCAGCUGCGUUUCCUUUAGCGGCCUCUUCUCCGUUGUUGGCCGAAGCUGCUGCUUUGCGUUGGGCUAUGGUUCUAGCCAUUCAGCUUGGUUUCCGUCGUGUUUGUUUUGAAACAGAUUGCUUGCAACUGUUUCAACGAUGGACCAAGCCUCCGGAUGGUGCUUCUUAUUUAGUUUCUAUUAUUAAUGAUUGUUUUGUUCUUUCCCGUUCUUUUGAUGUAAUAGACCUUUCUUUUGUUCGCCGUUCUGGCAAUGCGGUGGCGGAUUUACUUGCUAGGAAGGCUUCCUCAUUCGCCGGUUUAGUGUGGAUUGAGGAAGUCCCUUCUGAAGCGAAUUCAUUUAUUUCUGCGGACCUUUUGGCCUCCGUGCCAGUCCAAGUUUAAUGUUAUUCAGACAUAUUUCAAAAAAAAAAAACUACAUGGAAACAUAGAUCGUAUAAUAUGCAAACUUAAUUAAUGAAUGAAGAUCGCAACAUUAUCAAAAAUAACAUAAACAUUGAAAUUCUUUCCUCGUAAAGUAUAUCAUCUACAACAAAAGGAUUCUAGUUUGCUACUUCUUUCCACUUAAUCUAAUACCACCUUUCAAAUUCUCCCAGAUUGAUUCUUCCGAAGACAGAGUCUCACCACGACCAUUAUUAAUAUAUACCUAGACAAGCAUCCUGGUAAGAAAUAGAGGCUACAUUGUUAAAAAAAUUGUACAAGAUUUUUAUGAUUUCUCUGUUAUUUUAAUUUCUUUUUAAGCGUUGAGUGGGAUUGACAACUCAAAGUUUCAAGUAUUGAUGGUUUCGUGUUGCAGAAUAUUAGUGAUCAGAAAGUGUGUAUAAAAUCACCACUGUUAUGGGUGAUGUAGAACGCGAAAAGAAAAAUCACUGAAUAGAUUAAUAGUUACUGAGACGAGAGUGUGCAAGCAGACCAGGCCGUACGUUGCUCUUCUUUUGGACUUUUCUUGUGCAGGAUGUAUGAUGAACGGUGAUGGCGUGAACUAAUUAUAUAAUGCGAACAUUCACUUUCGAAGCCGUCUUUAUGGUAAACCUAAGAAUUUUUUUUGCAUUAUCUUCUCUUAAAAAAAAAUUAUAGGUAUAUUCGUGAAGAAAUAAUUCUAUUUAACUAAGAAAUAUUUACAUUUUAAUGUGUGUAACUCUUUCAGGGAACAUUUUUUCACCCACAAGACUUAAAUUUGAGAUUUUACUAAAAGAAUUACUCAAACUAAUCUCUUGAAAUGGAAAUAUAAAAAUGAUUGGUGGAUCACUCUAUGGUGACAAACACUCCAAACACUUAUUUUUGUGGCGGUUUCAAACCUCCACAAAACGCGUUUUUUAUUUUUUAUUUCACAUUUUUCACUUUAUAGCGGUUAGUGAGUGACAAUUAAAAUGAUUAUAAGUCCCGGGGAUGUAGCAUUUAACAUUAUUUAAUUUAUAUGCACCUUAAAUAGUUUUUCUCUAUUCACUUUUCUUCCUAUGUGACCAUUUUUUUUUUAUGACAUUUGACAAAAAUUAAUAGUACAUGCAUGACAUGUUAACGUCUUUCGCUUUUCCUAUUUUUUUUAUUACAUAUGGUCUAGGUGGAGUUUUUUUGACGUGGUCCAUCAAUUGUAACACUUUUUUUUUAUGGUAAUACGUACAAUUUUAGUAUAUACAUUGAAGAAAUAGUUAUAAGGGCUAGCUACCUAGCUUAAGUGAUAAGAGAUAUGAGACAUAAGAGUUGACGAGAAUGAAAAGUGAAAGGUCCAAGGUUGAAACCAUGAGUAAAAACUAAUUAAUUAACAUUUACCUAUAAAAAAAAUGCAAACGGUUAUAUUUUAGGCUUUUGUUAAUCUGAAGUUGUUUAAAAAAAAUCUUUUUUUUUGAAAAUUGUUUUAAAAAAAAUUAAUCUGAAGUAGUUGUUUGGUGAAAAUUUUCACCAAAAACACCAGAAAAAAUUCUGAAGUAGUUGUUGUGAUCGAAGUUAGAUUGUUUUUGUCUAGUUUGACUUCACAUGGGCCAACGAUUGUUUCUACUCGGAGUGAAUUUUCAUUGGGCUUAUUGAAUUGCCUCCAGAAUAUGUCCUGAGUUUGUUGACUUGUUCCAUGUAUUGAGUCCUAUGGCUUCCAGAAUUUAUUUAUGGGAAUUAAUGAAAUAGGGAUGUUUGACAAAAAAAAACAGUGAUAUAGGUCUACUUCUCUUUUCUGUUGAAAAAAAUUAAAAAACUCGUUUAUCCUUAUUUUCAAAAUUUUCUUUAAAAAAAAAAUUCUUAUUUACAGAUUUGAAAACUAAAAUCUCAAAACAACAUAGAAAUAUUUUCUAUUUUUAGUUUUCAAAUUAAAGUUUUCUUAACAUUGCAAAAUACCUCUGGCUGGUGUUUUGGACGGACUGGGUGGUCGCUGGCGUUGCUAUUUUUUUAUCUCGUUUGAAGAGGGUUGUAAAUCCAUGUCAUUUUCUCAUCAAUCAAUAUAUAUUUUGCUUUUGAAAAAAAAUUACAAAACCCCUUUUGAUAAAAAAAACUUUUGAACUACAAAUUUAAAUUUUAUUUUUAAGACAGUGUUUGACCCGACUUUUUUUUAUCUUAAAAGUUACUUUUAAAUAAAAGUAAAAAAAUAUAAUAGCUCUUAGAAAAAAGUAAAAGUUGUUUGUCAUUUUUUUAUAACUUAAAAGCUAUUUGUUGGUUAGUAAAUCCACAACACUAGGUGGUUGAAGCGACAUGAUGGUAGAGAGCCAGGUAGCACUAGUGUUGGAGAUCGGUAUUACCUAUUGACAGUGAUCGCGGUGGUAGUGGUUGUUACCGGUGGGGUGGUGGCAGUGGUGGUGAUGGUGCAGGUGGUGAAUGAAGUGUUGACGGCAAUGAUAGUGGUGGUGGUGGUGGUCUUGGUGGUAACAACGAUGGUGACGGUGAAUAGUUGUCUUCUAGAAUCAUGCACCACAAUCAGAUAUUGAAAUACUUUCUUACUUGGAAAAAAAAAGAAGCAUAAUGAGUGAAAAUGAAGUGAAAAAGAAAAAAAAAAUUCAACUGAAUAUCAAAACUCUUAAAAUAUACAUUUUACCUCAUCUUUAAAAUAUGAGAGAUUCCACUAAUUGUUUCUCAGGUAGGGACACUUUGUCUUACUCCACCUCAAUAACUCCUAGGAGUCUAAAUUGUAAGAUAUUCAAUGGAAUUCAAGUAGAGAUGACAGGAAAACCCAAACCUGCGGGCCCAAUCCGAACACGACCCGAAAUUUCGGGCGAACCCCGAUAUUUUUGGGUUUGAGUUUGGGUUUGGGUUUCACCCAAAUUUUAAAACAUGUUUGGGUUUAGGUGUGAAAUUGAUUAAACUCGCACCCAAACCGAAACUCAAACCCGAAACCUUAUGCAUGUAAUUACCAGCCCUUACAUAUAUUAUUAAAGUUACUAAGUAGAGUUUUCUUUAAAGUUACUAAGUAGGUUUAUGUUCAUGAACUAUAUUUUUUCCUUUGUAUCGAAAUGAUUAUGAGGUUUAAUCAGCUUAUGUUCAAUUUGUUCUCUUAUGCACAUGUUGCUUUCGGAUCGAUAUUUUUGGUUUUUGCCGGUUCGGUGCUCACAUUAGGUUUUGAGUUUGAGUUCGGGUAACCCAAAACCUAGGGUUUGAGUUUCGGUUUAACUUUUGCACCCAUAUAAAAUUUGAGUUUGGGUGUUAAGUUUGGAUUUGGGUGUGGAAAUGGCCAAACCCGCACCCACGGGCCAUUACCAACCCUAAAUUCAAGACACUGAAAUGCAAUUAGAACCGAUUAAGAAAGUUCUUAUUGGAAAUACAAUUAACAUUCAAAUUUAACUUAUAUUAAAAUUAAAAUAUGAGAGAUGGGAUCACUAUUAAAAUAAUAUUUAAAAAAUAGAAUUGAAAAUUUGAAUAUGAACUUUUCAUUUUCAGCACACCAAAAUAAUACAUGUCACGUAUACAUGUUCACGCAAUCCUAGAGACACAUGGCUAGCAUAUGCUUCCUCAGCUGGCUAUAAAAUCAGCUACCCACAACACCAAGCCAUGCAAGUCACUACCAUAGCUCUCUACCAAAAAUGGCCACUUGUACCACCGCUUUAUUGAUCCUCCUCCUCAUCCUUGCCACGGCUACCACCACCACCUUCAGCCUCCUAGAAAUGGAGGUGCUCCAAAUGGCUCAAACCCAGGUUUCACAGGCCAAGAAUUGGGUUAAUGGGAACAACUCACAAUAUGGAUUGGGAACCCUUUCAGAUGAAACAAGGAGUAGUGUUAAUAUUGUGGGUGGUGUGGCUCUAAGAGAUUGUUCCAAGCUCUAUGAGGAGAGCGAGUCUCGUCUCUCUCGCAUGGUGUCAUCUGACAAGAGUAGUUACACCAAAGAAGACGCGCUUACAUGGGUAAGUGCUGUGAUGACAAACCACAGGACUUGUUUGGAUGGACUUCAGGAAAAAGGGCAUGUUGAAGCUCAUCAGUUAUUGAGUAGAAAAAACUUGACCACGUUGCUUGGGCAAGCUCUUAUUUUGUAUUCUAAGACCAAAGUAAAAGGCAAAGGUAAGUAACUUGUAGUUGUAGUAGAUAUAUAAUGUGCAUAUUUAGAUAUACCUUGAAAUUUUAUCAGAAUCACGUGAUAUCAAUUAUAUGAUGAUGGUUAUAUGAUGAUGGACACUCGCAAAAAUUAGAAAUAGUGCUUCUGUUUUAUUGUAAUUUCGACUACACUUGAUUUUUCAAGGUAUAUUCAAACAUGUAUAAUGUUGAUGUUUUUCUUAAUUUGCAAUCUUAGCUCUUGCUCCCUGAAACCAAUUUGGUUAACUAGUUUGGGAAAUUUCAUGUGUACAUGUGUAUGUAUCGGUAUCUAUAUCAACUUUGACAUUUACUGCUAAACUUCAUCUGCAUUCUGCAGUGCACUUAAUGUUUGCAUAAAUGAGACCAGGGCACUGGUACCCACGCAGUCCACCAUUUUUAUUAAUAAAGGGGGAAUCUAGACAUUUCAAGACAUGAAACUAAUAAGUACAAAGCACAUUCGUGUGGGAGAGUUGGGAUGAUAAUGUUGUGGAAAUUAAAAAUAUGUAUGGUUGAUAAUGUGAUGGGAUAAAUAAGAAAAUAUGAAAUUAGAAAGGAAAAUAUUUUGGAAUCCAAGUUUUUUGCUGCAACCAGUAAAUUAUCUUAAACUCUUUUCAUUGAUUUGGUCUAUAAUUAUGUAAGGUAAUCAUGCAAGAAAGUGUAAAGAACUCCUGCAUAUAUAGGUGCAGAUUUGAGAAUUUUUCUCGUAUGAAUAUAAUCAUACUCUUCAAUGCAAGCUGCAGUGGAACAAUAAUCCACCACAUGCAUGUAUAAUAUGUCUCUCUUUGUAUAUAGAGUCCUUAAUUUAGAAGAUUGUGUUGUCAUUUUUUCCCUUUUGUUAAUCACUAAAAUGUUGAUUUUAAAGUUCAUUAUUAUCUUUAUCAUUUAUUAGGCUAAAUAAUCACUAAUUAUUUUUCAAUUAUAAAAACUUGCAGCAAUCAGAAAGGUACAUGGAAAAGUUAUUCUAAUUUUAAUAAUCCUUUUACUUCAAAAUUAAAUUCCAUGAGGCAUGCAUAAUACACUAUAGUGAUACAUCCAUGAUCCUGUGCCACGCUAAUUAAUCAGUUAAAUUGUACCCAUGUUUCAUGGUAUUGGACGUGUCAUAUCUUAUUUGUACUCUUGUAGUAGCUAUAGCUAGAUACUACUAGACAAACUCCACCUAUAUAAAGGAAAGCAUAGCCACGACGACCUCCUUUUUUCUAUCGGCAAAAGAAUUUAGAAGAAUGUCUUUACUACGGAAGUUCAGAAUAUUGUCCUUUAUUGCAUGAAACAAACAAAAGAAAUAAAUAAAUCUGACUGGGAUGUGCAUUAUGCUCAUUAUUGAUCUCCCCUUUGUAGAUACAUGUACGAAAAUGUAGACUUUCUAUUAUUUCAGUUACUAACCAUUUGGUUCUUCCCUCAGUAAAAGCAGAUUAUUUUUUCAUCAAAAUUGUUUUGAUACUUUUUUUAUAAAUAUUUAAUAAUUAAAAGUUAAUUUUAUAAUACUUUAUCAAACUAAACAGGGUGAGAAAGUGGUUAAUUACCUUCAUCCUCAACACCCUUAUUUUGGUUGGAAAAUUAUUGGUGAAGAAACAACAUAGAAAUUAGGAGCGACGCCUUUCUAGGCAUACAUUAGCGUGGUUUUUGACCUUUGCAGACUUUUGCGGCGGUUUGUGUGUAAAAAAAUGUCGCUUUUAAUUUGUCUGUCUACAUAAAAAGAACUCAUUUAAUUUUGAUUUGUGUUACAGGACUGCAUCACAAAACAGUAUCCGAAUCAAAUGAUGGUCUUGCUUUAGAAUCAUGGAGUCCAGCUGCCCAUAAGGCAGAUUUCACGGUGGCACAGGACGGUUCAGGCAGCCACAGAACAAUUAGAGAAGCGGUGGAUGCAUUGGCUGCAAUGGGGCACAACCGUGGUGGAAGAAGAGCAGUUAUACAUGUGAAAGCAGGAGUCUACCAUGAGAAGGUGGUGAUUGGAAGCAAAAUGCACAAUGUGAUGUUUGUAGGAGAUGGAAUAGACAGAACUAUCAUCACUGGAAACAGAAAUGUUGUUCAAGGUUCUACCACUAUGAACUCUGCCACAUUUGGUAAGACCCUAAAUACCUUACCAAAUAAGUAUCAUAUUCAAAAUUGAAAGUACCUCUGUUUUUUCCUGUUUUCCUAUGUCCUUUUAGUAUACAAACGUAUAACACAUCCUAGAAAAAAAAGAUAACUGCUCGAUUCAGGACAGAUUGAUUUUACAGUGUUUUCCUAGUGUGUUCCAAUCUGGGUUACUAAAAUUGAUUUUGCACAUAAUUGAUUCUACUAAAGUUGUGUAAAUGUGAUUUAUGUUAGGAUACUUUUAUGAAUAUGUGUUUUUUGUAGGAUAACUUAUGAAAUUCAGUUGUGAAAUCUCAUGACUAUGUUUAACACGGAAACAACUAAUUGUUGUGGCAAGUGAAUAAUGUUCCUUUCACAUCUCUCUUUGAGGAGGAGAGAUAGAAAGAAAAGAAAAAGUAAGAGAAAGAAAAUAUGAGAUGUAAUAGAUGAUAAGAGAAGAAAGAUUGAAAUAAAAAGAUGUGGAAAUGAAGUGUUUAAAAAAUGAGGUGUGCAUAUAUCAUUAUUAGUGGCAAGUAGAAUUGAUUCUUGAACCAUGAAAUCAAUUUUAUUGGUAGACUCAAUCUUUAUUUUACCACUUAAAAUUGAUUUUUACCUUGUAGAAUUGAUUCUUAAGCAAACAUGCAUGAAGAGUUUGGUUCUCCAUGGGAGAACCUCAUUAUAGUAGAGUAAAAUAAAAUCUUUGAGUGAUAAUAAAGAUGUUUGAAAAUCACUUUAUAUAAAUGAUUUCACUCCAAAAAUCCAUUUUCGUAUAAGUUAGAGAAAGUAAUUUUUGUGUUAAACACUGAGAGUGUAUAAUUUGAUUUCACAACAUUACAUUAAUUUUUUUUUUAAUCUAAACAUAUAUGAUUUCACUAUCGACUUACUUUUAUUAUAACUAAUUUUCUCCGAAAUCAAUUGUGACAAUAGUAAUCUAAACAGGCACCAAGCUUAAUUAUAAAAUAUAAACUGAGAGAAUUUUUCUACACAAGCUGUUCUGUUUUUCCAGAAGGGAUAGAAAAAUAGUACAAGAAAAAGUAAGACAUGAUUUCUAAAUGUACCAAUUGAAAAGUUUGCUAACUUGAUUUUGUGUGUGUGUGUGUGUGUAUGUAUGAAACAGAUGUAUCAGGGGAUGGAUUUUGGGCAAGAGACAUAACGUUUGAGAACACAGCAGGCCCAGAAAAGCACCAAGCAGUUGCACUCAAAUCAAGCUCCGACUUCUCAGUUUUCUACAGGUGCAGCUUCAAAGCCUACCAGGACACUCUCUACGUGCACUCCAACCGCCAAUUCUACCGCGACUGCCACAUAUACGGCACCAUAGACUUCAUCUUUGGGGACGCCGCAGCAGUCCUGCAAAACUGCGACAUCUUCGUGAGGAAACCGAUGAGUCAGCAAUCCAACUUCAUCACCGCGCAAGGAAGAGACGAUCCUAACAAACCAACUGGGAUUUCGAUACAGGGUUGCAGGGUCAGGCCCACCUCCGAAGGUGUUUCUUCCAAGACCUUCCUGGGAAGGCCUUGGAAGAAAUACUCGAGGACAGUGUUUAUGAAGAGUGAUUUGGAUGGGUUGAUUCACCCCAGAGGGUGGGGUGAGUGGAGAGGAAAUUUUGCACUCUCUACUCUGUACUAUGGAGAGUAUAUGAACAUUGGAAGUGGUGCUUCUACACAGAAUAGGGUGAAUUGGCCUGGUUUUCAUGUGCUGAGGAGUGCUGGUGAGGCAGCACCAUUUACUGUGAGUCGGUUUUUGCAAGGGGAUCGUUGGAUUCCAGCUUCAGGGGUGCCAUUCUCGUCUGAAAUUUAAUAAGUGGGAAGGUAUACUUAGUUGGUGUAUGUAACUAGAUGGUAUUGAUCCAUUAAUGUUAUGUAAAUCAGUGUGCUAUCUUGACUGUGUUAGCAUGUUAGUUACUACUAAUUAGCAGAUAGCACUGUAUUAUUGCUAGCUUGGUGUCAUCUGAUGCUCCCAAAUCCCAAUUUCCCACAGCUGUCACCAGGCUCAAGACUAAUGUAAGGCUAUACAAUAUUGUUAUACGAAAUAAAAUCUAUAUUAUCAUGAUAAUGGUAUAAUUAGUGUACUUUUGAAAACAAAAUAGAAAGCAAAGGGAGGAGGGUAUUCACUGUUGAAAUGGGACAUUUAUUGGUGCCCCUAUUUUACUUUAAAUAUCUGCCUUUAAGAGAUUAACUGUUGAGCCUUUCUAGCUAGAGUAAAGAAAAAGUUAAGGGUUAGAUAUGGACUUGUAACAAGGUGUCAUUUAUGUUGGCAACUUCAAUUGAAAAAAAAAGUUUUGAAAGUGCCAUCAACCUAACCUUAACCUUGACAACUUUAAAAUUAAAAAAAAUAAUUAAAAUAAAGUGUCAAGCAACUUGAACAAUUAAAAAAUGAAAGUGCUUCAUGGUAUGAGACAAAGUUCUUGGAUUGGGUGAGAUGAAGGGUCAAGAAUCCAGGAUUUGAACACUAAGGAUGAUUAAUUUACUAACAUUAUUAACAACUAACAUUUAUGUAUAAAAAAAUGAGACGAAGUUCGUUUGUUUAGUUUUAUCCUCUUUUUAUUGACUAUUGAAAGUUCUCCUGGGAUGGUAGUCUGGCACGAGAUGAAGUUCGUCGAAGUUUAUUUGCUUAGUUUUAUUCUCUCUGUAUUAACUAUUAAUUAUAAAUCUUAUCUCAUUAAUAAAGUUAACUUGACAAUGAUUGGUUGGAGUAUCGAUUUGUUAAAUUCGUGAGUCCAAUCUUUCGAGCCAUAUAUCAUUGUUCAUUAAAAAAAGGUCUCAACAAUUUACAUGUGGGAAAAUUUUGAAUUAGGCGGAAGUUGAAUAAUAGUAUUGUUUAAGUUGGUGUCUAUUGUUGCGAAGUUUAGAUUUCUACCUUCUACCACCUGAGCUGCUUGAGAUCUAUGAUUUUCCCCGAGGGAGCUAGAGGGAGCUCAUUGAGCUACUCAAUGGAUCAAUCCACUAUGGACGAAGUUUGUAUGUCAAUGGAUCCCUUAAUUAUUGGGGAACUCUAGGUCUCAAGAGGACUAAUGCCCCUUUUAAGAGAGAUACUCUAGUCUCCACUUAUUUAUAAGUUGCACAUGUGAAGAUGAAGUAGUGUUUUAAAAAACUUAGAGCGACUUGCAAAAUUUGUUUUUAACUCAAUAAAUUAAUGGAAACUAUAUAUUAGUAAAUGAACUAAUAAAAAACACAUAUCAUAAUAAGGAUCUAAACAGACAAAGUGAAGAAUCAUUUAGCGGUUUAUUUUGGCAGCAGCUUCUAAGUUCAAUGUACUUUUUUUUGUUGGAGUGCCCUGUAUCUUGGGUGUUUUUUUAUUUAUUUGAGCGUCUUUCAUUUUAGAGGGUUGUUAGACCUAAUGAGAAUAUUUAUUAUUAUUAUUAUUAUUAUUAUUAUUAUUAUUAUUAUUUUUUUUAUUAUUAUCUAUUUAUAAAUAAAAUAUUUUACUUGCGAAAAAAAUCUAAUAAUACUGUGAACUAAAUUAAAUAUUGCUCCAUAUGAUUUUUUAUAUCAAUUACUAUGUUUUUAAAAUGUAAUAUAUUUUAUAAAUAGGACCGGAGUAUAUAGUUUAGGCUAAGGUAUUCACGACACCAACAAGGUGCUGAUUUUUUUAUAGGCAAACUAAACCCCUAUAAGAAUGAGGUUACAAGAUUAAACCUUAACAAUAUCAAUAGUUAGGAAGGACAAUUGCAGUUUACAUUGUAGGUGCCCACACCAAAUUUACAUUAUAUAACUAAUAUAUAUAGUGAUGAUAUUGAAAUGUAAUUCAUUCCUAGACAAAAAUAGACAUAUUAUAAAAUGUAACAUUUAAUAUUGUUGCUUAUAACUAAUAAACUUCGUAUAUGUCCAAGUAAAUUUGUAAGACUAAAACGGUCUAGCACAUAUGGUGUGUAUGAAGAAUGUUACGUUGGGGAGAUAAAUUCACCUAAUGCGAUUUUUGAGUUUUGCGUGAUUAGUUUCAUAACUGCGGUUGUGAGAAUAUUUUAGGGAAAAGAUGUAAGAGAAAGUUAUUUUAAUUUAUGAAUCUAAUUUUUCUUUUUAUAGUGGACACAUCCCAAACGAAAGUUAAAGAACUCAGUAAACACUAAUUUUCUUAUCUUUGACACAUUGAUUAUAAGUAAAUUAAAUUAAUAAAAGUAAAGAUAGUGAAAUAUGAUGGCUAAUUGGCUAUGCAUGUAAAAUUUGUGGAUUAUCAAAACUUACUUCAAAUAUCAAAUAAAGUUAAUUAAUUUGUUACAAUUGUCAAUGAGAAAAAACAAAUAAAUGAAGUAAGAAUCACCUAGCUAGAUCGGUUGCUUUAAUUUGGAAGUCUCUGUUCCAAAUGAACUGAACUUUCCUUCCUGUGGAUACUAGCUGCAAAAGUUUCGAUUAUUUAUUUCUCCACUUGACUUGUUAUUCCAGAUUCCAAUCAAAUCCAAAACUAUAAAAACAAAAUAUUUAGUUACCAGUUUGGUUGUAUCGAUAUAUCUAUUUAUCUUUCUAUUUAUAACAUGUACAGAGCCUACGACCCUUACCAGUUGCCAAAUCAUCCUUUGCUUCUUUUAGUAUUCAAUUCCUACACGUUGUAUCAUGACUAAAGUAUACGUGGAGCAGAUAUUCCAUGAACUGAACAGAUCAAAUUGGUAUCAUUUCCUUCUGACUGAAUGAUCAUAACAAAAAGAAUAAGAGAAGAACAAGACCUAUUGUUACGUUACCCGUACGUAAUGAAUGGAAUAUAUUAUGUCAUAGAUGUUAUGAACUUGCACUUCUUUUGAAUGAGUAUUGAUAUCGAUCUUCAACACAUUGAGUUGAUUACCAAAUUGUAAAUAAUAUUUAUUUCGAUUUUUUUAUGAACUUACUAGUACUUUUACCCGUGCGUUGCACGGGGAUAUUCAUUUUUAUUUAUAGCGUGAAGCUUUUUAAAUUUCUUGUUAUUUUUGUUAUGUUUAUCAAAAGAAAUUUUAUGAAUUAAAAGAAAAAAAUAACUUUAGAUAUAAUAAAACAUAAAUUUGAAAGUUUUUUUUCAAGUAAUGUGCAUGAAGAAGGACUUGUUGGGACAUGUCUACCCACUUAAUAUCAUCUCCGAGCCUUGAGACGAAUUGUCUCAUAAAUGCCGCAAGGGAUCUAAAUUUUUUUAAUCACAGGAAUUCGUAAAAAAUAUGUGUUAUUUUUGUUUUGUAUAUUAAAAGAUAAUAUAUGAAUUAAAAAAGGAUUAAAAAAUAAAAUUAAUUUUAGAUAUAGAAAAAUAUAAAUAUGUAAGUUUUAUUUCCCUUUGGAAAUGUGCAUUUGUUUUGUUUUGUAGAAACACAAUUCUUUUUUUAUUGUGGUUUUUGUCUUGUAUUAUCUUUUUGUGUUAUCGUUUGUUGUGCUUUGAAAAAUUGUCCUUGUUUAAUCCAAAUGCUGCAUUUUUUGUAUAACAAUUUUUUACAUAAUAAUUUAAUAUGCAGAUUUGAAGUAACAUAGAGAAUAAUGAUUGCUCUAAUGAUUUGCUGAAAUAAAAGAAAAAAAUGGAAAGUUAAUAUUUAGUUUUAAGACUUAUUUAAUAACAUUUUAAUAACCUUUUAUUUUGUUUUUUUAUUCAUAAUAUUUAACCACUAAGUAUUACACUAACAUCAAUCGUGUCAGGUAGAAAGAAUAGUUACAUUUGUUUUCAAUUUCAAUUAAAAUAAAGUUAUUUUUCUGUCGUUUAAAAAAAGUUAUUUUUCUGAUUUGGCAAAAAACAAUUGGGAUAUCGGUGAACAAAACUGACAAAAUUGGGGACAAACAAUGAAAUCUUAUGUCUGAUCUUGUUCUAAAGCCUACAAAAUAUUGAUUAACCCUAAUUAAUCUCUGGACAUUGCCACUACUUAAUUCAUGCGCUGGUUAACACAUUGACAUAAUUCUCUCUAAUUCCGGCAUCACCUACUUCAACAUGGCGGUUCCUCUUCUUUAAGCGCGACAAAGGAACCUUGAACUUAAAUGGCCAAAGGAAUUUGUUUGCCUCCUUAAAAUGAGGCCUAACAGUCAUGAUCUCAUGGAUACGGUCUCAUAAUUCCAUACUUACCCAUGGCCUCCUCAAUAACAGAGUUAUCAAUCAGAGUAGUUCUGCAGGGUUCACCUGGAAAGGAAUUCCCAUCACUUAAAGUAAAUAGUUAAAUGGAAAGUAUUUCACACAUCAUAAUCCAAAACAGGCAAUAUCAGUUUAUUAAAGAUCAAAAUAGGCAAAAUCCAUCUACUCUUCCACAACAUCCCUCAGUCGAAACGGGAGUGAAAGCUACAAAAUCAAAUUAAGAAAAAGUGAGCAGAACACCAAUUUUAACAGCCCAAGACUUACAUAGAAAGAGAGUAAUAUAGAUUUACACAGAAAUGGAAAGAUAACAUCAAAACAUGUUCGUGUUCCCCUUGUGUAUGCUUCACAGUAUCUCCUUAUGGGCUCAUUUGGAAUCAGUUCCAGUGGAAGAUGAAGGCACCAGUCCUAGUAGAAAGAAAACCCCCUUGUGUAAGGUCUUCACUAAGAAAUAAAAUUUUUAUUUGCACCGGUCCUUGUCAAAUAACAUCAAUCUUAAAAUAUCAGAAUAGUGCUGGCUAAAGAACUACAACAGCACUAAGAAAAGCCAUGCAAUAGACCAAUCUCUUUUCAGUUUAUGCAUUGGGUCAUGUCUCUAUCAUAACUCCAGGCAAGCAUGACUUUCUUUGAAGUUGAUCUCCAACCACAACAUUACAAUCAAGAACCGUCUACAAACUACACUCAGAAAUUGCUUACUUGUAAAAAUGGAAAACUUUUUGAUGGUUGGUAUUUUAACAUGAUAACCUCCAAUCGUUAAAUCUUGACAAAUUACAGGAUAAGAUCAUAAGAUUUACCACGAGGCUCAUGAACUUCUCGCCUUCUUCUUGGCGGAUUUCAAAGAAACCCUUCUUAAAAUAUAAAAAAUAUUCUCAUUGAAAGUGCAAAAUGUUGCCUCAAAUAUUACAUUUGAUUUCUUAGGUGGAUAUAAAUAUUGAUUAUCAGACAAUACAUUAACACAGAGCAUACCUUUUUAGGAUUCACUGUGACUGUGAUAUCAAGAACUCUAUGCUCUAAAGCUUUUUUCACUUCAUUCGUACAUCAUACACAUGCAGGUGAGAAGGCACUCCAUAUUAACACAUUAAUUCAUAACCAAUACACUAACACCUCAAUUAAAAAUACUAAAUAGGCAAAGCUAAUGCUCACUGGUUACAUAACAAAUAAUGAUGACCCUUAAACACACUUAAUGCAUUAUGACCAUUCAUUUUUGUAACUGUGAAACCUUCAUUUUCUAAUUAAAAGUGACUCUAUUUCUAAAACGUAACUCCCGUUUAAGUGGUUAAAUUUAGCAAUCAAAAUAGAAACUGCAAUGGUUAAAUAUCAAUACAAUAAAGGUAUACUAUGAAGUGGUAAGAAUUUUUGUUUGGAAUCUCAUUUCAACAUCAUUUCCGUUAUUGUGUGAUUGUGUUUCUAACUCACGUACCUUUUGGAGCCAAUCAUAGAAAUACAGGACUAUCCUGAAAAAAUAGAACUAACCUUCCAGGACUCUUUCUAAUUAAAGGCUAAUAUAUGCAGCAAAAUGAUGUGAACCAUGUUACCUCGUAAGAAAUAGGAAAAAAAAACAAACAAACAAUAGCAGCAAAGGAGGACUAAUGAAAUGAGAAGAAAAAUAUGAUAUGCUAUCUCCCUCUCUCUUUCUCUCUCAUUCAGUUUUCAAUUCUGUUUUGCUUACUCAGUCAUAUAACAUUCCAAACUCUUUUCCUCAGGGAAUGUUAUUUUUAACCCUCCACAGAUUAACCAAAUAAUUAAUUCAUUCAUCUCCACUAUCUCUAGCUUGGGUAUUUUUCCUAUUAUGUUUUGUAAUUUAAAGAAAACAAAGCUUCAAACCCUCCACAGAUUAAAGAAAACAAAGCUUCAAACCCCUCUCCCUAAUACUCUGCAUAUCCAUAACAAAACAAUGAUUCCCAAACUUUGAUAAAGGAACCAAAUUUGAUUCAGAACACACAGACAUGGACAAACACAAAUGUUACCUUUAUCAUCAUACAUGUUCCAUUGGUAUGCUUUUUUCCAAUGAUUAAUCAAUAUUGUAGCAGAUCAAUGUUGCACAAAGAGGAGUAGAGAAAUCUUAUGUUAAUUUAAGAGAGAGAAAGGGAUAAGGACAAAGCAUUGUCAAUUUCUGAUGGUUCGUGUGAGAGUGGAAAGGAAUAAGAGUUGAGUUGAGAGAAUCAAAGGGGAAUGGGGAAGGUUAACCUGGGCAUCUGCGAUGAUGGUGAGAAAAUGUCUCGCCAAGGCUGUGGAAACAUAAAUGAAUGCAGUCAGCCAGUCAAUCGGGAGGAUGGAGGGCAAGGCUCCACAAUUAAUUUAAGUGAAUAUGUAUUACCCAUUGGUAAAAUCAGAUCAAAUACAAUUACAAAAAUAGUCAAUGGAAGCAAACCUCAAUUGCAGUAUUUGGAAGAAGCUCAGAACCACUAUCACGCACAAAUCUAUGCCCUCCUAUCACAGUUUCUAGUAUAAUGUUGCCUCAGUUCAGCAACACCUUGACACACUUCCGAUCCGCAGUUGUUCCCCUCUUACCCAAUCAUUUUGUAAGCCUUUGUUUACCUGUCACUGCCAUGAGAUAUGGAUUAGUUAGUAUAGAAAAUGAAGGAAAAAAAGAAACAGAUAGAAUCAGUUGGAAAAUGGAGAAGUUAAAUCUAUGACACUUAACUCCAUAAGCACCUCGAGGUUGAAAUGGAAGAGAGAUUUCUUCUCUAGCAUCAUUCUAUCAAAGCUUAACAGCAACAAAAGCAAAACCCCCACAGAAGAAGUCAUCUGCCCCCUUUUCAGGUUUCCCUCAUGAAAGACCCUGUCAUCGCAUCCUCAAGUCGGCAACACCAAACGCACCUCCAUCAGCCAGAACCCAUCCACUGUUAAAGGAACAACGGUUGAACUGCAGGGUGGGAUUUCAGGCAGCAUUGAUCUGAGGAGAAAAAUAGGCCCAUGAGUUUAUACAAUUUCGAUUUCAGGUGAGAAGGUAUACCCAAUGCAUCGCCCUGAAAUGAAACGGGAAAAAUACAUUCUUACCUAAACGGUGCAGGAUCAUGUGCGGCUCUCACGUGGGCGUAGAGGGGGAGUUGGGUUUGACACCCCACCUAUGGGGCUUGGCACCCCACUUUAUCAAAAUACGGAAUUUAAAAUUCCGUAUUCUCCCUAUUGAAUACGGAACUUAAAAUUUCGUACUGUAUUUAAGCAUGCGUGUCACAUUUUCAACCAUUCAUUAUAUACUAAAACAGAUACGGAAUUUUAUUUUCCGUAUUGAUACGGAACUUUAAAUUCCGUAUUUAAUAAAGUGGGGUGCAAAGCCUAAGGGGUGGGGCACCAAACUCAAUUCCCGCGUAGAGGAGGAGGGCGUCGAGGGGCUUCUGGUCGCAGAUGAAGCCGAUGAUGAGGGAACCAACGGCUGUGAUUCAAUUUGGUGAAAAUUAUUUGCAUUUUUACAAAACUACCCAUGCUUAAUUUGAGAGUUGUGUACAAUUAAAUAUUGAAUAACUAAUUUGCCCUCAAGGCUGCACAAACUCUCCAUUUAUAUAUAGUAUAGAUAGAUAGAUAGAUAGAUAGAUAGAUAGAUAGAUAGAUAGAUAGACACUUCUUUUCGUCCCUGUAAUUUAAAAGUGUUCCAAUUGAAUUCCUCAAUUCUCAAAAUUGAAUGUACCAAAAAAAAAUCUCAAAAAUUAUACAACACAAUCAUGUUUGGACAAUAUUUGUUCAACUUUAAAAAUAAAUGGAUUUAAUUUGAGCAAUUGAAAUUAUAGACACUAUAAGAAAAGUGAUCAAACCAAAAAUCAACGGUACAACUAUUUUAGCGUCGCAUUGGUGCAAAAGUUAAAAGGGAUGAAGCUGACGUUUAGAGUCAGACAAAUAACUGACAUUAAGUAUUAGAGUCGAUUUAGCCGAGUCUAAGCUUACGCAACAUCAUCAGAGACGUUGACCGACACAAAUCCUUACAAAUUAGAGUAGGUCAUAUAUGUCAACUCUAUUUAACUAUUUAGCAUGACCAGUGUCGACCCAGCUAGGGGUCGAUGCUAACAUCAAUUGUUAAUGCACAAAUAAUGAUGACGUUCAUCAUUUGAUCAUGAUCACAAUUCACGGGUGCAUAUAUAAAUUAAAAUUGUCGCUCUCGACUAGGGCAAACACUAUCCCUAACUGAGAGUUACUAUCUUCAAAUUAGGGUUAAUGUUUAACCUGCUCGAGAUCACAAACUUACGACCUUGUAAAACAUUAAUAAAUAAUGUAAGACAUUACUAAGUUUGCACUAUAACAAUCACAACCAUCGAGUUAACGCUAAUGUGUACAAUAUCAAGCAGGUCAUAACAUAAUGCACUCAUCAUAAUAAAAUAUCAUAUCAAUAUAAUAAAUGAGUCGUCAUAACAUCUCAAUAUCAAUCGAAUUAAUUACCACGAGUUCAAAGUACAUCACAAAUAAUUGUAACCUAAAACUACACAAUAGCAAAAGUAAUUGCAACAUCUUCAAGAGUUGUUUAGUUUCUUGUUUCAUUCUUUUCACAUUUCUCAUGUCAACUCAUUUGUGCGGUCAUCAUACACCAUCUAUUGAUUCUACUAUAAUUGGAAUCUAGAUUUAUCAACCAACUAGCUAACAAUGAUUCUACUAGGGUUUAGAAGCUGGGACUACACUCCUCACUAGAUUAAAGUAAGUGAUUCUAAGAUAAGCGAUUAGACUCAGAGGUUGUUUCAUUUCAUCAAAUCAAAUAAGUGAUAUAGAGAGCCCAAUAGGACCAACAAAGCCCUACAAAAGGUUAAUGAAAACUUGGCUAAAUGGGUUUGGAGAUCAAAGAUUGAGCAGGAAUGAUGGAGAAUUCUAAGCUAAACAGGCUUGGAGAUUAAAAGUUGAGCAAGUGGAAGCUUUACGCAUAGCACAAUAGGAACAAUUGACGAUGAAAUGACAAUGGGGUGUCACGGAUCGAAGUAGCUAUAGGGUGGGGACUCACGUCAAAGCAGUAGUUAGGCAGAGACUCAUGAUGGAAUAAUAGUGGUGUCGCGAUGCGACAAUGAAAUUGAGUGGCUGAGAGAAGGGGUGGCCGAGGGAAUAUAAAGUGUACUAAUUGCCCCUACUAAAUUUUUAUAUUUUAACAUUACAUGUUGAUAUAUAUUUGAAUGUAUAUAUUGCUUCCACAACUUAAAUUUCUGGAUCCAUAACUGGUUGGGCAUCACAGGAGGUAAGAGGCUGCCGAAAGAGACAGGCCCAGUGGGUUGACUUGCAAAAUUGAAAGGGCCUAGUCCAAAUUCAAAUCCACAUCUUCCUUCAUAAACAAAAAAAAUUCAUCUAUAUAUCAUUUCUUUUGACUCUUCCUCAGCUUGUUCUGUUCGACUCUUCCGACUUCCAUUAACGUGUCUGCAAAUCGCAAACCCUAGUCCUCUGGUGCUUGUAAUCAAUGGCUGGUGAAUCCGAUGUUUCCGUAAGCACCCUUUCUUGCACCAACUGUGCCAAACCUGCAAAUCUUCAGUACGUAACCCUCUCUCUCUCUCUCUGUUGUGUGUUCUUUAGCUGCUCUGACAAGUCACACUGUGAUUCUUUUUCUGUUUUUGAAUUUGAUUUUGGAUUGUAAGAUUGUAUUUCUGCAUUUGAAAUGGUUUGGUUUCUCAUAAAGACUUGGUCCUUGCUGUGAUUGAAUGGUUUUUUAUUGGUUUGAGCAAAAACGCUUCUGCUGCUGGUUGCAGCUAGCUUGCAAUUUUUUGUUUAUUUUGAUGGCCUUGUAAUUGGGUGUAUUAUGGAUUGGGAUCAUAAUGCUGUAUGGACCAUGCAAGGGCAAUUCUUUAUGCAUGUUUAAUUUUGACCCAUUUUUGUUUUCUUUUUCCCCCUCAGGUGCCCAAAAUGCUUGGAAUUGAAGCUUCCCCGUGAAGGUUCUGCCUUCUGGUAUGUGAUUUUUUUCUUACUUUGUGCGUUAUUUGUCCGUGUUUUUAGUGUAAUUGAAUCUUGGGGGACAAUUCUAAAAUGAAGUAACUACUAAGACCUAGUGUAUUAACUGCAACAUAAUGCGUAAGUUGGUUGUACUACAUAGUAAUCCUGUUCUAGUCGUUGUAAGUGAAAGAAGUAAGUUCUUGUUGACAUAUUUUAAUAUUUAUAAGUGAUUGAUUUAGUUAUUAGGGACUGGAAAUUUGGUUAAAGGAAUGACAUUGUUGCUCCGAAUGGCACCAUUAGAAGGUGACGUUGACCUUGGUUGCUAAGGAGAGAACAGUGGAACUAGAUAAUUAGUGUUCCAACUUACAACAGCUGAAUCAUGCAAACUCACUUCUCACUGUUUUUGUAACCCUUGAAUUGGAGCCAAUUUUGAUAUCUCUUGACAGCUCUCAGGAAUGUUUCAAGUCUUCAUGGAGCUCCCACAAAGCAGUGCAUCUGAAGCCAAAGCAAUCCUCACUUGGCACACAGAAUUCAGAUUCACUUGGUGAAGGUUGGUUAUAUUGCAUAAAGAGAGGGCAGGGUCGGACUCCAAAACUUCCUUACUUUGAUUGGACUGGGUAAGUAUCUAGGUCUUUGAGCCGCUUCAUAAUAUAGAAGACAUCUUACUAUGCUUUUAAUUGAUAACAGAAGAUUAUGUUGGUUAUUAGUAAUGAUAUGUUUUUGUUUUUGAAUUUCAGAGUCUUCCCCCCGUUUUUUCCUUCUUUUCAUUGAUGUUUUUCUAGUCUGGCAUCUGACGUUUGUAGCAUUAAAUUUGCAGCAUUCUUUCCCAGUUAUUGCUUAUUACUCUUAUUUUUUGAAACCAAAGUCUCAUUUCUGCUCUUGCUAGGAUGCUGCGGCCAUAUCCCAUAUCUAGCAAACGGAUUGUCCCAGCUGAUAUUGAUAAACCUGAUUGGGCUGAUGAUGUGAGUUAUAUGAGUUCUGCCUAUUUAGAUGCCUUUUAUUUUAUAUGAUUUAUCUCAUUUUACUUGAAUACGUUUGGAAGCUGUCUUCUGAUACCUUAACUGUGGUUCUUUGGUUUCUAAAUUGUUUUUACCUCUUUUGUUUUCAACUUAAGGGAAUUCCGAAAGUUGAGCCCAAUAGUGAUCUGCAGCAUUUUGUUGAGGUAAUUAAUUUAAAAAUGCAUUAGUAGACAAUGGAUGUGAGAUCAAGUUGCAUAUUGUCUGAUUCUACUUUCCAACCUAUUAUUUUGCAGAUCAAAUCUCCAGAUUUAAUUGAGAGAAUGAGAGAAACUUGUCGGGUGAGUUCCUAGCCUUUUUAUCUUUUAGUUUCUCAUGUAGCAGGUUUGAACUCUCUGCUAUCUUGAUUCUCAUUCAACGCAAUACUGAUUUGUAUCCUUAUUUUCAUGGUGCUCAGCUUGCUGCUUACUUUGAGAGUCGAUUUCUGUUACUUGCCAACUGUAUAUCUACUACUAUGUUGAUUAAUGAUCACAUUGAAUUAAUACUUUGAUAUAUCUAAUAAGCUGGAGGGGGGAAGAAAAGAAAGUAAAUAUCUUGAAUUAUUACAAAAAAUUCUGAAAGAAAAAAAAUUGUCUUUUUCCUUUUUAGGACAGUUACUUGAUAUGACUAUAUUGUCUAACGUGGAUAAACUUUUGACAGAACGUCUUUAAAGAUCACAGUUGUUUAUUUUUUGCAAUGUAUGUUGGUACUUUAGACUCAUUUCAUAAAUUGAUUGAUAGAUUGGAAGGGAGGUGUUGGAUGCAGCUGCUCGGAUUAUUCAGCCUGGUGUGACUACUGAUGAAAUUGACAGAGUUGUUCAUGAGGCAACUAUUGCUGCAGGUACUAAUUAUAAUGAGUUUCAUUUUUAAAACAGUCUUUUCAGCUUUUUACCUGCUUUAUUUAUUGAAUGUUAUUAAGCUUAUCGUAUUACCUUUAGAAAAUAUCAGCAUUACUGUAGCUGGUGAGUGUGUAUCUUCUGUUGUUAUAAUAUAAUUAUUUAUAAUGGAGACAUAACAUACCAUUUGUUUGAGUGUUGAUUCCGAUCUAAAACUGUAAGAGUUGUAUUAAAUGGUGGUGCUCUGUAUGAAAAAUAAGUUUUUUUGGGGAUAGAAAAGUAAAUUCAUUAGAUAUUAGAUAGUACAUAGGUAAAGUACAUCCAGGUUGGAGAGAAGAUAUUGUCCAAAACAGGGGAGAAAACUAAAAAAGAUUCCAAAAGAUAUAGCAAGGCUGCCCAAUAUCUCUGCAUAUAAGAAUGAAAAUUCUCUUAAGAAGCAGAGAACGUAGGAGAUGGCAUCCUUACCCCAUAUUAUUCUGUUUAGCAUACAGUUCCUUGCCUUUCUUGAUUCAUUGCAUUUUGGUAAUUAUAAUUAGUCAUUGAUAUUUGAAGUUUUUUUUACCUUUGUAGGAGGAUACCCAUCGCCUCUCAAUUACCAUUUCUUCCCAAAAUCUUGCUGCACGUAGGUACUUUCCUUCUGUGCAUAUUCUAUUUUUUCUGGUCUGUCUGUAAUUGUUACAAAUGAAGUUGCUCUUUCUAACAGGUCAGUUAAUGAAAUAAUCUGCCAUGGAAUUCCUGAUGCAAGGUACAAUGCUCUUUUCUUAUUUAUUCAUGCUAUGGUUUUUCUUUGUUGCCAGUAUUUAAUUUUAAGUUUAGAUCCUGAGUUCUGACUAUAAUUAGUGGAAAAUAGCUUUCCCAAUUAAUCCUUCUUAUCAAUACUUUAUACUUGAUUAGGUGAAGUGCCACUUAGGCAUGAUAAAAUAAAUAUUUGUAUCAACUUGUGAAAUUCUCAAUAAUUUAGUCAUUCCACAGGAAGCUUGAGGAUGGUGACAUUGUAAAUGUUGAUGUCACUGUGUAUUAUAAAGGUGUUCAUGGUGAGUUGAUUAACAUAUAUGUGUUACACCAUUUUACUUGAAGUUCAUAACAUUUGGACACUUGGUUAAUUAUGUAUAAGUUGUUAUACAGGUGAUCUAAAUGAAACAUACUUUGUGGGAAAUGUUGAUGAAGAGUCUCGCCAGCUGGUCAAGUGCACAUAUGAGUGCCUGGAGAAGGCAAUAUCCAUUGGUAUAUCUCCUUUGAGUUUCAACUAGUCUCUCUUUUCUUUAAGUUUCAAAUGUAAUUGAAUCUUUAAAAAACAUUAUUGCAGGCUUGGUCUUCUAUUUUUCUUUUGUUUGAAGCAUGUAUCUUAAAACUGUGGUCAAUGCAUAAAUCUAACUGCAAAUUUGGUCUUAAAAUAUGAGUUGAGUAUCUUUUGGUCCCUAAAAAGAUGACUAUUUCUGCAAUUUUGAAUUUGAUUCAUUUUUAAUCCAUCAAAAGAUAUAAGAAUCAUGUGCAUUUAGUCCUUGGUGAGGGAUUGGAAAAACUACAUUUGGUUAAUCUAGGGACUAAAAAUAAAAUAAAAUUUAAAUAAGGAUUAAAACAACAUGAAUGUUAUAUUUUUAGUGAAAAAUAUAAUCUAAUUACUUUGGGUCCUAAACCCUAAAUCAUAAGAUAAAAGAAUCUUUUAACUAUUGAAGAAAUUAAAGACAGAAAGACAUGUUGAUACCUGGUAUUGAUAGAAUUAUACCAGCUACUUAAUAUGAUGUAAAUAUAAAUUAUAAGCAUCAAUUGAUGAUUGAUGAUAACCUUACAUAUAUGUAUUUGGUGUAUGUUGUGAUUAUUGUGUACAAAUACUUAAAUAUAAUUAAAAUGUACAUAAUAUUAAAAGAAUUUGAAGUACUUGUUCCUGAUUCUUCCCUUUUUUCCUAAUUCAGUCAAACCUGGGGUGCGAUUCCGUGAAAUUGGUGAAGUUAUUAAUCGCCAUGCUUCGAUGUCAGGCUUCUCAGUGGUAACAUAUUACUUUUUUGUAACUUAUCUAUUUUAUGGUCUCUGUUCACACUGUUGGAUUGUUCUCACUUGUUCCUUACUCAUAUUUUCCCUUGCCCCCGUAGGUAAAAUCGUACUGUGGUCAUGGAAUUGGAGAGCUUUUCCAUUGUGCUCCAAAUAUUCCUCAUUAUGCAAGUAUCCUUUCAUUGGUUUCAAAAUGCAUUCAGCACAGUAUUUCUGUGUACUUUUCUUUAAGAGUUUUAUUUGUAUAUGCAAAUAGUGUAAAUGACUUUUACAUUGUCAACCAAUCACAUUUCAAAGAUGUGGGGGAGAUAGUUUUUUUUUUACUUUAUAUUUUUUUUUAUAAAUUCAGAUGUUGGUGUGGCAAACUUCUCGAACAUGAUUGGUUGUCAGUGUACGAAUUCUUUACACUGUCAAUACAUAUGCAUUAAAAUCUUUCUUUAUCAUAAAAGGGACCGGUUUGUGGACAUAUAAUGACUGUUACAAUUUAGAAAUAUUUUUAACGAUGUCUGCUAUUCACUCUCCUUUUGGCAAUACUAUUAUUCAUGCUGUUAUUUGCUAGCGACAGGCAGCUUCUCGUUCUUAUGCCAUUUUUUCAUAAAUUGUUAGUUAAAUUUUGUCUGUCCAAUCCAAUAUUUGAAAGUUUUGCGCCCAAGAUCAAACCUACCUCUUCACAAAACCUUUUCAGUAUGCACUUCUCUAGCUUGUACUUCCACCCCUUAUUGAUGUUAAAAAUGAACCAUGAUUACAAGAAAGAAAACGCAUGCGAUACACCUUAACAAAUGGCAGGAAAUAAAGCAGUUGGUGUGAUGAAGGCUGGACAGAUCUUUACAAUUGAACCAAUGAUCAAUGCAGGUAUAUUGAAAAUUCGUUUAACUGGAUAACUUACAUGGAUACAUGUCUCAGCUAUUAUAUCACCUCAAUUUUAUUUAAUAGGUGUCUGGCGUGAUCGAAUGUGGCCUGAUGGAUGGACUGCUGUCACAGCAGAUGGUAAACGAAGUGCUCAAUUUGAACACACUCUUUUGGUAAGUAAAUUUCUGUUUUGUGUUGGGUUCUAUAUACACAUGAAAUGAUGAAAGUCACCGAAGUCUUAUUUGAAAAAAUUAUCAUAAUAAUUUCUAAUAUUGGAUGAAAUAUUCAAGAAAUAGAUGUUAACUUUUAUCUUCUCACCUAUGAUUUGAUGAUACAUUUUUUAUUUUCGUACAAUGUGUCCUUAACAAAGUCUUUGCAAACCGUUUUGUUAUGAUACUGGAGACAACACAUUGUCUUAGUAGUUAGUACAUGGUGCCUUUUUAUCGGUACAAGUACAAUGGUGAAGCUUCAACCUAUGUAAAAUUUUAUUUGAAGCAGUGGCCACUUGUCUAAAACUUGAUUUGAUUUUGUCAGUGAAUUUGUAAUUUUGAUUAUACUUAUAGAUGAUACUACCUAAUUAAUAAAUUCUCCCUUUUAAUUAUUAGGUGACAGAGACUGGUGUUGAGGUUUUAACAGGACGGUUGCAGACAUCACCCAAAGUUUUUCCUUGGCUAAAGUCAUAAUUGGGUGAAUCUGGCAUUUUCUAAAUAGUAUACAAUUUGAUAGGCAACCACAUUUAAUGGUUUCUACUCCAUCUGCUUGCCUCUCUUUUUGAGUAUCAUGUUUGUAACUCAACAUAGUUAAGGAGAAAAGUAAAGGUUAAGAUAUAUUGUCUGUAUCAGUGAAAGAUAAUUUGAUUUAAUAACUUGUCACUUUUUUGCUUGUUUGUGAGGCAAUAUUUGAGCCUAAGUUUUGAACAGCAGGACUUAAUGACGAUAUUUCUUGGUUUUAUAUCCCGUUAUUUUAAUUUUUGUUAAAAUUUAAUUAGUACACAAUAACCGUGUGAAUAGUUCUAUACAGUAUUCAAUAUAGUUUAUCUAUCUUCCUAUUCAUUUUUCUUCGUGAGUGCUCUAUGUAGUCUGUAUUCGGUAAAAGAGUUUCGAUUCAUUCACACUCAUAUCACUUCUAUUUCUCUUUCAUCUUAUUUCCACUCACUUUCUUUUCAUAUCACUUUUUUUUCCCCAUAACAUUAUGUCCUUAUCACUUGGUGGAAGUGGGAUUGGCGUAUGAGCGUUUUCCCUUGCUAAAACACCUACAAUGUAUUUUUUAGGCCUCAAAUGGGGAUCCCUGUCUUCUCAUGAAAACUAUCAUUCCUAGUUAAAGGGUUGGACAGUGUCAAUAUUGGAGUUCGGAAGAAGUUUAGGUAGGAAUAAUGAUACAAACAAUAAUAAAAUUAAAUUAUUUAUACAUUCAUAUAUAGACACUUGAUGAACAACGAUCGAAACCCUCCAAAGAAAAAACAUGUAUGUAUCAUGUACAGAAAACAACAGAGGGUGAUAUAUAGACUAGCGUUUAAUUUAUAGCUUUCAUGGCUUCUUGGUAGUUCUAGCUGCAGCUGCUUGGCGGUACGCAGUUGCGUAUCUAUGGAAUAAAGCUAGUGCAUUGCUAGUGACUUCUGCUACAUUCUUGGCCUUAACCUUAAUUGAAGCUAUCUUCUUGCUCAUCCUAUGACCUGGGAAAGACUGCACACAACUGCUAGCAUCUGUCAAGGCUGUGCUCACCCAUGUCUCAACGUUGCUAAUGUGCCACAACAUUUUAUCAUUGAUGGCGGAGCCAAACUUGUCCAACCGGCGUAGUUCUCGGAUGGCUUGGCUAAGCUGGUCCACGCUAUCGUUGAUUUGAUUCACACAAUCUUGCACGGUUAGGUACACCUUUUUGUUCUCGAUUUCCUUGAGUUCCUUGGCCAUUUCCAACAAGUACCCUCUUGUGUGCACUGCUCUAGCAAGACUCACUGACAAGGCAAUAUGCGCUAAGCGUUGAGGACCACCUGUGGUGGAAUUUGGAUUGGUGCCGAAUUUGGAAAGGUAACGAAUGCAAAUCUCAGGGUAGAGGGUGCCCUCGCAAGAUGACUCUAUGUCGGUCUUUGAUUUGGAAUUGCUCCUUGCCAAGGAUGACUCAACUUUGGCAAGACUUGAAAAAAGGAGAAAAAAGAAAAUGGCAAGUGAUGAGAGGUUGUGUUGUGCCAUCUUUCUUGGGUCAGAAUAUUGAAGCUUAAUUGGUUAGCUCUAAGAGAAGAGUGUUUUCAAAGCUCUAGUAGAUAAUUUCUUGUUGAUGAACAUGCCAAUGGGGUGUGGUGCUUAUAUAGAGAGAUUCUCACAUCAUCGCAUGCAUAGUUAUUUUGCUUAUUUCGUAUGCUAUGUUAUUUUAAGUCCUUUAUACGUGCAAUUAGUUAAACCCUUGUUUAAGACGCUUGUUUUCCUUAUUUGAGUAUUGAGGUAUGAGAAGUAACGUGGCUCAAACUUUUGUUGAAAGGAUUUGACUUUGAACUUAGCUUGUAACCAAAGGACUCCAAUUCAAUCAGGAAAAAGAUAUGUGUAUGAUACUUGAAUGAUUAAUAAGAGAUUGCCGGUGAUUCUUGUAGGCUGAAUCAUGGUGCAGAAUAAACUUUUUGCGGCGAUGUCAGCGGAUAGGAUCAAUGGAAAAGAAGAAAAUAAAGUAAGAUAGAAGACAAGUAUAUAUAAAGUUGAUCAAUAUUGGUUGGCAAAACAUAAUAACUAAUAACAGUUUGGAUUAUUAAUUAAAACUAUAAUAAUCCGUCAUUCCGUGGUUAGUUAUUAGAUGUUUCCACCUUUGGUUGAGAAUUUGAGAUGAUGUACAUGGUCUCAUAUUAUGCCUCUCUGUUACUACUUUGUUUGUUGGUAUGUGGUACACCAUGGAAGCAGAGAAAACAGGGGAAACAUACAAAUUGUCAAGAUGAAUGAUUCAUUCACACUCCACUUUUUCAUCAAUCUCAUUUUUACUCAAUUUUCUUUCUAUCAUUUUGCAUUCUCUAUCUCAUCCUUCACCAUAUCACUCAUUUCUCUCUCUUUUCUUCAUAUCUCAAUCUUGGUGUGAGCAAACAAGAAAACAACACUAGAAAAUAAAAAUAAAAAUAAAGUUUUGAUUUGAUUUAUCAAAUAGGUCUCCCCUCAAUUUAUGUUAUAUUAUUGAACCCUAAAAUUAAUAAUUAUAUCCCCAAAUUAUUGUUAAGGAAUUUGUUGUACACGCAAAUAAGAGUGACUCUCUUCUACUCAAUUUUUCUCGGUAUGUUAACACUUUGGUUAGAGGCGAGCUAAAUCACAAAGACAUACUAUUUCAAGUCGCAAUACAAAUAUAAGCGCGGAAAGAAAACACCAAUCAAUUAGAAACCAAUGCUGUCAAACCUUAAACUGGGGCUCACAUCAUCUAUUACAUCAUAAAUAUGAAGAAUAAAUUAACCCUAAUCAUAGCUAGCAACAUUAAAAACAAGGGAAAAUGAUAAAUGAAUUCUCGAGUAGUUCUUUGAUUUUCCACCGAUGAAUCUGUAUUAGGAUUCCCUCUCGUUUAUGGCCUUCUCUCUCCCCCUCUCUCUGUUGUCUUCUUUGUGUGAACUCUUUUUUCUUUUUGAAUAAGAUCUUCUUUUAUAGUUUUUUUUUUCUAAGCUUCUCAAAUAAGUAGUCUGUCAAUAUCAGCAUGCCCGUGGAUAGCAAGCACCACGGCCGUGCUUAGUGACAACUUAAGUAGUCGUGCUUUCUUCAUUUAAUGGAUGUGCUCUUCUUCAAAUAUAACGACAGUCGUGACAAAUUCUACCGCGGUGGUAGAUAUGAUACCUAUUAUAAAGUUGUUUGAAUUAAUCACAUGCCUCAAGUUUGUUCAAUUUGAAUGUUGAGCAAUGAUGGAUGAAUGAUACAACAACUGCAAUUUAAAGUCUAAGUUGUGCAAUAUUCCUUUCAAUUAAUUACUUGGAGUACCUCAACAUAAGCCGCAGUUAAUGUAAUUAAAUAGGCUCCGAUUAUAAGAGGAGCACUCUUGGUUAGGCAAUAUAUAUGUCCAGCACUCUAGGUUUGUAACAGCAGAGCAAGGUGUGACUAGCUAAGCUUUGUCCUUUGGACUUUUUUGUGAAUACUUCCACAUAGCUUUGUCCAAUGGAGAAAAAUCCAUUUUCAUGCAUCUUCUGAUUACUUUAGCUAAUACUAAAUUUUUACUUACAUGAAUAAUGGUGGCCGUCUAAGAGUAUGGGUCAACGGAUUCUAUAUAACCAUUAGAUUGAACAAAAAUAACAAAAUUCAACUGGAGUAUAUAGCUAUCUUUUUAUACAAAUAAAAAUGAAAGGCUUAAAUAAGUUUUUGGUCCCUAACCUUUACUAAAUGCUUGGUUUUAGUCCCUCGCCGGAGCAAAGGUGGGUUUUAGUCCCUAACUUUUGCCAAAAAAUUUGGUUUUCGUCCCUCCGGAGCUCUUGGUCAACGCCGGAGCUCCGGUGGCCCAUGUGGCAUGUCUAUGUCAUUUAAUGAACUGAGGUGGAUUUUUUUUUCUUUAUUUUUUAAUUAUUAGUUAGAUUAUUAAUUAAUAAAAUGAAAAAAAAUUAAAAGAAUGGAUUAAGGAGUGAAAAACACUUCAUCCCUUUCCUUUGCUAGGGUUCCUCGCGUCCCUUUCCUCCCACGCCGUCAUCGAAGAAGCACAACGUUGUGAGGGGCGGUGGUGACUCAACACAGGGAGACGACAGUGAUGGUGUUUUCUUAGUUGCUUUCCCAAACCCUGAUUGAGCAACCUCACUCUUCAGCGCUUGGAUUUCACCAUCUGUAACAUCCAGCACCAUGUCUCAAUCUCCGUCAGAAGCAAACAAAGAAGCAUACAAGAUCCUCAUCUACAGAAAGUUCUGCGGCUUGAUCUAGAUGUGGUUGGGUUUGGGGGUCUCGAUCUGGGUAUGCGCCUGGUUUGGAGUGGCUGGGUUGGGGUGUGGGGUUGUUGUUUUCUGGGUUUAUGGUGAAUAAGGGAAAAUAGGUAAUUUUUGGAAUUUUUGUUAUCUUAACUGUUAUCACUGUCAUGUUAAUUUCCGGUCUAUUCUCAAUGUGACAGAGAACAUUUUAUGGGUAAUUUUUUUCUGCUUGAGUUCGCUUCUGGGUAAGGAAUGGAUGAGAACUGCUGAUGAAGAUGAGUAUGAAGAGCAAGAAGGAGAGUACGAGCAACAUGAUAUGUGAUUUUGAUGAAGAUGGAUAACAUGCUGCAACUUCCUGUUGCCAGUUCAUACUCUUGUUCCUGUAACCCGUUUUACACUUUUGUUCUUGCUACCAUUCUAUCAAACUAUUUCUGAUUUCUAUUUUUGUUUCUAGUAUGACAAUAUUGCUCAAACAAUUUGUACUAUUUUAAUCUGCUUGAACAUUUUCUGGGUUUAUGCCACUGUGAUUUGCAAGCUAAAUGUGUUUCUUGGGUUGGGAAUUUUUCUGGGUUUGGGCUUUUGUUUUAUGGGUUUGAUUGAUGAUUGGGGGGUGGGGAACUAAUUAAAUGAGUGUUUUAAUUAAUUAGGUGAGGGAUUAGUUUAGGUAAUUGAGUUAAUUUAAAAAAAAAAAAUUAAUUAACACCUGGCCUCAUUAAUCCCACAUGGCAAGGCCACAUGGGCCACCGGAGCUCCGGCGUUGACCAAGAGCUCCGGAGGGAUGAAAACCAAAUUUUGUGGCAAAGGUUAGGGAUUAAAACCCAUCUUUACUCCGACGAGGGACUAAAAUCAAGCAUUUGGUAAAGGUUAGGGACCAAAAACUUAUUUAAGCCAAAAUGAAAUUACUCAUACAUCCAUAUAUAUGACACUUGAUGAAUAACCAUCGAAACCCCGCAAAGAAAAAACAUGCAUGUACCAUGUACAUAAAACAAAAGAGGGUGGUUAUAAGCUAGUUUUAUAGCUUAAUUUCAAGGCUUCUUGUUUGUUCUAGCUGCAGCUGCUUGGCGGUAACUGGAAGCAUAUCUAUGGAACAAAGCUAGUGCAUUGCUAGUGACUUCUGCAACAUUCUUGGCCUUAACCUUAAUUGAAGCUACCUUCUUGCUCAUCCUAUGACCCGGGAACGAACGCACACAACUGCUAGCAUCUGUUAAGGCAGUGCUAACCCAUGUCUCAACGUUGCUUAUAUGCCACAACAUUUUAUCAUUGAUGGUGGAGCCAAACUUAUUCAACCGGCGUAGUUCUCGGAUGGCUUGGCUGAGUUCGUCGACACUAUCAUUGAUUUGAUUCACACAAUCUUGCACGGUUAAGUACACCUUUUUGUUCUCAAGUUCCUUGGCCACUUCCAACAAGUACCCUCUUGUGUGCACUGCUCUGGUAAGACUAACUGACAAGGCAAUGUGCGCUAAGCGCUGAGGACCACCUGUGGUGGAGUUCGAAUCGGUGCCAAAUUUGGAAAGGUAACGAACGCAGCUCUCAGGAUAGAGGGUUCGCUCGCAAGACGACUCUAUGUAGGUUUUUGUUUGGGAAUUGUUGUUCCUGGACAAGGAUGGCUCAACUCGGGCAAGACUUGAAACUAUGAGAGAAAACAAAAUGGCAAUUGAUAUGAGGUUGAGUUGUGCUUGUGCCAUCUUGAGUCAGUACAAUUCAAGCUUUGUUAGCUGUGAGUCUGAUUGAAGAGAUUUCGAAGCUCAAAAGCAGAUUUCCUGUUGAAGAAAAUGCCCAUGGGGUGUGGUACUUAUAUAGAGAGUUUCCUCAUAUCAACACAUGCAUAGCUAUUUUGUUUAUUUGGUAUCUUAUUUUCCUUAUUUGGUGCAGUGGUAUGAGAAGUAACGUGGCUCAAACUUUUGUUGAAAGGAUUGACUUUGAACACAGCUUGUAAGAUCUCCAAUUCAAUCAAGGGUAAUAUGAUACUUGAUUAGGAAAGGAAAAUGAUGAAAAUUAAAUGAUUAAAUAAUUAAUUGUUGAUGAUUGUUGUUGGCUGAAUCAAGGUGCAGAAUGAGCUUUCGCGGCGAUAUCAGCGCAUCUAUGUUCACUGGAAAAGAAGAAAGUAAAGUAGAAUAGAAGAGGCGUAUGUAGUUGAUCAGUAUUGGUUGGCAAAGCAUAAUAAUUAACAACAAUCCCCAUAACCAAGCUUAGAAGUUUCAAGGAGACACAAUUUGGAUUAUUAAAACUACAAUAAUGCUUCAUUCUGUGGUUAACUUCAUCAAUUCAAGUAAUAAUUAUUGUCUCACAUGCACUGGUCGGUUGUGAUUGGCAGAGUCAAAUUUCGAUUUGCUUAUUUUAAGGUAACUUCAACCAGGGGAGGCUAGAAUGCCAGAUAGAGAUAGGAAUGUGAGCUAAACAAAUAAAACUGCGGUUGAACUUUGAAUAGAAGAUGAUUGACAAAAAUUUGUUUCAUCUGGGAAUUUAAGUCAUAUGCUGCUACCUAAGCAUGUCUGUCUAGAAAGAAAUUAAAUUAAUCCAGCUUAGGUUUGGGAUUUGAAAAGACUCAAAUACCUAGUGAUUCAUGUAAACCUAGGUUGUUUUAUUCUCACCAGGUCAAAUUUCUAGAAUAAUUGCUUGACAGAUUGCUAAUAUUGUUAACUGAAUAGUUUUUAGUUUUAGUUAUACAUUUGCAUUAGUUUAGCUUCUUUUAGAUAGGCUUCUGUUAAGCCUGUUGACUGAUACAAACUUUGUAUGUAAUAUUCAUUCAAUCAGUUAAUGAAGUUACUUCCAUUUUUACUCAAGUUACAUGGUAUGAAUAUUUUCUUCUUCUUCAUCGUAAGUAAAUCUUCAUCAGGAUUCGUCAAGCAUCUAUAAUAUCCAUCCAAAUGAGAACCCUCCCAUUAAAUUGCAUUCUAAAUCUCCUUUGUUACUACUUUAUCAGAAACAUCAUGGCAUGUCCUCUUGGGGUGUUUGUCUCCCUAUGUUCCACUAUAUCUAAAUCUCAACCUAGAGCUCAAAAGUGAAUUUACCUUGGACACAAAGAAGGUGUUAAGGGAUCCCUACUGCUUGAUAGAGAAAUUUUCUUCUAUGAGCAUAUAUUCCCUUCAUACAAACCUCAUAAUCCCAACACACCACCACUCUUCCCAACAUAUCACUCUCAUUUCAAUGUUCUACAUCAAAUCCCACUGAAUCAUCCCCCAUAUCUAUUGGACCACACCUUACAUUGCCUACCUGCACCUCCACAAGACCCAACAUCCACCAAAUUAUUUUGAAGACUACCACUGUAACAUAGUUCACUCUGAAACCAACAUCAAUUAAUACUGAAAUCAUCUCUUAUCACAGAUUAUCAACUUCCUAUGAAAACUUUGAUCUUUCACUAUCCCAAAUGCACAGAACCGAAUAAAAACCUAUAACAAGCUGUUAAACACGAGUGUUGAAGGAGAGAUAUGGAUGAAGCAAUGGCAACUUCGGAACAAACAUCGACUAUUAUUGAUCUUCAACCUAAUAAACAAGAAAUAGGCUGCAAGUUGGUGUAUAAAAAUAAAGAGAAAAGCUUAUGGCGGUAUGCAAAAGUAUAAAGUCCAAUUAGCUAUAAAGGGAAGGGCUUGACUACUUUUUUUAAUCUUUUUUCCGGUUGUUAAAUUGGCUACUAUGAGAUUAGAUGUUAGGGGGAAAGAGGUUAGUUGCUGCAAAAGGAAAGCAUCUACAUUAACUAGAUGUUAACAAUGCUUUCUUGAAUGGUGAUUUAAAUGAAAAAGUUGAACUUCUCACAAUGUUUUUUUUAGUAGUACACCCUGCCAGUAUGCACACUUGAGAAAUCUCUAUAUGGCUUGAAACAAGCUAGCAGAUAGGAGAAAUUUUAAGCUUACCUUAUGCCUUAUUUCAUUGGCUUACAGUCAAUCAAAUCCUGAUUAUUCUCUAUUUGUCAAGGACCUUCAAUCUCACAUUGCAGUUUUGUUAGUCUAUGUUGUUGACAUGGUUUAAGCAGUCGAUGAUUCAGCUGAAAUUCAGUUGGUGAAAUCCUAUUUGGAUCAACAAACACUAGAUUCAGAGUGCAAGAUGUUUUCCUUAAUACAACAGGGGAGUUUAUUGUAAACAAGGAUAAAGGGCUCAUUAAAUCUUACAACCACUAAAAGGGAUCUUUAAAAUUACAAACAACAACAUUAUCUUAUCUUACAAGAUUACAUGACAACAAUCAAACCAAAGACCAGGCAUGACAAGAGAGAUAGACUUUACCCUGAAACGCAUGCUGAAACGCUUGCCUCUAUUCAGCAAUCAUUCAGCUACCUUCAUACCAGAGAGAUACACUUUACUCUGAAUCACACUACCUCCAAUCAAAAAACCAGGCAUUACCAUCAACCCAACUUUGGGCUUUUCAUCAUUGUCAUCCAUUAUCAGGUUCUUGACCACACUUUCCAUAUAUACAUCCGAGAACUCACUACCUCCUUUAACCUGAAAUACCUUGACAUUUGGCUCAAAAGAAUAGGCCAACUUGUGUAAAAGCCAAAUUGACUUGGCCAGUUUCAGAAAAGCCUGGUAAAAAGGAGUCCUUGGAUGCCCUCCACCCGUCACAUAAUUUCGCUGAUCUAAAUUUCCAAAGAAUGACACUUCCAUCUUUGGAUGAACCACUACUAAGUAUUUGCUCUUGCAAAACUUCCCAAAAAUGGAAUCAGGAUUUUGCCCUAGCAUGUCCAAGGGAUCCAUCUCCCUUAAAGCAAGAAAUUGGUGGAAGAAGCUCUCUUUAGUAACUGUAAUACUGUCUGAUUUGACAGAGAAACUUUCCUGCUCAAAGCCACCGAACAUUCUUUGGCAUAUGUAAGACUCAAAUGCAUAUUUCUUAUGAGCUCUCUUCGCAUAAACAACAUCAGGUUCAAUUGAGUUGGCAGCAGAAUCAAGGUCCCACCCAGCUGCUUUCAUCAUGUUGAUCAAAGGUUUAGAAAAAUCAUGAAUGGCUUUUGCAGCUGCUUCCACUGAAGAGAUGAAGAGAUCUGGAGUUAGAUCAACAGGGAAAAAUCCACUUUCAUCUUCUGAUUCCUUGGUUGACAAACCUCUAAGCUUCAGAUUCUUUUCUAGUUUGGCUCUCUUCUGGCUAGCCUCCUCAAUCUGCUGCUGCAAUUGAUGAAUCUCCGAAUCUUUGUUCUGGAUUUCAGACUGGAAUUUCUUCACCAUGACCUCAUAGGUUUUCAGGAGGCUCUGUUGUUCUUGAAUUUCUGCAGCUAAACGUGAGUCUUGGGGAGAAACACACACUGGUUUUGGGUUGUUUUCCCUAUAAAAAUGCUUAAGUUCAGACAGAGUUUUCAGCUCACUAAUAACAAGUUUAUCAGCAGUGUGGAUUUUAUCAGGGUCAUAGGGAGUAUGGGCAGUUUGCAGCUGGAUGUAAGCUGACUUCAGGGAAGAAAUAUUGGUAAAAACUUUAGAUAUUAGGGUCUCUAUAGCUUCAGGAUUCUGAUUCAUGGCCUCUUCCAUGGGUUGAGGGUGGACCUUCUGACUGUUGCUCUCACGUAAUUGAGUGUCUUUUGCUCCAGUGGGUAGCAUAGUUAACGCCAAUAAAGGGGCAGUUUGACAAGCUUUCUGUCCACAGAAUCAAAAUUAACACAGAACCUGCAAGCUUUCAAAGAAAUUUAAUCAAGGUGUUCAGUGAAAAAAUUGAUUAUAUUUCUAUAUUUACAUCAGUGUUGAAUUCAUAUUUCAUAACUAAAGUGUUUAAAAUCAGCAGGUAAAGCUACAGAAGAGAUUGAGUACAUGUGUGUAUAAGUAUACAUAUGUGUGACACAUUCCACUUAUAAGCAAUGUCCCUGCUAAAGGUUAUGUGCAAUUAUAUAAUCUUAUUCUAGAAAUUUAACGCUUAUAUCAUUAUCAUAUCAGAUAAAGUUCCAUGCAUGGUGGAUUUUGAGUAUCGGUAAGACCGUAAGAGUACUCUAAUAAGAGGAAAGAGAGAUAAUAUCACGCAAAUGUCCAUAAUAGAAAAAGAGAGAGAAUCACAAAAGCAAAUAAUUACAAAAAUUUGGUCAUGUAUAUAAUAUAAGAAAUCAUGAACACAUGUAAGCAACUACCAGUCCACUAGAAAUGAGCUGAAAGUUUAUUAAUUGAAGCCUUUGUGUGCAACAUGAAAUGGCAACUAUCAUGAAUUCCAGUUUUAUUUAUGUGAGAAACAACAUUUUGUUGCUUCCAAGAGAAUGUGGGUUUGGGGCUACACCAAGAGAAAAACAAACGCAAUUCUUCUACUGGGUUCUGAUACCAUAUGGGAAGUUUUUGUCUUCUCCAGCACACUUUCUUUAUUAUUCGAAAUAGUAUUGAAGUCCUUCUUCUACAUAGUUUCUUAGACUUCAAACACUCUACAGCUAAAAAUGUAAAUGUCUACAACCAUUCAAUCCUCUCUACAUGUAUAGAACAUCUUGAAGGCUCUAAUUUCUAGUAGUUUAGGAUCUGCUGACUCAAUAUUUUAGUAAUAGUACUACAACAUUUUGACUAGUUGAAGCUGCAACAAUAAAAAUGAAACUGAAAGCAAUGCAGUCAUUGCUCUGUACACAAAUAGAAGCAAAAAUCAAGUUUGUAAUCGGUUUAUGUUUAUAAAGGAUGAUUAGUCUGCAAAAUUCUAGAGUUGCCCAACAUCAAAUUGCAAGCCUUUACAAAUAAAGUAUCAAAACUUGAUUCAGAAAAAUGAAAAAUAAUGAAACAUUGAGUAUGUAUAGAAAUGAAAUGGUGGGUACGAAUUAUCUACCUAGAAAGACAGUAUUUCAGCAUGAGAAUGAACCCAGCAUGCAUAAUACCCUUGAACCUUUGGGGAAAAACACAAAAUAACAUGAGAGCAGACAAAAAAACACUAAUUCUCACAGAACAUACCCAGAAUCAAACCCUAAAUUAAAACUAAAAAACAAAGUAGAUUUUGGAGAACAGAAAUGUGGUCCAAUCAAAGCAGAUAUAAGGGAAGAGAGAUCUGAGAUUUGUCGUACCUUGUGGGGGAUUUGAUUUUGAAGGAAGAGUGAAGAUGAAGUUGUAAUCCUCGUCUUGUAGAAGCGUGGUGCUUGCUACUGUGCGGGAAUUGGGUUUAACACCCCAGCCCUUAGGCUUCCCGCCCCACUUAAAGUGGGGAAAUUACCGGAAACCCUCAGGAUUAAUAUCGGUAAAUGAUUUUCCGAUACGUAUCGGUUUAUCAUUUACCGAUUCGUAUUGAUAUAACAGCAUCAGAUAGGUUUUGAAACAUAAUUUUCAAAACCCAUUUCCCUCCCCAAAUCACUCCCUCUUCAAAUCUCUCCCAAACUUGCGUUCGGUCCCAUCAUCAUCAAAGCUUCCUCAAAGCUCCGGAACUCCCAUUCCAUUACAUUCAAAAGGUAAGUUCCAUUUUUAUUGAUUCUCUCACAUUGAUUGAUGAUUAGAGGUAGUUGAUGGAUUAUUAGGUGAAUGUUGAACACUAGGGUAGUUGAUUAUUGAUUAGAGGUAGGUUUUAUUGACUGAAAUGGCAUGAAACGUCAUGGGCACGAGUGGGUCGUUUCCAGUUCUGGUUUCUGGGUUACUGUAAAAUCGGAAAAACAUUUUCCGAUUCUGUAAUGGAAAAUGUUUUUCCGAUUCUGUAAUGGGAAAACAUUUCCCGAUUCUAAACCAGUUUAAGGCAGUUUAAGGCAGUUUUUUUAAGCCAGUUUUUUUUAGUUUUCCUCCAUCUAUUGGGCUGAAUAUUUUGUACAAAUUUUCAAAUAUUUUAGUGUCAUGACACUGGGAAAGGGUGUUGAUGGUAUCGGCUUAUUAGAACUAGGGAACUUCCUUAAUGUUGCAUUUUAGUUAUCUAGAUUGACAAAUUAGAAAGGGUGUUGAUGCUAUAUGAGAGAUGUUUGUUUCUAUAUGAGAGAUGUUUGUUGCUAUAUGAGAGAUGUUUGUACAAGUUGUAACUGUUAAAGUUGUUCAAGUUGUAAUUUGAUGUUAAAUUUGUUUGCUUUUCAUAGGAGAAUGAAGGGCGGGAGGAAGAGGUCUCGAUCUUCUACAGUCGAUGAUGUAGAGGAUCGCCACGAGCGCUUGCAUGCUUCUACGCGACGCGGCGACCAUCGAGCAGCUAGUCAGGCGGUUGAGGCUUCGGCCCCGUCUCCGUCUCCGUCUGCUACUCCGGCCGGGGCUCCGUCUCCGUGUCCGUCUGCUACACCUCCGUCAGGUGGUCCAUCUACUACAGCUCCGUCAGGUACUCCGGCUGAGCCUCAGCCUCAUCCUACUCCGGUCUCUCCGAUGGUUGAGUUACCUCUUGAGGAGACAUCUGGCGAGCAGUCUUCUUCGGAGCCCAGUGGCGAGGAGUCUGCUUCUGAGACUGCUUCUGAGGCCAGUGGUGAGGAGGAGGAGCCUCUUAUUCUCCAGGAGGAGAUUGAUGCUGCUGAUGUUGUGCCAGAUGUGGUGGCAGAGGGCGGCGCGGAUGACGACCUCAUCCAGAGGGUGGCACCGUUUCCCGGGGGGCCUGAGGAUCUGUCGCUUCUUGCGCAUUAUCCUGACCACAAGGCUCCUUGGACGUGGCAGGCACUUCUUCGCACAGACCCGCGGUACGUGGACCGUCGGACAUUGAGGGUGGCCACUGUUGGGGGGAAGGUAUGGAACCUCCCCUGUGAUGGCGAUUCGGAGGCCCACACAGCUGUGCGACAGCUGCUGCAGCAGACGGGUUUGUAUCACCUGCCUUGGUGCGGGUUACCGGAGACAGACCCAGCUGUCGUACUGGCCCUUGUUGAGAGAUGGCAUGAGGAGACGAGUAGCUUCCACAUGCCGUUCGGGGAGAUGACUAUCACCCUGGACGAUGUGUCGGCUAUUCUCCAUCUUCCCACAGGGUCGAGGUUCUACACUCCGGGCAGAGGGGAGCGAGACGAGGUUGCAGCGCUCUGCGCCCAGCUCCUGGGAGGAUCUGUUGCUGCUUAUCUGGCUGAGUUUGAGGCGGCGGGUGGCCAGAACAUUCGGUUCAUUACUUUGAAGACCAUGUACACGUCUGCUAUGGAUGGUAUGUCUUAAUAAUUACUUUAUUAAGUUGUAUUUAUUUUUAGAGUAUUAUUAAUAACUGUUAACUUAAUUCAUUUCAUUGUAGGGGGACGCUAUGAGGAUGCUGCUAGGAUCUGGCUGGUGAACCAGCUUGGUGUCACCCUCUUUGCCAGCAAGAGUGGUGGUUACCACACUACUGUCUACUGGAUCGGGAUGCUUGAGGACCUCGGUCGCGUGUCGGAGUACGCGUGGGGUGCGAUUGCGCUGGCUUCGUUGUACGAACAGCUGAGUCGUGCUUCCCGCAGGAAGACAGCGCAGAUCGGUGGGUUCACCUCCCUCGUGCUGUCAUGGGCGUAUGAGUACAUAUCCAGCAGCGUCAUUAUCAGGACGGAGGUCCCCGGCUACACACAGGACCAGCUUAGGGCGCAGCGGUGGUCCACGUCUCGGAUCGCGCAUUCCGGACUCGAUGAGAGACGGGUCAUGCUCGAUGAGCUUACAGUGGAUGAUAUCACAUGGACCCCUUUUGAGGACCAUCGAGAUGUUCGACCGCGGGAUCCCAGGGCCCUCUAUUCCGGCUACAUCCGGACACCUUACGGCCGGUCUGUGAGCCUACAUCUACCAGAGCGGGUUAUGCGCCAGUUUGGCUUCAUACAGGACAUCCCUCGACACCCCUCUGAGAUCCAGACGACGGGGUCCCUUGCUGAGACCGCAGAUGCUGCCUAUGCUGAGUUUGAGCCGCACCUCCGCCCUCAGGAGAUACCUACUACAUAUCCGGGAGAGGCGGUGGAGGGUUACAUGAGGUGGUAUAGCAGAGUGUCACAUGUGUUCAUCAUCCCUGAGGAUAGGAGGGAGGAGCUUAGUGCCGUGGUAAGUUUGGAUUCUAAACUUGUAUAUUAUUUUUAUUCAUUCAAUUGUGAUUUUUGUUAAUGAAAUUAUUUUUGUAUAUUAUUUUUAUGCAGUCUGCCAUACGUAGGGGUGUGGAGUUGUUGGAGCAGUCCCUGGAGGUGCCAGGUGCUUAUGCUCCAGGGACACAGCCCCGGAUCCUCACGGAGAGGGCGCUCGAUCUCUUUCGACGGAGUUCCUUCGUUGGUACCCAGGGAGUUGUCUUUUCUGCUAUUCGAGGAGCCGCAGCUGCGGGAGGCAGAGCUCGUGGAGGCAGAGCUCGUGGAGGCAGACCCCGUGGAGGCGGAGCUCGUGGAGGCAGAGCUCGUGGAGAGGGUGAUCCUGGAGAGGGUGUUCGUGGAGGUCGAGCUCGUGGACCCAGAGGUCGCAGGGGGCGGGGUCGGGGAGAGUGAUUUUAUUACACUUGUUAUGUGGGAUCCAUUAUUAUGUAUAUGUUAGGACUUUUUAUGUUAUGUUAUGACUCUUUCCUCGUUUUAUUUGCAUGUGUUAUAUUUUUAGUCUUAAUAUUAUGACUCUUAUAAUGAAAAAAACAGAAACAACGACAACAUAUAAAUAAUUCAAAGCAUGUAGUAAUCCAUGACAAUAAGUUAAACGGUUACACAACCAAAUUAAACAUAAGCAACACCGAAAACAAAAUUAUUCCUCUGUGAUAUCGAUGAAGUCAUGGGGUCCGCAAUCUUUUGGGAAUACCUUCACUAGGUUGGGCAAUGUUAUAUUAAGAUAACAAACAGUUCCUCUAGGUGCAAACACAGCAACCUGCAAGAUCUCUGUCCGUCACAAUCACUCUAGGCAACCUGGAUUGGUCGGAAAUCAGAGACUUCAUACACUCCAAUGCCCAAAUGUAGUCCUCUGUGGUCUCACUGCCAAUGUAACAAAAUGCUAUUGAGUAUGUUUUAUCCGUGGAGGUCAGGCCAACAAUCUCGAGCAAGGGUAGUUUGUAUUUGCUGGUCUUGUAUGUGCAAUCCAUGAUCACUACAUAUGGGAAUGUGUUGAAAAGUUUGACGGCAUUCGGAUGAGCCCAAAAUAUAUCUCUAAUCACUUCCGAUCCGGGUUCAUUUCGUUCGAAGUGAACAUACUUCUCACCGUCCAACUUCUUCAACAAGUAUUGUAUCUCUGUCAGUGACCCACGAACGGAUUGUCUGAACCGCUUGCAAACACCAUAAAUUUGUUGGAUGGUAGUCAAGUUUGAAGGAUCUUUUUCCUUCAAGGACGCCAACAUCUUUCUAGGUGGAACCCAAGUCUUAGCCUGAUUUAUCACGUCCUCCUUCGCCUCACUAUUCAGUCUACCAGCGUAAUUGUGGCCAACUAGUGACUCAGCUGCGAGAUGGAUGUUUCUACCGUCCAUCACCUUCAACCACCAACCUUUAUCAUCUUUCGUACGUCGUCCUUUUAGCCUAAAAGGACAACCUGUCUUUUGUGUUGACGUUCCUUCAACAAGAUCCGGUUCUCUGUAGGGAAUAUACGCACCAUGCUUCUCACACCCCAGAAUGACAUAUUCUUUUCUUCCCUUCGCACCACUAUCAGACUUUGUUGUCACCAAAACAAAAUUAUUUGCCAUAGAAAUGUCGCGAACCCAUUUCAUAAGAUCAUCUUUCAAAGGGAAACGCUGUUUCAGGAUAAACAAGGCAUAAGGCAUAAAACAAGGCAUAAACAAAGCAAACAAAGCAUGCAAAAAUUUGUGCAAUGAGUACCUGAUCAGUAUGAUACAAAUGAGAGACAUCUAUAGAUAUAAUCGGAGGUUCAGCUAGUGAUGGUUGCUCCUCUGGAUUAUCAUUUUCCAAUCCAGCAGCAUGUAUCAAUUGUGAUUCACCAAAGAAAAAUGACUCUGUCAUCCCUGGAACAAAAACGGUAAAUCAAUAACCGACCAUAUAACGGUAAAUCAAAUUCCGACCCCAUAACGGUAAAUCAAAUUCCGGUACUAUAACGGUAAAUCAUUUACCGAUUCAGUUCACGAUUCAGCAGCCUAAAUUACCAACUUAACUAACUAAACUAACUACUUAAACUAACAACUAACUACUUAAACUAACUAUAAAUAAAGUACCAAAGCUAACAACACUUACCAGAAGUUAAAAGCUUUCCCUUGGUGGUGGUGGUGUUGGUGGUGGUGGUGGUGGAAAUGUGGAGAUGGUGGUGGUGGUGGGAAGGUGAAAUGUGAGGGAGGAGUGGAGUAAUGGAGAAUAAGGUAGUUUGGGCGAGUUAUGGGGGGCUGGUGGGGGGUUGUUGGAGGGAGGAGUAAUGGUGGAGGGGUUGGUGGAGGGAGGAGUAAUGGUGAAAAGGUGAUCAAACUUCCAGAUUACAAAUCGGUAAAUGAUAUACCGAUACAAUAUUAGAAUCGGUUAAUUAUUAACCGAUAUUGUUCUUCGUGUUCUGGGUAAUGGGAUGAAGGUGUUCAUACUGAGGAACAAUAACGGUAAAUGAUUUACCGAUUGGUAUUUUGACAUCGGCAAAUCAUUUACCGAUGGGUAGUUUUGGAAUAAAAAAAAAAUGCUGGGGCGCGUAGCCUAAAGGGUGGGGUGCCAAACCCAAAUCCCUUCCACCCCUACUGUGCUACCCAAACCCUUCUUCGUAUGUCAAAGGAAAAGAAUCUUUUAACGCCCUAGAUUCACUACAUUUGGUAAGAGAUAAGAAUUUUUUUGAAAUUGGUAAGAGAUAAGAAAUUGAAAAUAAAAGAUAGUAGGUAUUAGUGAAAAUGAAAAAACUAAAGUUAGAUGUAAUUAUAGUUUAUAGAUAUGAUCUAAAGAGCAUCUCCAAUGCAAGGUUCUUAAUUCUUAUUUUUAAGUUAAGAAUUAAGAAUUGAGUUUUUAACCAUUGGAGGGGCAGACAUGAAGUUCUACUUUUUGAGUUCUUAAUAUAAAAAUUUAUUUUUUCUCUCUCAUCCAAAUUACUUUAUUACUUUAUGAGUUUUGUUUUAUUAGUCUAUGAAAAUAAAAAGUAUAAAUAAUGUGGUUGGUGGGGCCAAAUGAAUAGUGGUAAGAACUAAAAACUAAGAACUCAUGGUUGGAGCAAAAUUGCUUGAGAGUUGCUUAAGCACAUGUGGCAAUACCGACCCACAUUAAUAAUGUUAAAGAACUAAGAAUUAAGAACUAGCAUUGAAGAUGCUCUAAUGCAUGCGAUAGUGCUGUUAAUCUAAAAACGGAUUUCAUGAUAGUUAGGAAAAAAAAUUAUGGAAUAGGUAGGGAUAUAAGUAAGUUAGGUCGUUGAUAGGGGUUUAUGACUUAGCUUACAUCAGACCCAGAUCACGACAGGUUAAGUUAAUAAAUAGAUAAAGCAAAAUUUUUUAAAAGUCUAUUUAGUUAAAAAUGUCAUAUUUAGGUUACUCAAAAAGUCUAUUUAAUUAAAAAUGUCAGACUUAACUUACUCAAAAAGCUUUAUAACCCUAACAUACUAGCCUAUUUAAAUAAAUAUAAAAUAAUUUAUAUUUCUAUUAUUUUUACAUUGAAUUUUCAUAAUAAUAUUUUAAUAUUAUAUCUUUAUUGACUUAUUUAUAUAUUUAAACAUGCUAGACUAUAUGAUGAUUUAACCAUAUAAACUUCAAAAAUGUACCAAUGAUACAAAUUUAUCAAUCUACUCAAAUUUCUUAUUACAAAGCAUGUUUUUAAAUAAGUUAUCAGGCCAGACUAUCAAAAAGCCCAAGCUUAAGUCUAAAAACUAUUCUAUGACAGGAAAUAUGUCAGGCUCAGACCUUGAAUUUUUUAAGUAGGCCCAACCUAUUUAAGUAAAGUCUAUCUUAGCCCAACUUAUUUUCACCCCUAGUUGUAGGACUACUAAAGCUUUACAGAGGGACUAAUCUUUCGAAAAGUAAUUGAUAGUUGUGAGAUUAAUCUCUUUGAUUCCCCACAAGGUUUUUAAUUUUUGAGAAGAAUAUCACUUAAUUUUUUUUUUAAUUUUCUACUUCCCAAAAAAAAGAACAUUACAUUUUUAGAAUACUGAGCAGGUGACUGCACCCAUAAAAUAAGAAGUGCUCCCAUAAUUUUAUAUUUUGGAAAAAGAUGAUUUCACUCUCAUUCCACCUGCAGAGGGAGAGACAACUGAGAGAUAUUCCAUAAUUCCAUUACACAAAUUAAAACCAUUAUUUUUAUGUUAAAAAAUCCAUUAAUUUUACCAUUUUCAGUAAAAAAAAAAGAUUUAAAAAAUGAGGAAUGAAGCUUAAAAUCGUAUGAGAAUCAAAAUAAACCAAACAUCCCCUUCAUCAUUCCAAAUCCAAUCACUGAUUGCUUCUCUCACUGUCGUUGUUGGCGAUACCCCUCCCUAGAUCUGCUCUCAAAAGGGUACGAAUUUCCACUCUUGCUUUUUCUGUAUUUCUGUGAUUCAUGGGAAUGCUUUUAUUGGCUUUUGCAUGUUUAGAGUGUUUCUGUUCCACACCCAUUUCGUGAUUUUUGUGAAUUGGAUUUCGAUUGGCCCAUGUGGGUUUUGGGGUUUCUGAUUUUUGUGUUUUUGUCCAUUGUGUUAAUUACUUCACUUCAGUUACUCGCUCCUAGCUUCUAUUAUCCAUCUGGGUCACUUAAUACUCAAAAAUGUUGUUUAAAUAUGUCACUGAAUGCUUCUCUUAUUGUUGUUUGCAUUAUAUGGUACUGUUUAGAAAAGAAAAAUUGGGAUUUUUGUAGCAUUGUGGUUCAGUGAGUAAUGAGGUGGUUAUUAAGUGUGUGUGUGUGUUUGGAUUAAAGUUUACGAAAAUGAGAUUAUGUCAACUUGAGUAUAGAAAACUGAGUUUGGUUAUAAGUGGUUUAUUUUUAAUGUGAUUUAUGUUUGGAUACUUUUUAUUCUAAAGUUGUUUUACAAAAUGAAUCUUGUUUGGAUGAUUUAAGUUAAUAGCACUUUUAAGUGAGUAAAUGCUAAAAAUUGACAACUUUCAAUGGAUAAGCUGAACAUAGGUUGGUUGGACUUAACUUGGUUUAAGGCCAAUGUUCGAUUCCUCUGAAUGUGAAAAUUAAACUCCGAAACAUGUUGACACAAUGUUAAAUGUGACUAUAUGGAAGUUAACUGAUGAAAAUAGCCAAUGACCCAAGCACAGUUUGAAGCUAUAUGAGUAAUAGCAUGUUUGCUUAGUUUUCAUUUUCCUGCUACUGCUGUCUUGACAGGCUGGAACUAAGAGCUGGAAGUCAUAGAUGGCACUUUCAGUUUCUCGAGCUAUGUCAAAGGGUGUAGUGCUGACAGUGCCUGUCCUGGUUCUCAUUGCUUCAGUGGCUGCUGUUUUCCUCUUCUUUCUCUUGUCCUCUCUCUCGUCUUGCUCCUGCCCUCCAUCUUCAGACACCCCUGUCUCCAAUGCUAGGAGUGUUGAUAUUGGUGUGCCUGAGUCUAGCAGGGGUAAUGUUCCUUUAUUGACAAGGAAGGAGGAUGUUGAAUGGGUGAAAGGUCAAAUCCAAGCAAAUGGGCUUCAUAUGCAGGACAAUGUGCUCCGCAAGGGUAUUAACCCUCGCACCAGGGCUCAGCAACUUGAGGAUCUUAGACAGUAAGACUCUUACUCUCAAUUUGUUUUACCACUUGUGUGUGUCUGUGUACAUGAAUAUAUCUUUGUUUUGAGAUACCACGCUGUGAUAUCAUUCAUGUCAUUAAAGUUUUUAGAAUGUCAAUUUCUGAAAAUCUAGCUAUUUCUAGCUUGCAGUGAAAGUUGCUAUUUGGUAGAGAGAACAUUGAGGGAGGUGGGAGGAUAAGUUCUAACAAUUUGGACUCCACAUAUUAAUCACAAUAUAGGAAAAUAAGUUAACUAGCUAACUAGUAGUGUAGCACUGAAAAUAUGUAUGAGUCAGCAAAAGUCAGGCGAGAUGCUUGGGAAUGAUUGGAAAUAGGAGUUCCGGGAAAUUUUACCUUUUUUCUCUUUUGAGAGAUAAUGAUGCUAUAUACUUCAAACUGAAGCUUGUUUACUGUGUGUCCAGCUUUUUGUGAAAAUGUGUUUUAGACAUUGUAUUCACAUCCUUUAAAAUUGGUAUGUUGCUCAGUUUUUAAUUUGCAAUUUACAGUUCUAUUAGAGGUUCCUUAUUUUUUAUCCUUGCAUACUGAUUUGAUUGGUUGCUAAUAAGCACAGGGGUUUAAGGUUUUCAAAGUUUCCAUCAAUCCCAACAUAGAUAACAGUUCAAACAGUUUUUAUUUUUAGCUUGGAGCACAUUUUAUUAUAGUGAAUUAGGCUAGCUAAUGAACUGCAGAAUGGUAUGUUCUUGCAUUAUGAUGUCUUUUCAACUCGUGAACUCUUAUUCCUUGUCCCUGCUCUCUUUCUCUCCAUAAGAUUUCAAAUAAAGGAACCCAUUGUCUUGGUGGGCACUUGGGCAAUAUAUACACUUUUGAAGCAAUGAUUGCAAUUUCUAAUUUCAUUCUGUUUGAUCAUGAAUUUGUGACUUCCUUUUAGAUUUCCUGGUUACAAUUUCUUCUUUCAAGUGCAGGUUUAAGGGCAUAUCCCACUAUGAGGGACCUGAAUCAGAUAAUCACACAGCCUUGCCAUGCCCUGGGGAGCUUCUAGUCGAACAGCACCAUAGCAACUACGGUGAACCUUGGGCAGGUGGAAGAGAUGUGUUUGAGUUUCUUGCUCAAGCCGUUCAACUCAGACCUGACUCGCUGGUACUGGAGAUAGGCUGUGGCACACUUAGAGUUGGUUUGCAUUUUAUUCGGUAUUUAAACUCUGAACACUUUAAUUGUCUUGAAAGGGAUGAGCUCUCUCUGAUGGCUGUAUUUAGGUAUGAGCUUCCUGCCCAAGGCCUCUUAUACAAAAGACCUUUGAUAGUUAAGGGGGAUGACAUGGAUUUCACUAAAUUUGGUUCUGACAAAAUGUAUGAUUUGAUUUAUGCUAGUGCUGUAUUUCUUCAUAUGCCUGAUAAACUCGUAUGGGCUGGACUGGAAAGAUUAGCAUCUAAAUUGAAGCCUUACGAUGGACGAAUCUUUGUAUCUCAUAAUAUAAAGUUCUGUUCACGGUUGGGAGGAGAGGAAUGUACAAAGAGGCUUAUGAGUUUGGGGCUUGAGUAUCUUGGGAAGCAUACACAUGAUAGUCUGCUAUUCAAUCACUAUGAGAUAUGGUUUGAAUUUAGACGGUCAAAGGUUUAAGGUCAUGAUUGAAUCUAGAAAAAAAAACGUCAGGAAUAUGUCUAAAUUGCCUGAAGCAACUAAAUGUGUUUGCUCAUCGUAACAAAUCUUCAGCAACUCAAUGAUAUUGUUGCUUUGAGUCCAUGGAGGUCACAGUUUUUUUCUCCUCAGUGGUUCAUCAACUUGUGAGUGGUUUCUCUACUCAGUGGUUCCUCAACUUGUGCCAGAAAUCAUAAUACACUUUUGAGGACUCAACAAAGGCAAGGAGACUUGUAUUGUUAUUUUUAGGAUCCUAUUCUUAAAGGGUAGCUCAAUAUUUUCGUUUUAAUGUUGUCUCUAUAGAUUCUGAUAUGAUAGUUGUAUUUACUAUUUAGCAUUCAUGUUAUCUAGCAACUGAUUGCUAUUUUGACAAUUAUUACACGGCAUGACAUCUAACAUUUGUGUGUGAUUUUAAUUUAUAUUCUUUGGAUUUUAUGUGUUGUAACUUGUAACAAAGUUGUGUUGGUCAUGAAUUUUGAAGCAAACAAAUGUAAAGAAAGGCUUGGUUGUAGAAGCUGGAUAGGGGACUGAUCAAUAUCUAGGUUGAAGUGGCCAUAAAUGGAAAAGAAAGAAGCGUUGUUUAUUUUUGUCAAGUAACCAGGUACCUCUAUUAGAGUUGAUCCAUCAAGGCAUAUAUAUAGCAUGGUGGAGUAUUUUGUGUGUAUAUGAUCAUUCCAUUUGAUAUUUUUUGAGGUUCAAACAUUGACAAUAGGUAUGUUUCAUACACUGAUUAGAAUGGUUUUUUUGCUGGAUAGAAAUGGAAUCAACGAGUUGGGCAGUUUUACCCUGUUUGUUGAUACCCCUUGGAGAAAUCUCAAGGGUGGAAAGUUCCAUAUGCAGCUCAAAUCAAUUGAUCCACGAUACCUGCACUUUCACCUAAAGCAAGGUUUAUACUUGCAUCCAUUUUUUCUGCUCAAUCUUCAGUAGAGUUCCAAGAAUUAUUUUCCCUAAUCUUUCAGUGCUCUCCGCUUAGCCUUAGCUCUAUAUUGAUAUGAUAUGGUUGCGUAGGAAAACUUUUAUCCUUAAAGACACGGGUGCUGAUCAUACCAUUCAAGAAUUGAUUUUAACGUCAUGAUAGCACUAUCAAUUUUGUUUCUUCCUAUGACGUAGAGAAGUGCUGAAUUGAAAUGUGGUGAAGAUAAACUUAAAAUUCUAAAUGAUUUUCUAUAACUUUUUUUUUCUUGAGAUGAUUUUCUAUAACUUUAUGUGCGGUGUGUGAAUUGCAACAUAUUUAAAGCACACAGUAGAGUUAAUGAUGAUAAAUAUAGGGUUUUGGUGUGACUUGUAGACCCCUAACCAUACUCCAAAAUGUUUUGUUUCACAGAAGUAUGCUUCUCCAACUCACUUAUGUGUUAAGUCUACCAAUGUAGGAUUUGGUUUAUAGUCCAAAUCACACCAGAUUUGGAAGUAUUUAUACACAUAGUACUAACCCAAAUCUAGUGCACACAGUUCAAUUUGCCCCUAUGCUAACCAGAUAUUAGGCCUCAUGUAUUUUUUUCGCCAAAACAUGUUUCUCAUGUGGUAUAAAUUUAACUACCUGCCAUAAAAACCUUGAAAUUAACGGACCCUCCCUUAUAAAAUUGUGUCUCAUUUACAACUAUAGGGUUUUGUCCGUCCCUUUCUUCUCCUAAUAAAAUUGUUUCUCAAAAAACACUUUAAAAGAUUCAAAAUUGCUAUCAAUUAAUAAUGUUUUUUUAUAAAAAAAACCUUGUUUUUUUUUAAAAAAAAAACUUUCCCUUCUACAUUCCUAUCUAUAUAGCAAAUUCAAGAUUGUUUGCCAAAAGUUAAAUGUCAUUAAAAUUAAAAUAUUUUAUUAAAUUUUGUGCGAAGGUUAAUCAAUAUAUUUGAGAAUUGAUAUUGUAAGCGAUUUAUGUCAACACAAAAGGAGCAUCAAAAUUGAAGAAGUUUAAAAGGAAAAUUAAUAAAAGACACCAAAAUUAAUAAAGGCUAAAAAGAGCAUCAAAAUGCUCAAAGUUUACAACUCAACGUUAAAAGACACUUGAAGAAAGUUUUUCGCAAUCCUCCAAACCCAAUAUAAUAAAAUGUCUAUUCAAAAUUAACUGAAGCUAAAACAUUGAUAUAUAAAUGAAGGUACGGUGAAACUACGCUCGUCUUCUUCAUUGGGAAAAGUAACUCAAACCUAAGAUCCCUUUAUUAGGUGAGUUCAUCGACUUGUUUCUCUUAUUCCAAACACUCAAGCCGGUGCCACCAUCCUAUCUUGUCAACGUUAUUUGCCUUUUUCUACUAACUGCAUAUAUUAAAGGGAAAUAAAACAAUUUAGAUGUUAUGUCACAAAAUAAAUGUUAAUUAAACUUUAAGUCAAUGGAUAUAGAUCAUAAUAAAGUACAAAAUUGAAAUAAAUUAUAUUUGAUAUAAAGUGUUAAUAAAUGCGCUUACUGUCUCAACAAUCAGACACUCAUCAUUGCUGUUUGGAUUUUGUCAAUUGUGCACUUCAUUAAAGUGCACAAAGAGGACACUAAGCUAGGAUCUAGUGGUGUUGGAGUUGCUGGAACCAAUAUUUGAUAUGCAAGUGUACCAAGACACCCUCCAGAUCCAACAUCAGUUGUGGGCCCGCCGCUCAGCCUGGACCCAUCAGGAAUAAUGGCAAAGCCUGAGGGCAUCAAGUUACGAUAAUCUAGAUCUGAGCCACUCAAGACUAAAUUCAUGGCAUCAAGUUCAACUGGAGAAUACACCACAUACGAGCCUAUAGAGUCAGUGUAGGUCUCUUGAACUAUGGUCUUGCUGCUUUGGAUUGAAUUCUCACUCUAUAAUGUCAUUUACAAAAAAAUGUUGUUAGUUUAUCUAUUGUUAUAUGAUAUAUAAUCUUGGAUGUGCCAAAUGCUAAACUAAACACCAACUUACCUUGGUAUGAAGUAAAGAGAUAAAAUUUCUAGGAUCACGAGCACUUGCUAUGUGUGCUAGUUCUUGAACUAGAAAACCUUUGGUGAGAAUAUCCCACUGCAAAUUGAACAAAAAGAUUUGAAGUUUAAUAGAUAAACUAUAGGAACCAAAUAAAUGUCAAGAAUCAACCACACACAUAAACUUUUCUUCCGGCUACUAUCAUGCCAGCAUUAGUGGAAAUACUUUACAUACCUGGUUCCUUGAGUCUUCAUUUUGAAGAAACUCAAAGAGUCUUUUGGAAGGAACUGGAAGAGAGAAAGAAGUUGCAACACUAAUAACAACACCAAUAAGUGCUCCCGAUGCAUCAGUUUUGUUUUUGGUCAUGACCCUCACGUCAUCAGCGCCCGCUGGUGUUGUCUGGACUGUCCAAACAUGAGGUGGUGGGGAAGCACCAACAUAGUUGCAAUAGCUCUGCAUAAUUUUCUCUGCCAACUUCAUCAAGGUUUUUCUUUCUUCAGGAUCUAUCCCUGUUUCAUAUACAUAUAAUUAAGGAUUGAAAUUCACAAUUAAGUGUAAUAAUUGAUUAAACUUUGAUCUAACAAGAUCUUGAUAAUGAAUGGAACAAAACAAAAGAGAAGGAUAAAAUGUCAUAUACCAUUAAUGUCUUCUAGUGGUAUGUUAGUGCCCUCACAAUAUCUUUCUAAAGUUCUUAUCCACUGCCUAGCUCCAAAGGCAAAGCCAGAAUUACAUAGAUGUUUGACUAUAUCAUGCACUUCUUUCUCUUCAACUUCUACAUGUUCAAUCCAUGUAACCUAAAGAAAACAAUUAAUUGGUUUCAAUAAAUUUAGUUUAGUUGAACAGAUAAUGCAAUGAAUCAUUAAUGAAAUGAUUUCAUUUGUAAUAACACCUUUGAGAAACGAUUUGAAAAUUCUUGAAUCAUACAACCAGAGGGUCGUCUUCUGCAUCUUGUGGCAGCACCAGGUCGCAUAUCAUCCAAGGAAAUAUCAACCACAACCCAUGCCCUAUCAGGGUGAUACUUACAAUACCUUACGAAAUAACUAUUACGAGCAGGAACAAGAUGUGAGAGCGUCUGGAACUCUGCUGAUAUCUGGAAAAAAAUUCUUAUGUGAAACCCCAUGUUUAAAAUACUUCUACAUUUGAUUCUGAAUUCAUAAUCAAUUCUAGGGAGAGGCUCGGGUUUCAAAAUUUAUUCAUAAAAAAGGAUAUAUAUAUCGAAAGAUGUUAUUAAUCAAUUCUCGCAAGAGGUGAAGAAAAAAAAGGGUAAUACCGCUUGCAGGGCUCCAUCAUAGUUUCCUCCCACUCCAGUUGAUAGGAUUUCAGUUGUCUUUGCACUAGAAACAAUACCGGGAAAUACAGUUGACCAUUGAUUCUGAAAAUUGUUGUCAAUACAAAGGUAAAUAUAUAUAUAUAUAUAUAUAUAUAUAUAAUUGCAAUAAUUAAUUUUUGGGAACUUUUAAUAAUACUCACAACAUCCAUAAGGAUUUCAAUGAGAUUAUUAGGAUUCAUGGUAACCAUCAUGGAUUCCCUUGAGCCUUCAGAUCUGAACCCCAUAGGUGUUGGCCCUAGUCCUGCAUGGAAAACCCUAACAUACUCUUGUUGGUUUAGAAUAUCACUAUGCAUUCCGGGGAUCCAUAAAGGUGAUCCACAAUUAGCAAUCUUAGUAAAUUCCUCCAUAGCUCCAACUGCAAGCUCCAUAAUUAAGGAUUUCUCAGGUUCAGUAAAAGGAGUUGUGAUAAUUGAUAUUUGAGGGUCGCUUCUGCCACCAUGCACUUGCAUUUCCAUGCUUGGUUCCAGAACAUAGUUGACAAUAUCAAACGAGCUUGAAGAUAUUGGAAUGCGAGGUGGCAGUGGAUGGUUAGAGAAUGAAGUCCUUGAUGGUUGUAUUGCAAUUUUUGCUAUCAUUUCUCUUAUCUUUUUAAGCUGAAAAUAAAACAAAGAAAAAUACAUUAAUUUAGUUCAACCAAGGAGAGAGAGAGACAGAGAGAGAGAGAGAGUUAUUUACAUGAUGUUGUGUUAGUUAUAAAAAUUGUUAUACCUUUUCUUUCAAUUGAGCAUUCUCAAGCCUCAAAUGCUUCUCUUCAAAGGACAUUUCACCAACAGAAGAUGGGCAGCCUCUAUAGUGAAGGUACUUAACAUUCCUCACGUUCCUCAAUGCUUCCUUGUACUGUAGGUUCUCAGCACGGAGCUUUUCAUUCUCAGCAAUCAAAAGGGUAUUUUGGUGAUGUUCCAACAUAUACUGCAUGUAUGCAUACACAACCAAAGAAUCAUUACAUAAUACUCGUGCAACUUAAUAGUAUUUCAUUUUGAAAAAAUGUAGGGAUACAACCUCGUUGGAUGUUUACACUCCACCGUGAAAAAAAUAUAAGAGAUGAAACUAUCUUGGAGGAAGUGAGAGAUAAUAGUUAAUAAUAAAUGAAUAAAAUAAGGAAGUAUAUUUAGGGUUUUAAAAAAUAAACAUGGUUUGCUUAAGACAAGUCGAAGAGAUGUUAGGAAAUCAUAGGAAAAGAAAAAGUUGGAUGUCAAUGUAUCAAAAUUUCAAAUUUUGAUCUUUUAUUUUGUAAUAUUAUUCAAAAAAAUUAAUAAAAUAAUUUUCUCUAAUUGAUUUAGACCUAAAAUAUACCUUAGUCUUGAGAGACAUAAAAAUGAGGAAAGAGAAAUGAGAAUUGAUAGAUGACUAAUAAGAUAAGAAUAAAAAUCAAGUGAAAAUGAGAUAGAAGAGAAAGUGAGUAUGAGCGGUGUAGAGAGACGACAACCCACAUCGAAAUUGAUAAGUGCGGUACAGUUCAAUGCAACUAUUGUAGAAGGUUAUAGAUGUUUUGUCCCUUACAUUCAUCUGGGUGCGCUUGUUUUGGAACCAAAACUUGAUUUGCAUAGAAUUCAGCCCGAUAAAAUUGCCGAGCUCUCUCCUUUGCCUCUCAUUUGGGUAAGGGUUAUAUUUGAAGAAGCUGACAAGAGUAUAGUUCAAAAGCAAAAUUUUGAGUAAGCAAAGCUAAGAAAGAAAAUAUGUUUGUAUUAUUAGAAAAAAAAUGUUGGAGUUUCGUUGGAGCCCUACUUUUCCAUCACUUGUAUCUGGUGUUGAGUAUGGCGACUAUUGAAAUUUCCACCGGGUCGUUGGGUGCCGACACCAGAAGUAGGAGGAGGUUGGGUUUCUUCAACGGAAUGUGGAGCUUCUUCCACAUUCUGGAGUGUCGCAACAACAGGUUGUUGAUUACGGUCUUUGUUCCCUCCAUUGUCACCUCGUGAUGAGGUCGCUGGUGUCUGCUGCAAAGAGGACACAUCAUGCUCGACUUGUUGAGUUUCAAAGUUCAACACUCUUGCCAUGAUUCUUUGUGCUUUUAGCAAAACAGUCUAUUGGACAAUCUGCUAAAACACAAUCAAAAAAUCACCAAUGUAAGUGAAAACAAUUAAUAAGAUAGACGAGUAUGUAUAUCAAAUAAUUAUUUUAUCUAUUAUAAAUCUAAAUCAUGAGUGUUUAGUUCAACGGUGGUCUCACCAGAAACAAUAAAAUAUAGCUUUUGAGUUACCUUGCUUAAAACGAUGACACAAAUACGUGAAGGGGGAAAACCUAUCUCUUUAUCUAUAUAUAGAGAUAUAAGUAAAAUUGACUUGACCAAGUAUUAAAUACUAUAUUUAAUAUAAUUAUACAUAUAUAUAUAUGUGUGUAAAUGUGACUUGAACAAUAAUUAAAUACCAAAUUUAAUAUAAUAAUAUAUAAAUAUCAUAAAGAAAUAUAAUAAAUGUAUAUAAGUAUAAGGAAUACAUAUGUAUCUAUAUCUAUAUGUAUAUAAGUAAAAUUGACUUGAACAAGUAUUAAUAACUAUAUUAAUGUAAUUAUAAAUAAAUAUUGUAAAAAUUAAUAAUAAAAUAUUUAUAAAUACAUAUAUUUAAGUAAAAUUCACUUGAAAAAGUAUUAAAGACUAUAUUUAAAGUAAUAAUAUAAAUGUUAUUAAGAAAAAUAUAAUAUAAAUAGAAAUAUAUAUAUAUAUAUAUAUAUAAUUGACUUGAAAAAGUAUUAAAUAUUUUCAUUAUAAGACAAAUUUAAGGUUAUUAUGGAUUAUUUAAAUUUAUGCGGCAUAACUUAUAAUUAUAAAUCAUAAUUAAUUUUAAUAUAUAAGAAAUGCAUUAAAUGUUAAAGUUAGAAUACUAAAAAAAUAUUAAAGUUAAGUGUGUAUAAUCUAUAUUAUAUAUAUAGGAUUAAAGAAUAUAUUUAAUGUAAUAAUAUAGAAAUAUUAUAGUUAAAUAAUAAAAAAUAGAGUAAAAUAUAUAUAAGUAUAAGUUAAAUUGACUUGAAUAUUUAUCAAUUUUUAUGUUUAAUAUACCAACCUAUGUAUAACAAAAUUUGACUUGAACAAGUAUUAAAGAUUUUUAUUCUAAGUGGGUGGAAUUUGGGCCCCGUUUGGAAAAACAGCUUAAUUAAGCGCUUAUGGUCAUAAGCGCUUAUGACAUAAGCGCUUAUUCAUAAGCUAUUUUUAAAAAUUUAUUGAAAUAAAUUAAAAAGGCUUAAUAGCUCUUUUGCUCCCUCACUUAUCACAUUUUUGCACUCUUGGUCCCCAAUAAAAAAAUUAGUACUUUUGGUCCUCCACAUUGCUUAUUUGUUUGCAAAAAUGAUCCCUAUUUAGACUAAAACUGCAAAAGUGUGUAAAUGUGAGGGACUAAUUUUGCUAAUUUUUUCCUAGAGGGACCAAAAGUGCAAAAUCAUGAAAAGUGAGGGACCAAAAGAGCUAUUAAACCAAUUAAAAAUAAGUUGUAUAUAAGCAUAAGUUGUUUUUCAUAAGCUAUCCUGAGUAAGUUGUUUGCAUAACCCCUCCCGAACACUGGCGUAAGAGCUUAUGCUGUCAGAUAAGUUCAAAUAAGUUCUUCCAAACUAGGCUUUGAUUCAUUCAUCAAUGUGCAGGGAGAAAUUAGACACGCUAUUGGAGUCACUGGUGGGUUACUCUCUUUUUGGGAUCCAUAUUCAAUUAAUGUGGAGGAGGUGGUGUAGGAUCCUAAUUUCAUUUGUAUUAUGUUAACAUUGGUGCACAACCAUAUUUUUAUAUGGGUUUGAGGGCCUUGAAGAAACCUAACGCUGCAAAAGUGGAAAUGACAGGUUUGUUGGGGAGAAUCACGACGAGGACCCAUGGGGCAAGGUCGAGGGGAAAUACCAAGGAGAUCUUAGACACCACAUCUUAACCCAAAACCUUAAGGCAUUAGGUUUAUGGAUCCAUCUCCUUAUAAACUCUCUCUCUUACCUUGACUUCUCUGAUGUGGGACUUGACUCUAACACUUGAUUCCAACAAUUACCCCCUCAAGUGUGAGUCCCUUAAACCACAUCACCCAUGGUCCUCCCGUCUGCGGAAGCUAUUCACCUUUCACCGCCGUUCGCUUCCAACGGAACCCGCCGCCUAGCCACACUGCUAGGAAGACUUUCGACACAAGGAGUCGUUACCAUGGCUACACCAACCAUCGGCUCGAGUCGUUAUGGUCCCACGAAUCAUCGGCUCUGAUACCACUUGUUGAGGAGAGUCACGGCGAGGACCCGUGGGGAAAGGUCGAGGGGAAACACCAAGGAGAUCUUAGACACCACAUCUUAACCCAAAACCUUAAGGCAUUAGGUUUAUGGGUCCAUCUCCUUAUAAACUCUCCCUCUUACCUUGACUUCUCUGAUGUGGGACUUGACUCUAACACUUGAUUCCAACAAUCUACCCCUCAAGUGUGAGUCCUUCAACCACAUCACCCAUGUUCCUCCCGUCUGCGGAAGCUAUUCACCUUGCACCGUCGUUCGCUUCCAACGGAACCCGCUGCCUAGCCACACUGCUAGGAAGACUUUCGACACAAGGAGUUGUUACCAUGGCUACACCAACCAUCGGCUCUGAUACCACUUGUUGGGGAGAGUCACAGCGAGGACCCAUGGGGCCAAGUCCGAGGGGAGACACCAAGGAGAUCUGGGACACCACAUCUUAACCCAAAACCUUAAGGCAUUAGGUUUAUGGGUCAAUCUCAUUAUAAACUCUCCCUCUUACCUUGACUUCUCCAAUGUGGGACUUGACUCUAACACUUGAUUCCAACAAUUACCCCCUCAAGUGUGAGUCCCUUCAACCACAUCACCCGUGGUCCUCCCGUCUGCGGAAGCUAUUCACCUUUCACCGCCGUUCGCUUCCAACGGAACCCGCCGCCUAGCCACACUGCUAGGAAGACUUUCGACACAAGGAGUCAUUACCAUGGCUACACCAACCAUCGGCUCGAGUCGUUAUGGUCCCACGAAUCAUCGGCUCUGAUACCACUUGUUGAGGAGAGUCACGGCGAGGACCCGUGGGGAAAGGUCGAGGGGAAACACCAAGGAGAUCUUAGACACCACAUCUUAACCCAAAACCUUAAGGCAUUAGGUUUAUGGGUCCAUCUCCUUAUAAACUCUCCCUCUUACCUUGACUUCUCUGAUGUGGGACUUGACUCUAACACUUGAUUCCAACAAUCUACCCCUCAAGUGUGAGUCCUUCAACCACAUCACCCAUGUUCCUCCCGUCUGCGGAAGCUAUUCACCUUGCACCGUCGUUCGCUUCCAACGGAACCCGCCGCCUAGCCACAUUGCUAGGAAGACUUUCGACACAAGGAGUUGUUACCAUGGCUACACCAACCAUUGGCUCUGAUACCACUUGUUGGGGAGAGUCACAGCGAGGACCUGUGAGGCAAGGUCGAGGGGAAACACCAAGGAGAUCUCGGACACCACAUCUUAACUCAAAACCUUAAGGCAUUAGGUUUAUGUGUCCAUCUCCUUAUAAACUCUCCAUCUUACCUUGACUUCUCCGAUGUGGGACUUGACUCUAACACUUGAUUCCAACAAGAUUUAUUAUUGAAGGCAAAGGCUCACUGGCUGUUUUGAAACAAGCAUGGGGCUUUUUGCAUUUAUUUGGCAUUGUCUUUGAAUUGCAAAGAUUAACAGGAACUUCACGCCAAUGGAAGCUGAUUUUUUCCAAUUCAUUAGGGUACGCUGAUAGUACCAAUUGUAGAGGAAUGUUUUUUCAGUUUUUUAUGGCGAUUUGUGUUGUUGGCUUGUGUUUGAGUACUUUUUUUUCCCUCCCCAAGGGUUUUUCCCACUAGGUUUUUUCGUAGGGAGGUCUUAAUGAGGCUCUCUCAUGAGUUGCUUUAAUCAUCAAAAUAUUGUAGGACCGAAAGGUUUUUCCUCAAGCUUUUCCCAUUCUACUUUAAAGGAAUGUUCUCAUUAUUUUUUUUUUAACUUUUCAUCAAUAAAAUCAAUUUUGUUUUAAAAAUAUGAUUUAUUCUUUGAAAAAAUAUCAUUUAACUUUUUAAAUCUAUUAUAUAUUAGUAAAGUGACUUACGAAAGCAUAAUAGAGAAAAAUAAUUAAUGCUGAAGAUGAAUAAAUUUAAAUUUACUAAAAAUAUAUUUCAUGAUAUUAAAAACUUAUUACUUGAUUUAUUUUAAAUUUACUAAUUAAAUAUUCAUAUUAUUAAAUAAAUAAAUAAAUUAUUGAAUUGUUAAAAUUACUUCAAUUAAUUAUUAAAUAUCAAUUAUUAAUUAAACUUGAGUAAUAUCAAUUGUUUAUACAAAUAGAACUCGUUAAACCGCUCAUAUGUAAUAUGGACAUGCACAUUUUUAGAAUGUGAAGGUAAAUAUUGACGCAAAAAAUAAGAAUUUGAUGUUGAAAUGAGAAUCAAACAUGCAUGGCUUCUGUGUACCGCUCAUGGAGUCACGCGUAUCAUGCAUCUUCGCCAAUGCCUCCUCUCUAGAGACACCAAGAAACACGACCAAGCUAUUGACUUCCUUGGAUCAGUCUUAAUCCGUAGGGAGAUAAAGUAGAGAUGACACAUCAUCUAAGGUGACAUUUAUCGCCUCGAACGACAAGUGGAAGGAAGAGGUCUCUCGGUACCACCUCUCAGCAAAUGUCAUGACCAAGCCCUUGUCCACAAUGUGGUGUAAGCACUAAGCACGACUACUAGGGAUAAAGACAUGAUAUUUGGACUGCCUCAAACUCGUGUGUAUGGUCCUUACACUUCAAUUGGUCGAGCUUUUUCCCAUUGCACACAAUCGUUAAGUCUCCAUGUUAUGCAGAAUCCUACAAAAUUGUUCAAACAAGAAUAGAUAAAACGUAUACAAAACUACAUUAACCAGAAAAAUAGCUGAAACAACUUAUGUAUACUUCUAAUAACGUCGUCCACACAAACGAUAAACUUGGUCAGUGUAACACCCUGGGCCGACGAGGUCAAGGAGUGAACGCCGGUGCAAUGAGGGACACAUGAAUGGACCUAUCUCACACACGAACAAAAGAUAUUUUGAGACUUUAUAGAUAUGAGACUAUACAGUUGAGGAGGGAAUAUACUAUUUGAUUAGUAUUACAUGAGAAUAAGAUGUGUCUUCUUUUCAGCAGCCCAACUUAUAAAAUUUCCAUGGUCAAAUGUGCUUUCCUUGGAGAAAUAUUGGGAUGACUGACGUUCUAGGAAGUUUUUCCGAGAAGCACGUGAGUGAGGAAAAAACAUGUUGGAAAGUCUUGUGUUGUUACCGUGAGGAUAGUCGUGAGAUCAGGAUGUUACAAAUGGUAUUAGAGCCAACCUCUCCUAGUACGGUGUGGUUCAGGUACGAACCAAGCGGAAAUCGGUGGACAUGUAACACCCAGGGCUGACGAGGGCGGGGAGUGAACACUGGUGUAAUGAGGCACGGAUAAGGAGCGACUCUUGACAGAAUUCUAGGCGGAGGGACAUAUCAAUGAACCAAUCUCGCAUCCCAACAAGAGGUCUUCCGAGUAUAGAUAUGAGAUUAUAUAGAGUAGGAUGGCAUAUAAGAUUUUAUUAGUACUACUCAUGACAACAAAAUGCAUCUUCUUUUCGAGAGCCUAACUCAUAAAAACACCAAGGUUAAGUGUGCUUGCCUUGGAGCAAUAUUGGAAUAGGUGACAUUCUAGGAAGUUUUCUCGGGAAGCACGUCAGUGAGAACAAAAUGUGUGGAAAGACUCGCGUUGUUACCAUGUGGCCAAUCAUCAGAUUGGGGUGUUACAAUCAGCAUAACUAGUAAGGAUAAACAAGUCGUCAGUCCCGCUAGAAAACAAUGGCUCCUACUAUGCUAGUGAGCUAACUAGUUCAACAUGUGCAUCCUCUUACUUCUAAUGUGCAGCCUCCUGCUCCACGCUCCACGAGCAAUCGUACAACGACUACUCAUACCUCGAGGUAAGUCGUGACCACCCGCACAUGACGAGGGUCCUCUUGUUCUAGCCAUAUUAGUACUGCAAUAUAAUUAGUGAGAUGUGGUAAUUGAAACAAUGAUAAACCAAAAACACAAAGUACCCUAAGCACUAUUGGGUUCUAAAGGAACAAAAAAUUACACUUAUACACUAUUAGGUUUGAGAAGCCGAACUUUAAAAAGUAAACAUUAACUAUUGCAGGUUCUCAAACCUGUAAUAAAAAAACAUUUGACUUACCCGGUUCUAAACAAAAGUGUCCUAGGUUCUUCCGGGUUCUAAAACUGGAACAAAAGGGUUUCCUAAGCAAUACCGGAUUUUAAAACCUAGUAUACUACAACAACUAUCGAGUUUCAUAACCUUGUUAAGUUUCGCUCCAAUGACAAAAACUUCUUUACAAAAGAAAAAGGGAGAGAAAAUAGAAAAUGAAAGAAUAUUCAGGUUAUGGGAACUUACCAAAGCUAAAUGGAAGUAAGGUUGAGAGAUGAGAAGAAGACGAUGAUGUGAAUGAGGUCGAAGAGGAAGAAGAAGAUGAAGGUGAUGGGUGAGGUUGAGGAACAAGAUGAUGACGGGGUGAAGUGGAAGAUGAAGAGGAGGGAGGUGUUUUGUGUGAGUAGUGGUGAGUGAGGAGGGGAGGAGUAUUUUUUAAAUUGAGGUAUUAUUGGGUUUAAAAAAAAAGAGGAGUCAGAAUUAGGGUGGGGUGACAAAAUAACACCCAUUUUGAAAAACAUUCCAAGAGUUUAUGUCAUAUCCCCUUCAUCCCUAAUUAAAAGAUCAUCUUAACACAAUUGCGCUUAUUGAGAAAAUGUAAUGAUGUUAACCAAUGUAUUGUAGAGACGAAUGACAUGAGGUAGUAGUAGUACUAUUUUUUUAUUGGGUUAACCGUCUUUGAUUUUAGUCUCUCUCAUCUCUCAAUGACUAAUUUGACCAUUAAGACAUUUUAAUAAAAGAGAUGAGAAAAAGGGAAGGGGAUGGUGAGAGACACACACGAAGACGAAAUAGCAGCAAAAGCAAAGCAACAAUGUAUGACUAUGUUUUUUCUUCGACAUGAUACGCGUCGCUGAGUUGAAACAACAAUUAGGGAUUUUCUCUAACUUCACACCAACACACAGUAGUAAGAUUCUAACUUCACCUUCAGUUUCUACUGCUUUCAAAUUUCAAUGAUUUCAGUUUCAUUGACAAAACCCUGAUUGGGAUUUUUUUUUUCUUCCAGAGGAGCGUGUGCUAUGAAUCACAUUACACAAUCAAUCAAUGAGGACUAGCUGCAGUUGAACUGACUCAGGUAACAGAAAUGAUGAAAACAGAUUCAAGAAUUGAAGACCGUGUUUGGUUGAAAUUGAAUUAGUAGAUGUGUUAUUUUUAUUGUUUCUGCCAUAAGCUCAUUAGUCAUUAGUUAUAAUCUAACUCAUUAAAGUUGCAUAUGAAAGGAUAAAUAAAGCAGAUUAAUUUAAUUGGUAUUUGGAGUCAGCAUAUUUUGAUAAAUAAUCUUAAUUUUGGUAGCUUUGUGAAAAAGCUCGUCUCUUUAGUGGUCAUGUUUAGUCUUGGAGUUUAAGUCUCUUUUUGUAUAAGAGGACCCAUUCCCCUCUACUGGUAGAUCCUGCUCUUGAUUUUUCAACAUGCAGAGAAAUUCCUAGUUAUUUAAUGACUCCAUUAAUUGAAUUCAAUGUAAUGAUUGUUCAUUUGGGAGGGUUUCAGUUGCUUACGAUUGUGCGCGUUGUCCUUCUAUACAUCUUGGUUGCACUGUACCGAUUAUGAUGUUUCUGACAUUUCGUAUCAUCUCCAGGAGUGGGGAUUCUGCAUGUUGCUUGUGACUGGAGUAAUGUUAUCCAAUUAUAUGACAUGUGCCAGAGCUAUAUCUAUUGAUCAAAUCAGUUCAAGAGCUUCUAAAGUUGGUCUUUCUGCAUUCUUUUACAAAACUACAUUUGGCCAGAAGCAAUGCGCUCCGUGCUUCUCUGUCAUUUUUGCUCAACCUUGUUUAAUGAUCAAUUUGAGGUAAGUCAGUGCUAAUUUAUGCCUAUGAAUAUCUAUACUGCAGAGAAUCUGAAACUUUAAGCAUAUAUUAUGAGAUAACAGCAAGUAUAUAUUCCAUAGUUGGAGGUUCUGUAACAAAUAAAUGCAGACAUGGAGCUUGAUGUCUGUGGUGAUUUAAUAUAUGAUUGUAUUGGGUUACUCAUUUUCCAAUUGUUUGGUUAGGUGUAAUUUAAGUAUUCAAAUUGAUAAGAAAGUGCCACUUACAGGUCUUGUAUUGCACCAUCCCAGAUAAUAAGAAGAGUAGCUUCUAAUAUAUUGGAAGUAUCUUCAUAGGAUAGAUGAAAUGUGUUUCAUUGCUAAAAUCUAUAUUGAUUUAAUUUGGUGUAAGAAUUAUAAAGAAGGUAAUAUGUAUGUUCUUUCAAAAUAUUGGAUUCUGAAAGGGUAGGGUAGCAUUGUUUCAUCAUUCAAGAAGUUUAAUCUUUUUAGCUACUUUUUGGGAUAUAAACAUGAAUAUGCAUGUGUUUCCAUGUGUAUGCAUAGGUGAAUAUCAUAAUUUAAUUAUAUGAAGAGAAUAAUAUUUUAAUGUGUGAACUUUUCUUGGGAUAUUAAGUCUUUUUAUUCUUCUUCAGGAAGAUGACUUGGUCAGUUAGAAGCAGCAUAAAUGACAGCAGUUUUAGUCCUUCCACUUCAAGUGGCACCAAUGGAAGGACCCGCAUAAUCAAAGUUAUUCAAGAGUUUCGGACCAAGUUAGGUUCUAAAGUUCAGGAGGUAAAGAAAAAUCUUCCGAUGAAGCUUCUUUUCUUCUUGGCUGGAUUUUAUUGUGCAACUGCCUUUUCCACUGUUAUUGGACAAACUGGUGAUUGGGAUAUUCUAUCUGCUGCCUUAGCUGUGUUUGUUGUGGAAGGCAUUGGGGCUCUCAUGUACAGUGUUUCUAUUCCUUUAGUUAUCAAGAUUAGGAGCCUGACUGCCAUAUUUAACUAUUGGAAGGCUGGCCUUACAAUGGGUCUUUUCUUGGAUUCAUUUAAAUAUUAAUUUAACUUCAUUACUGGAUGCAGCAAUCCCUUCCCUGCAAACAGAAAUUCUCAGUGUAAUGCUUGGCCUUAUUUAUGCAAGUGACUCAUAUUCGUUGCAAUUAUCCCCGGCUAUUCACAACUAUGUUUGGUGCAUGUGGAAGUUGCAUGUCAGAGGUAAAUUAGGGAUAAAUAAACUGCUGAGGUUAAAUUCCCUGAAAGCCAGUGUUCAUAUUCAGAAGCUAGGACAUUCAAGCUGUAAGGCCAAUCGUCUGAAUUUAUGAUCAGCUUAGCCAUGGCUUUGACUUGGGAACAUAAGAGGACAUUGAAACUUUCCACAACUUAAAUUUUUCAACAAACUCCAUUGAGUUCUGUUCAGUUAGAGAAAUCAGCUCCUCUGCAACACUUCAGUCCUUCAGUCCCUUGUUCCCAGCUUCCAUUCUUUUAGGCAUUGGAUCCUUGCUAGUGGGACCACUGGUAUUCAUUCUGCAGGGCAUUCUAAUUGGAGAAUAAAGAGACUCACUUUUAUAUUGUCUUGUGAGCAUGGUCUAUGGUAUACAUUGAUUUGAAACUGUGUACCUUUUGCAAUAAAUGUCACUGCUCUACAGCAUGAAAGAUGAAAUUCUUCCUUACAGAGGAAACUCAAACUGCUGCUGGACUGGUGAUCUCAAAAUUACUUAAGUGAUUGUGGGUCAUCUUUAUCACAGGAGCUACAAGUUUUUUGGACAAUACCAGGUGCAUGUCUUUCAGGCUCCAUUGAGAACGGCAGAUGAUGCCAUAUGCUGAAUUGCUGAUUCAUUUAUUUGUUUGUCUAUAUCAGUAUACGACAGGAGGAACUUCUGAAAAGCUAGCCAUCAUGUCUACUGUAAUUUUAAUUUUUUUUGAAACAAGAGAAUUUGCAUUUUGGAUGUACAUUUACCCUUGAAAAUUAUAGUCUGGUAUUGAUUGAUCGUUGGUGUAUAUCACUUUGAUGAAUGAUGUACAAAGAAGAUGCAAGGAAAACUGUGUUGAGAUAUUUAUGUGUAUGAGACUAUGAGCAAAGCUAUAUAGUACGAAUCAUUCAAGCAAGAAACUCAAGAAUAAGCAUAAGUUUUGCAAAUUGAGAAAACUUUGGAACUUCAAACCAAAAACAAUUGGAUUUGGAGAAAUAGCAGGAAGCCUCAUACUGGUUCUUGACUUUCGUAAUAUAAAAGUUUCGUAAUAAGUAUCAUUACUCUCUAUAUAUACUCCCUCCGGUCCUAUUUAUAAGCAACAAAAAAAAAAAUUCACAUAGUUUAAGAAAUGUAGUUAAACUAGAUAAAAUGCAUUAAAUUUGUCUUAAAUUAAAAUGAACUUCCAAAAUUACCCUUUGUUAUUAGUGUUGGAAAGUGGAAAAGAGAGAGAAUAAUUAAUGAGACACAUUUUACAAGUUAGAAUUAAUAAGGGCAUCAUUGGAAAAAAUUAAUUAAUAUAGCUCAAACUUUCAUUUGGUUCUUAUAAAAAGGACCAAGAUUUUUCUUCUCUUUCAUGCUUAUAAAUAGGACCGGAGGGAGUACAAAAUAGGUUCACCUUCCUGACAGGUAUUUUUAAUCAAUGGUGUUGGUCAUUGGUCAUGGUAGUCAACAUAGCGAUAAGAUUGCAUGAUCAAUGAUUUUUAAUGGCAUUGGGCGAUGCCAUUCUUGCUCUGGAACGCGAUCUGGUGAGAUUGUGUAACGCGAUCUGGUGAGAUGUGUAGGAUGACAGUGUUAUCAGCUAAAAACAUAGUUCGCUUGCUACUGUGCCCAACCUUGAGUGAAUGAUUUUACCAUAAUACGUUUGCUGGUUAAUAUGACAAAAAUACAUGGUCCAAUGACUAUUGGUAGGGAUAAAGAAGGGGGCAUGACAGAAAUAAGAUUCUCUUUCCUUCAAGGUAAGGGAGGAAAAGUAACUCCAAUAAAAUUAAUGUUGGUAAAUGACAUAACAUGUCUUUGUAUUAUCGUUGUAGGGAAGCUAACAUUCUUAAGAUAAAAACCAGAAAAUGAUGACAACAGCUAAUAGAACUGAGAAGUAUAGAGAAAAUUAGAGGGUGAAAAUAUACCCCACAGCAUAAAAGUAGAAACCUGUUCAAGGCAAAUGUCAUCACUACGUUUUCAUGUGGAGAAACAAGGUAUAAAAGAGUGAUGAGAGAAAAUCUAAGAACUAAAUUGAAUGUGAGAAGUUGAGAUACAAAUUAGCCAGUAAUGUAGCUCAUAUAGAAAGAGCAAAAUAUCAGUAAUGAUUAAUGCUGACUGAUCGGAAAUCUCUAGCUAACUAUACAGAAGUAUGAUUUAUUCAUCAGUACAUUUGCUAGUCCUUUAACUAGGAUAGGAUAGCUAAACCAUAUCUAUUACUAAGAUAACCAUUACAGAUUUUCUAUACAAGGUUCAUCAUAAAUUAUCGAAUGUGUAGAUGUAUAUGCAGGCAUGAUUUUAAGUAUGUAGAGAGAUUCACAUAUACAAGGUGCUGUAACAAUCAAAAUAUGUGUUUUGUCACUUUUGUGAGAGAUUCAUUAGACAGGCGUGCUGUUAUGUAAGUCUCCCUAUCAUUUGAAAGGCAAUUUGAAGUCGUUAUGUAACAUCAAGCAUCAUCAUUAGGUCCUGGAUACGCUGGUAAACUCAUUAUUCGCUUGUCCAAAACAGGACCUCCAACAGUAAAAUGAUAGAGGCUCUGGAAGGUUGACCCUUUCAACCCAAGCAACUGAUGCACUGUAUAAGAAAACGAUCUUUUUAUUACUACAUCAAUGCCACAAGUUUAGUACAAGUAAAUACUUCACAUUUACAUUGGGGUUUGUUCAAGAAUAAAAAAGAAUUUUCUGAAAAAGAAAAUUCAUAGAUAAGUACAAUAAAAUCUUUCAUUGGUUUCCAUUAAACUUCUUAAUCCUCGCAUUAGUAUAACACCUCUGUCCUAAGAAUGUUUUUGAGUUCAGUUGAUCUUAUAAAACUCAAGCUCAUCCAUCCCAACACCAUUAUAUAAUAGUUUUCGCUCUACUAAUCUAUUUUGUGGGCCAAAAACAGAUGCUUACUUCACCUCCAAAUAUGUGCCAAAACUCAAUACUACAAAGCAAUUUUGCUCUUGUAGUUCAACUUGGAAGGUCUUUCAGAGGGUCCUAGAGCCUGGUUCUCCAUCUAUAAAGUACGACCAAUACACUUGAGCAAUUAGCAAAUACUGGUAGGUGUAAGUAUGAAACCCAGAUGAUCCUAGAAUCUAGUUCUCCAUCAGAAAACUAUUCUCUGGAUAACAUGGAGUUCAUGUGAAAUACAAACCAUGCUACCAACUGAAGUGUCAGAAAAGGCAGGGUUGAAAAAACCCUAGCUAGCAUCCUAUAAUCCAUUUAACAGCCUUUGAACGACCCAACCUUUCUUCAACAAAAAACUGAUAUAACGGGCAUUGCUUUAGGUGAGUAAACUGACAAUCACAUGGAGUGACGGGCUAAUUGGCCAUGAUCACAAGAUUUGGACUCCAUGGGUAGACCAAAGCUAACAAGGAUCAGAAUUCCAUGUUGAAAUUUUUGCAAUCAAGAUCUUUCCAAAUUAUCUACAGGAUUCUAGUCAUGCACCAAUCAUUAAAUGACUAACUAGAGAUUACUUUCCUAAUGGCUUGUAAGAGGGUGAGGGAAUAAGUCAUUCUGUAUUUUGUAUAGCCUGUUACAGACUUACAGGAUUUAAAUUUCUCAUCAGCAAAUUCUGGAAGCCGCCAUAUGGAGCUUAUACAACUUAGGAAAAUAUAAGAAAAUUGGCCAAAGUAACCAUCACAUUAUCCCCAAUUAUUGUGUACAGUAGGUAUAUUCCAGUUAUCACUUAUCACUGCAUCAAGCAUGGCUGCACAACAAAAACCAAUGACCAAGGCUUUUUCUUACUAGGUGCGGUAAGCUACAUUAUCAAAUAUUCAAAUGACGCCAUAAUCUCCUUUCAUGGACCAUGCCUCAAGAUAGACUGUUUCAAGUCUACAUCUCUCAAUGGUUUGACCUAUAGUUUUCUUGUCUCCCUCUACUUCUAACUGUUGGACAAUCCUCCAAUUAUUAUCCCCUUCUUACCAAUGUUUCUACGAGUUUUCUCCACAUAUACUAAACCACAUAAGAUAGCACUCUUUCACUUUCCUAUAAUAGGAGUUGUCCUGACUUUCUCUCGAAUGAUUUUAUUCUUAAUCCUAUGUUGUCUUUUGUGGCCAGUAGCCACUCAUAUAUAGCAACUUUCUCAUUUCUGAACUAUUGAUCAUACUUUCAUUUCGGUUCUUUACAGCCCAGCAUUUAAUCUUAUACAACAUAUCAGGUCUUAUAAUCGUGCAGAUAUUUUUUUCUUUAAGCUUGAGUGGUGCAUUUCUAUCAAAAACUAAUCCAAAGUAUCCCCCCACUUCAUUCACCCUACCUUGGAUCUUAUGGUUGACAUCUCCAUCUAUCUCUUUGUCAUUUUGUAUUAUGGACCCAAUAUUCUUAAACCAUGACACUUGUGGCACGGUAUACUCUUUAAUUUUCACCUCUAGAGAACCUACUGUAAGCCUUUUCCAAAUCAAUGAAAACCAUGUGUAAAUUUUUUUUAUACCUCCAAUAUCUAUUCCAUGAUUCCAUCCAUCUUUCUAACAAAUAUAUUGCUUUGAUGGUCGACCACACUAGAAUAACACCAAAUUGAUUUUCUAAGAUGUGGGUAUCUUGUCAUAAUCUUUGCUCAAUAACUCUCUCUUAAAGCAUGAUUGUACUUCAAGGAGAAUCUAUUCAGUGACCUCUAUGCAGUCUCUGACUACAUUUUAGAACCAUACAUUUAACAAGAAAUUAAGCGAGUUCAACAUAGUGGAAAUCUGGCACUUGAUGAAUGAUGUUAAAUUAUCAAUACUUAGUUGAUUUGAAAGUGCAUAACCUAUAUGAUGAAUUAGGUAUUAAAUACUCUUCAUAACUCAGUAUUGGUAAUUCUUAAUCACUCAUCUCUCUUAGGACUAAGACGAAAAUCAACCAUUUAAUACAAAUAACUUCCACCGGAUCAAAGUUCUUACACCAAUGGUAUGAGAAAAGAAUCAUACCAGGGUCAUCAAAGAAGCAACCAAUUCCAGUUGCUGAGAUUCCAAUGGCAUGGGCUUCCAGGUACAACACCUGUCCAAGGACUCCAGUCUCCCAAAAUAAACGUGGAUACAUCCAGACAUCCUUCUCACGCAAAGUAGGCUCCAUGCGAGCCAACAUACCAAGGCUGAAACAACCAUCACUGGCAAUGUCCUGCAAGCAGGUGCCACAUUUAAAACACGAGAAGCAAUGUGCAUUGAGAAUCAAUUUAGCAUCUAGUCAGAAAUAAGACCAUCACACAACAAAUGGUGUAAAGUUAUUUACAUUAGAGAUACAAAAAGGAAGACUUAAUCACAACCCUGAUCAUAUAUGUCCCUCAAAAUUAAUAGCUCUUAGGAUAAUAAAGCAAGAGAACAACCAAAAGUUUUGAUACCAUACUAAUAUAAUAUUCAGAACAAACAACAGCUUCUUAACUUAUUCAAAAGCAGGAUAAAUACUGUUGGAAUUAGUAUGAGAAUUAUGACAGACACGGUUAAAUAUAUUACUAAUACAGUACACUGAAUUUCAAUAGUGUUUUCUCUUGAAGCAAAAAUCAAAUCCAGAACACCUAACCAUUUAGAAGCAAUGGAACAAAUCCUCAAUUUCAGAAUCCUAAAUAAAGGGAGGCAUUUUUUAUCUCCUCAGCAAUGGAUAUUUUAACUAGAGUACAGUUUUGAUAUAGUAACAAAUAGCUUCCAGACUUUGAGAAACUCCCUAAUGCAUUGUGAAAAUUUAGAAGGCAGAAAGACAAUCAUAGUUACUUGUGUACCUGAUGGCAUGAAAGUUUCUUGGCAAGCAUCCUACAAUCGGAUCUAAGGAGUUCAUACAGAGGAAGAUCAUCAGGGCACCCCUCUGGUUUGGUCCAGAGAAAGUCAGGGAGCGUUGCUUUCUUCAACUCAUCAAAAUGAUUUUCAUUUCUCACCAGUAAAUACAAGCCUUGAGGUAACCCCACCACUCUAUGAACAAACAAAGCAGCAUGCACCUCAGCAUCCCAUGGAAGGGCCCGGUAUGCCAAUGCGAGCUGACUGCUCUGUUUCCCCCCUUCUCGGCAACCUGAAGGAAGACAAUGUGAUAGAAUCUGAUAAAAUGUGUCCCUCUCUAUUGUUGUAACUCCAUCCAUAUCAACAGCACUUCUACGCUUCCUAACAACUUCCCUCAUAGUAAAGUCCUUGUAUGAAGUUUCACUAUAGCUGCCACUCCUUUGAAAUGGAUCAAUCAAGAACCUAUUUUCCAAUGUCAAAGGCUUUUUCACAACCUCAGCAGUUCUAUAAAUAAUAUCCCAGCAAAUAUGUUCUUUGCUAAGGGAAUUCGGCUUCCCUUUCCACUCCAAUUUGGAAAAAUCCAAUAUAGCAGAACUUAACUCCUCAUAAUCCACAUCAAACCCACUUAACCCACUAGGAUAAACCAACAUGACACAAUCUGGAUGCUCAAACUCAAUCUCAGGAAUCUUACCUUUAACAGCACGCGACGGAAUUUCAAACUCCGGAAAAACAUGAAGCCCCAUAAGACUCUUCAACUCUUCACACCCCAAAGAGUCCAAAAGCUUCACCUCCCAACCAAGACUCGCAGCAGCCAUCGCAACCGCCGCAAUGGCGUGGCCUACAUCAUGGUUACAGUACCUGAAAGCACGCUCCCCAUACUUCCAAGCCUCACGCCAGAAAAUAGAUGACAACCCCACAAGAAAGGAACCAGGAGGAAAAAACUUAGGGAAAAACCCAGAUGGGAUUUGAGCUCUGAGCUCCAAACCAUGCUCCUUAGGAGCAUAAUGAGCAACAAAAGGGGAGUCACAGAGCGAUUCAAUGGAGGGUGCAACGAUGUAAGCCUCAGUUGGGUGCAAAUUACCACUACUGGGGUUCACCCUGAGAGACCAGGUGGAGAAGCCAGUGGUUUUCCAUGCCGAGAGGGCGAGGGAAUCGUAUAGGAACUGAGAAAUGGUGGAUUUGGAAAUGGGUUUGGGAGGGGGAAGAGAAUGGAAGAGAGAAGAGUAAAGGGGUGGUGCGUCGUGGUGGUGUUCAGGUGAAGCGAGAGAGAGGAGAGGAGAAGAGAGGUACCUGCGAAAUGGGUUUGGCUGGUUGGCCCAAUCGAGGCCGUGUGGUCCUCUGGCGUAGGUGUUGAAACCGUGCUUGGUUUGGUUGUGGUAUUUGAGGACGUCGGAGAGGUUGUGUUCGUCGGUGUUUGGUGGUUGUUUGGGUGGGUUGGAGGUGGAAGGAGAAGGGGGAGAGGAGGAGGAGAAGGAGGACAUGGCUUGUGAUUGGGUUGCAGGGUGGUGGUGGUUGAAGGAGAGGGUGGAGGGGAUGAGGGAGGUUGAAGGAAGGAAGUGGAAGAGUGGAGGUGCGUUGCGGAGAGGAAGAGAUGGCAUCAUUCCUCUAUGUUCUUUGAACUGUCGAAUGAGGAGUGUUUUAUUCAUGGACCCACGAUUCGAUUCAACUUACUUAAAACAUCUCCAAUGCAAUGUUCUUAGUUUUUAUUUUUUAGUUAAAAAUUAGGAACUGAGUUCUUAACCACGGAAGGAGAUGACGUAGAGUUCUUAGUUCUUAAAAAUAAGAACUAGUUAUUACAUAAAAUGUUUUACUUUUUGAAUUCUUAACUAUAAAAAAUUAAUUAUCUCUCUCACUCAAAACAUUAAUAUAAUAGUAUUGUAUGAUCAGAUGAAUAGUGCUAAGAAUUAAGAACUCAUGAUUGGAGUAAAAUCUGCAAAGAGUUGCUUAAACACAUGUGGCAGUACGAGUCCACAUGAAUAGUGUUAAGAACUAAGAACUAGCAUUGGAAAUGCUCUUAGAGGUGCCCACUAGGGUGACCAAUAUUGAGAGUUGUUAUUAGGAUCUCUCUCACAUAUAUUCAAACCUCUUUUAAAGUGCACAAAUACUUUAAUACGCUUAAUGAAAAAUAUAAUACGUUACCUACGCACUUUCAAAGUGCGACCAUAACGCAUUUAGAGGUGCGUCCAUAACGCACUUUGAAGAAUCUUCUCUCGGUAUGCAACGUUUCUUUUUCUUUCUCUCGAGAAUCCUCUCUCUCGUUCUCGGUUCUAUCGUACAAUGCCUCUUCUAUGGUCCCGUUUGAGAAAACAACAAUUAAGCAUUUGUGGUCAUAAACGCUUAUGACAUAAGGGCUUAUUCAUAAGCCAUUUAAAAAAUAAUCAUUGAAAUAAAUUAAAAAUAAGCUAUAAAUAAGGAUAAACUCUUUUUCAUAAGGUGUCAUGAACAACUUAUGAAAACAAGCUCAAAACAACUUAUCGCUCAUAAGCUGUUCGCAUAAGCUCUUCCAAACACUGACAAUGACAUAAGUGUUUAUGCAAUCAGAUAAGGUCAAAUAAACUCUUCUAAACCGGUUUUUUUUUUUUAGAGAAAUCACCUUUGUCGACCUUUUUCUCACGUGACAGUAGCUGAUGAGGAUUACUAAGGGUACAAACCCUUUUAUUUCAAUACAUGGGCUACGGCCCAUUAAUUUAUUUCAAUUCUUUUUUUUCUUUUGAUAUAAUAUAUGCUAUGUCAAGUGGGCUCCCUUUAUUGGUGACCCACAGAUAAUAAUUAGUGGCAGAUCAUAGUAUUGGGUGCCGGGUUAUUAGGCUUUUACGCCAUAUGUGGGCUCUCUGUCUGAGCUGUUGUGCUCUGGAUUGUAAUAUGUUGAUUUACCCUAUUUUGAAUAAUCCAGAUCACAUUGACCAAAAAAAAUAAAUAGUGUAGCAGCACCUCAAAUAGAUGAAAAACGACCAUCUUCCUCCAUCAGAUUGGCACACACUACAAACUACACCGACCUUAGUAGCCAACAUCGCAAUGGACAUACCGAAAUAUUCACACUAUUUACUUUUGCAACCUUCAAUUGGUGAUAUGUAAGAAUUCAGCUUAAAAAAUGAAAGCAGAGCAUAAAUGGAUGAGAUUAAACUUCUAUCUUCGUCUUUGGAAAAAUACGUCAAAUAGAAAAAUAUGAGAUUAAGAUACAGUUCUCAAUUCAUAACUUUGGUGUGUUUGAAAAAUGCUUAAUCCUCAUAUUAGUUCCUGUCUUUGUGUCGCCGUCUGAACCAGGUCCCUGACCGGAAAAAUUUGUGGGUUAAAUUCCUCUCUUUUAAAAAUGUAUGGAGCCAGUCGAGCUCCGGCGAGUGAUGAAAUGACACGCUGACUGGGUUAUGAAGCUGACGUGGAAUUAAAAAAAAUUAAAAAUUAAAAUUACACAUCAUAAAAUAUUAAAAUUAAAAAAAAUAAUUUAAUUAAAAACCUAAAUUACCUCAAAUUAAUCAAUUAAACUUAUUAAUUAAAAAUUAAUGAUUUUAAAAAAUCCUAAAUCCUAAAACUAACCCAGAAUCUGAAAUCAACCCAAAUUAGGGUUCCAUCCACUCACCUUUCUUCUUCUUCUCUUUAUCUUUCUUCCCCAAUUUCCUCCAUCCUCUCUUCUUCUUCACCACCCCAACCCGACAAACCCCAAUAGCAACCACCAACAAGAAAUUCCCUUUAUCUGCUUUCGUUUCCUGCACUAGACAAGGGCUUUCCCUCUCAGUCUUGGCUCUACCUUCCUUGCCUCUGCUUGCGAGCUCCUUCUAGCCAUGACCUUGGCCGCAAACGCUCGACGAGGUAGACGAAGCUGAUGUCGCAGGAAAUGAGGAGGUGGGAGAAUCGUAGUUCGGAGGGGACGAUGCAGCGGCUGGGGGGAUCCGACCGGAUCUGGUGGAUGGCGGGAGGUGAUGUUGUUUUUCUUCUGGUGCGUUUGUUGGCUGUUUUGAAUUUUCUGCACUGGUGCUGCUCUAUCUGUCUGUUUCCUGAUGUGCCAUGUCUCUAUUGUGGGAUUUUGUCAUUUGCUCUCCCUAGGUGUAUAACAGAUCUGGUUGUGAGGUGCAUUUCGUUUUGGGUCUGCCUUAGUGCUGUUGUAGGGAACAGAUCUGGGUUUUCCACUUCUGAGUUCUUUUCUUUUGUGUUCUGAGAUUUUUCUUCUCAACUUCUUCAUUUUCAUCCAUCUUAAUCCUUUUUUUUUUUUGAAAUUAAAGAUACAUGGGAAGUAUGAUAUGGCAAUGCAAUUGCAUCGAAGGUAGAACUUGACAGUAAAGUAAAUGAAACACUCUCAUUCCAAAUUAAGAGGCACCGUAAUUUAGAUAAACAAAACUGAUAAAUUGCAACUAAUGUAAUCAAAGCAAUAUAUCUUAAUCCUGGAAUCACCGGUUGGUUAAAAAAAUAUGAAUUGGAAUUAGACAUGAAGAUGAAGAUGAAGAUGAAAGAUUCAGGUUCAUAAAACUUGAAGAUCUACAUGAAGAUGAAGAUAAUUGAAAAAUAAUGGAUGAUGAAGAUGAUUAAAAAAGGUUUUGUUCUGGGUUGAUUGGAAAUUUGGGGGGAAUUGCCGAAUUGAGGCUAAUUUUGGGGAAUUUGUUUUUAUUAAUCAAAUUAGGUUACUUGGUAUUAUUAUUAUUUUUAAUUUAAUUUAAUUUUUUGAUGUGUAAUUUUAAUUUUAAUUUUUAAUUUUUUUAAUGCCACAUCAGCUUCAUUAACCCAAUCAGUGUGCCAUUUCACGGAGCUCCGGCGAUGACUGACUUCAUACGUUUUUAAAAGAGAGGGAUUUAAUCCACAAAUUUUUCUGGUUAGGGACCUGGUUUAGACAGCAACACAAAGACAGAGACUAAUUUGAGAAUUAAGGCUUUGAAAAACUUUCACCGUUUACAUGUGAUCUAAACUAAUAACACACAGCAUUGAGAAAGAAAGCAACUGGACCAUGGGCGAAUGAAGAAGAGGAACACAAGGGUUUAGAAAUAGAGGGACGAAAACAUGGUUUGAAAUAGAGGGAUGAGUCACGUGGUAUAUUUUUAAGAGCGUUUUAAUUUUAGCCGUUAAUUUUAAUCUAAAUAGCUAAAAAUAAUCAAUACACCCUCACAUAAGAAAUCAUCCUCUCACAUAUGAGUAUGACCCCAAAAUACUCUUCCAAACCCGACCAUCGUUUAAAAUAAAAUAUGAAUCUUUCAUUUUCUAUUACUACAAGUGCCUAUAAUUAUUGUUGUUGAAACGAACAAACAAUGAAACAGCCAAAAAAGUAAUACUGAUGAACGGAAAAAGUUGACAAUUACGGGACAUCAACGUGAACCACGCUAUUCAUCACUUGUGCUAGAUUUUGUAUUGUAGUCGACAUGAACAAUAAAUAGCUAGCUAGCUGUCUUAACAUAGCCCCAUUCACACAACAACGAUGGCUAGCUACCUUGAUGGAUAAUUGGAUGCAUGUACAAGAUCAAGAAAGAAUGCUUUUAAAGAUGGAGUAAAAUGUUUUUUAACUUUUAAUUAUAUAAGUAAUAUUUUAUUUUAAGUGUUAUUUUUAGAUACUAUUAUAUUUUCUUCUAAAUGUUUCGAAAAAAACUUCAAUUGCUAAUAUAUUAGACACUUGUAAAUUGUAAUAGGUCCUCCACCGGGCCUGCAGGAGAUUUUAAUCAGGGACCAUGCUGGCAUCCCCUCCCUCCCGCCCUAAUCUUUUUCUUUCUUGCAUGUACGUACCAAUAAAAAAAAGACACUUGUAAUGGGUAAAUGGAGUAACAAUGAUAACUCAAGUGGUAAUUAAGAGUUAGGGAACAUGAGUUAGGUGAGAGAGGUAUAGAGAUCAAUCCCUGGAGAGUGCUGUAUAAAAAAAAAAAUAUCACCAUCGUUUUUUUUUCUUCCUUUCUUUUUUAUAGUUCUGUCCACUAUUUUAUUAACUUUGAUGAAAUUAAAGUCAGAAAAGUAGGAACCAAAAAUGAUAUUCUUAAAAGAAUUCCCGAGUAUCCCAAUAGUAGGAGUAAAGUUAUCUUCACACCUCUUAAAUGAGAUGGAAAGAGGUGGAAGAUGAGAGAGAUAGGAAGAAAAGAAAAAGUAAGAGAGAAAAAGUAUAAGAUAUGAUAAAUAAUAAGAUGAGAGAGAUAGAAAUAAAAAUUGGUGAAAAUGCAGUGUAUAUAAAAGAAGGUGUGUAUAUAUCAUUACCCCAAUAGUAGCACGUGAUAAUUGAUACUGAAAGCUACAUGCUUAUCAAAAAAAAAAAAUACUGAAAGCUACAUGCAAUGAUUUUUUUUUUUUUGAGAUGAACGCAUGCAAUGUUACUUUCAAACAAAAAGACAACAUUUAAUGCUGUGUUCGUUUAUUUGGCUAUCCGAUUGCAACGAUUUUAAUAUAGAUAAGAAAAUAAUUUUUUCUUAUAGAUUGGAAUAAUUAAAAUCCAUUUACAUUGUACUAAUGUAUCUUUUUUGGUUACAAGAGGAAAAUACUAAUGUAUCUAAAUUAACACAGUAAAAUACAACUUUUUUAUUUAAAAAAAUUAGGUGUUCAAUGAGAUGUUAAUCUAAUUAUAAGUAAACUAGACCUAUCUAAGGAUGAACACACAAAUUCAAAUCCGGAUAAUCAUAUGUUAGGAGGAACUAUCACAAUUUUCCGAAUGAGAAUAGUCUUACGCUAAAAAAUGGGUGCGAACAGGUGAGUUAAAGAUUUAAGAAAUAAAAUCAUCUAUUCAAACACAACAUACACAACAUACAUAGUCAAUCACACACAUUGUAGAAACCAUUACAAAAUGUGAACUUUUGUAGAAAAGUUUGGGUGAGUUCGGCUCCGGUCAAUACCACGGGUUAGGACAAGUCACAGAUGCUUGAUUGCCUAGUUUUCACGGGGAAAACUCAAAAUCUUGAGUUUUCGUGUGAAAAAUCCUAGCUUCUACGGGGAAACCUAGUCACGGAUACUUGCUUACCCAAUUUUCACGAGAAAAACUCGAGUUCCCUAGGGAAAUCUCGAGUUUUUGAGUGAAAAAUCUCAGUUUCCAUGCAAAAACCUAUUCACGAAUGCUUUGAUUACCCAGUUUUCACUGGGAAAUCUCGAGUUCCCUCGGGAAAUCUCGAGUUUCCGUGUGAAAAAUCCUAGUUUCCAAGGCACGGGAAACCUAGUCACGGAUGAGAUUGGUUAUCAAGUAUACUUUUUAAUUUUCUAAAAAUGGUUACUCUAAUAUAGAAAUGUAUAUGAAUUUAUAUAAUAAUUAAAAUUCUAAAAUUAGAAGUUGUAUUUAAAUUAUACAAGAAUGCCCUUGGUGAUCAUCAUAUCACAUGGGAAUAGUAUCAAGUAGAAGAAGUGUAAGUGCCCUCCAAUUAUAAAUACUGAGACUAGGCAUUAGCUUAACCAAGAGCAUGUUUCUUAGAUAGUUCAAGUUCUAGUGUUCAUUAAUUUCUACAGGCAGAGAAUUGGUGAGAUCAAACAAUGUUUCCUAAAGGUACUGCUAUUUUGCUCAUAUAUAUCCAAAUUAAAGAUGGCCAGGCCCAGAUUAACAUUUUGAUUUAGUAUUUUAACAUUGUGGUUAAACAAAUUACUUGAUGUAGGGUUGAGUCACUUGCUUGUGUAUGCUGAGUUCUGUGUUUUAGGAAGUUAAUCUGCCAAAUUUCUGUGUACAGUUACAGUAUCAUUGAACUGCAUGAUAAAAUCCAUAGUCAAAAUCGAUUUGCAAAUCUCUGUCCACUUCAAAGUUAAAUUGAUCNNNNNNNNNNNNNNNNNNNNNNNNNNNNNNNNNNNNNNNNNNNNNNNNNNNNNNNNNNNNNNNNNNNNNNNNNNNNNNNNNNNNNNNNNNNNNNNNNNNNNNNNNNNNNNNNNNNNNNNNNNNNNNNNNNNNNNNNNNNNNNNNNNNNNNNNNNNNNNNNNNNNNNNNNNNNNNNNNNNNNNNNNNNNNNNNNNNNNNNNNNNNNNNNNNNNNNNNNNNNNNNNNNNNNNNNNNNNNNNNNNNNNNNNNNNNNNNNNNNNNNNNNNNNNNNNNNNNNNNNNNNNNNNNNNNNNNNNNNNNNNNNNNNNNNNNNNNNNNNNNNNNNNNNNNNNNNNNNNNNNNNNNNNNNNNNNNNNNNNNNNNNNNNNNNNNNNNNNNNNNNNNNNNNNNNNNNNNNNNNNNNNNNNNNNNNNNNNNNNNNNNNNNNNNNNNNNNNNNNNNNNNNNNNNNNNNNNNNNNNNNNNNNNNNNNNNNNNNNNNNNNNNNNNNNNNNNNNNNNNNNNNNNNNNNNNNNNNNNNNNNNNNNNNNNNNNNNNNNNNNNNNNNNNNNNNNNNNNNNNNNNNNNNNNNNNNNNNNNNNNNNNNNNNNNNNNNNNNNNNNNNNNNNNNNNNNNNNNNNNNNNNNNNNNNNNNNNNNNNNNNNNNNNNNNNNNNNNNNNNNNNNNNNNNNNNNNNNNNNNNNNNNNNNNNNNNNNNNNNNNNNNNNNNNNNNNNNNNNNNNNNNNNNNNNNNNNNNNNNNNNNNNNNNNNNNNNNNNNNNNNNNNNNNNNNNNNNNNNNNNNNNNNNNNNNNNNNNNNNNNNNNNNNNNNNNNNNNNNNNNNNNNNNNNNNNNNNNNNNNNNNNNNNNNNNNNNNNNNNNNNNNNNNNNNNNNNNNNNNNNNNNNNNNNNNNNNNNNNNNNNNNNNNNNNNNNNNNNNNNNNNNNNNNNNNNNNNNNNNNNNNNNNNNNNNNNNNNNNNNNNNNNNNNNNNNNNNNNNNNNNNNNNNNNNNNNNNNNNNNGAUCAAAAACAGUUUCAGCUGACCUAGCUGCUGCUGGCAUUCAAACACAGACUAAUGAAGUAACAUAAAUAUGCAAGAACAUAAAUACAUUACUCCUACAUGUAAUAUCUUUAUUAUGUUCUAAAAAAUUGGAAUUUUUGUAGGGUGGAUAUGAUAACAAACAAGAAGAACGGUUGAGCAACAAACAGUUGUUUCUUGAGAACCUUGAUUAUGCAGCUGGAAUAUUUCUUAUAUAUGUAGCAACUCUGUCAAUCUUCCCUGGGUUCUUGUAUGAAAACACUGGGUCACAUCAGCUAGGCACAUGGUAAGUGCUUAUUUAUGCUUUGUCUUCUCAAUUCAACUGUCUUGUGACAUUACAUGAUAUACAUCAUUUUAAUUUGUUUUGUUAACGUAAUUUAAUUAUAAUGUUUACAUGAUAUACCUGACCAUGGCCUUCAGAAAAAAAUUUACUAGGUCCUUUGAUAUGUGUUUUCUGUUAUGUUCCUUUGAUGACUGAUGAAAUUGAUUGGGAAACAUAAGUUUAUAUGUUGUUACUAUUUAUCUUUUUAGGUACCCAAUUGUUUUGAUUGCUAUGUAUAAUGUUGUGGAUUUCAUAGCAAGAUACAUUCCCCUUGUGCAAAGUCUGAAGUUGGAAUCCAGAAAGGGUCUACUAAUAGCAAUCCUGUCUCGAUUCUUGCUGAUUCCAGCAUUCUACUUUACAGCAAAAUAUGGUGACCAAGGAUGGAUGAUCCUCCUCACCUCCUUCUUGGGACUUACCAAUGGCUAUCUAACUGUAUGUGUUCUUACCGUGGCACCAAGAGGUUACAAGGCAAGUGUACACAACCCACAAUUCAUAAGUACAUGGAUCUUAAACUAAUGGGUUUUGUCCACUUACAUUAGUUAUUUACUUAAUGGUGAAACUAGGACUGAAAAGAUAUUAAUGAUCAUUUUUUCUCAUUUUCAUCAUUAAAAUAGUUUGUUCAAUUGAUUUACAUGUCAUGAGUUAACUCUAAAUUAUGAACUAAUUUUAUAUUUUGUGUUGUUGCAGUCUCCUGAGCAGAAUGCUUUGGGCAAUUUGCUUGUGGCGUGUCUUUUAAGUGGCAUAUUUGUUGGGGUUUGUCUUGACUGGUUAUGGCUCAUAGGUAAAGGAUCAUUCUAAAAAUACAUUUGAAGUCACAUUGUUACUGAUAAAUCUUUGGCGUAUUCGCAUGCCCUGUAAUUUGAAUAUUCCUAAAUCAAUACACACCAUACUCUGAUACAUAUUCAUUUUACUAACUAUAUUUCAUGAGAAUGGUGCACAUUAACCUUAUGAAAGAUAUAUAUGAGAGGGUCUUCCUUCAUGCUCACAUAAAGAAGACUUUUGUACUUUUAUCCAACAGUUAGUUUCUGCGUGUGUUUGAUAAUUACUUAAUUAGUCAUGGUGUCAAAAAUCACAUUAAAUUGCCAAUUUCUAGCAUAAUUAAGUAUGAUGUUGCUUAAACAUAUUUUGGGUUAAGAAAAAAACUCGAUUGUACUUUUGGUAUCCUCUAGUUUAGUGAUUCAACAAUUAUAAUUCGCACACUUUUUUCGCAAUUUUGAUCCCCUAGUUUAGUUACUCCACGAUUUUGCCCUUACUUUUUUAAAAGGUUAAGCAGAUGUAGUCUCUUCACUAAUAUGAUGAGCGCGCGCGGUUCAUUACACGGUAAGAACGACUCAAUAAGGCAAUAAUAGUUUGGGGACAUUCAGCAAGAACCUUGCUGAAUCAUGUUCAAUUAUAAUUUGGAUUUGACUUGCAGAGAUAAUUAGUCAAGAUGAUACAUGUAAUUUUUUUUUAGUCAGCCAAAAAACAAAUAAAAUUAACAUAAAGAAUAAGAGAAGAAGCACCAGGAAUUAUUAGAAUUUGGGAGACCUAACUCAACUCAAAAGCUAGCUCAAAAGUUGAAGUUUGCACUACCAUUUAUAAGCACUUGAUUGGUCACAUCUUUAGCCUAUGUGAGACUCUAACACACCCCCCUCACGCCUAGGGUUGGACAUCUAGAGCGUGGAAUGAAACGGGUGACCCAAAUAUGGGGAGUCAACAAAUGGAUCUAGGAUAGACUCUGAUACCAUAUUAGAAUUUGGGAGGCCUAACUCAACCCAAAAGCUAGCUCAAGAGUUGAAGUUUGCACUACUAUUUAUAAGCAUUUAAUUGGUCACAUCUCUAGUCAUUGUGAGACUCUAACAAGAAUGCAUGAUACAUGUGAUUUAAAUAAAAAUAAUAAUUCUUAUUGAAGAUAUGCGUGAAAAGAACUAAUAAACUAAUCUAGUGAUUGUUUAUUUUCAAUUUACAAAAGAAAAAAAAAUCUUAAGUUGUUUUUAAAAAACAUGGUAAUUAUUGAAAUUUUUUAAAAUUUAUAAAUGCCAUUUUAAUUUUUUUAGUAAAUUAAUUUUAAUUUUAAUUUUUUAUUUUGUAAAUUAAACUUAACAAAAUAAAUCCUUGACACUAGGUAACCAAAAAAAAAAUCAUUGACACUAGCAGCUGAGGUUUCGUCGUGACUCGUGACUUUUAUUGGAAGUUCAGUAAACUAAUUCUAUUUUGUCGUGGAUUUCACCAAAAGAGAUUAAAUCAAUCGGCCAAACAUUAGUCAUUGUGAUGAGUGUUUUUUUAUUACAAAUCAUUGUUAUAAGUGUUGAUUAGAAACUAAGGACAACUUAUUCAUUAUUAAUGUCCUCGUAAAAAACAUAUCCAAAUGAAAAUGAAGCAUCAAAUAAUUAAAUAUCAAAAGCCAUAUUUACCUUCAGUCUCACUAAUUUCUCUGCCAUGACAACAACCAGUAGGUGAAUUAUGAGCCAAGUUCUUUUCUACUCUUAAUUUCCCCUGUCCUGUAUUUAACCCCAGCAUUAAUAAUACUAGAUGUUGUUGCAAAAAAAAUUGAUUAUCCUUAAUCGUUUCAUCUGUAAGUGGAAUAGUGAUGAUUAGUAGUGAUGAUAGUACUGGAGCACCAAGAAAGCCUGAGGUAAGUGCCCUUUGAAGAAUUGAUAACUAACAUGCAUGGCAUUUAUUGUUUCUCAAGAACCAAGUUAAUUCCUAGGUUGUUUGUUUUCAAUCAAUUAAUUCAACCAGGGAAAAUGCAAAGCAAUGGUUGUUUGUUUCAUUCUUGGACUUGGGUCACUAGUUUCCUGGAACAGCAUGUUGACAAUAGGAGAUUACUAUUAUGAAGUGUUCCCUGUAAGUACUAAGAAACUCAUGUUGUUAUUAACUUCUCAUAAAACUGGGUAUUUGUACAAAGUUUUCUCUUCAAAGAAGGGAACAUGGAUAAAUGUCAUUUUUGUUGGAAUAACUCAUUAGAAUAAUUUUCUUUUCACUCUGAAGAAAUAUCAUCCUGCAAGGGCACUGACCCUAGUUUAUCAACCAUUUUCACUCGGAACGAUGUUACUACUAACAUACUAUGAGUCAAAGAUCAAUACUAGAAUGCGGAAUUUGGCUGGUUACACUCUUUUCUUUGUCUGUAAUGUCUUUGUUCUUGUUGUAAGUACACCUUUUCCAAUUCCAUAAUUUGCAGCAUGUUUAUUUUAUUCAUUCCUAGAUGACCUAGUUUCCUUGGUUCAUAGAGCUUCAAUAACCUGUUGUGACAGUGGAAUCUAGCAACAUCAGGGAAAGGGGGAAUUGUAGCUUACAUUGGUAUACUCGUGGCUGCUGCUUGUUUUGGAAUAGCAGGUGGUCAUGUUGAAGGUGGCAUGGUAGGAGACUUGUGUUUUAUGUGCCCUGAGUUUAUCCAGGUUGGUUUUCAAUAUAAUUUAGUGUGCAUAUUUGGAUACGCGGUAGAUUUUCAGGUUGGAAGGAGGAUUGAUUAUGGGAGAAGCUACUCCUAGUAGCUUUUGUGGUAGCAGAAUUGAUUAUGAAAUAUAUGAGCGUGAAUCCAAAAAUGCUAAUAAUAUAUUUUUAAGUAUUACCCUUUCCAAUUAUAUUUUGAAGUAUUCUUUGAUGCCUGCUAUUCUUUUUGCCUAAACAAUACAUAACAUUGUGCAGUCCUACCUAGCUGGUUUUGCAGCAUCAGGGGCUUUGACUUCUCUUCUGAGAAUGCUGACCAAGUUAGCUUUUGAGAAAUCUCAUAACGGGCUUCGCAAGGGAGCUAGUAUGUUAAUUAUUCUCAUUUUACAAUGCUCAUAUAUAUUUUCUUAUACUUUUAUCUUCUCUUGAUUAACUGCUUAUGUUAGAAUAUUAUGUCCUGUUAAAGUUAAUCUUUAUCUAUCAUCUAUUAAGAUUAUGACAUUCUGUCAAUUUUCAAUUAGUACAAAUAAUGGUUCCUAUUGCUUUGGAAUUUGAUUUCUUUGAAAUAACAGGAUUGCUCUCUUACAUUUGCAGUACUAUUCCUUGCAAUCUCCACUUUCAUUGAGUUCCUUUGUAUCUUCUUGUAUUCAAUUUGCUUCACCAAGUUACCCAUAGUGAAAUAUUACCGUUCAAAAGCCGCUUUAGAGGGAUCAAAAACUGUUUCAGCUGAUCUUGCAGCUGCUGGCAUCCAAACAAAGACUCAUGAUCAUGAUCUAGUAACAUAAUUACAUAACUAUGCUAAAUUAUAAUCCAGUAAUCUUUUUUUUUAGUAUGUCCUAAAAGGUUUGAAACUUUUGUAGGUUGGAUAUGAUAACAAACACGGAGAGCGAUUGAGCAAAAAACAGUUAUUCCUUGAGAACCUUGAUUAUGCAGCUACAUUAUUCCUAAUAUUUUUAGUAAC